AAGCAAUCGACCGAUUGCCUCAGGACAAACCAAUCGACCAACUGGUCUAUUCCUUGGUCGAUUUACAUAGAUCAGAGCUUCGGACAACACUUCAAUCGAUCACUUGAUCGAUCGAUUGCUCUACCCAGUAGACCAAGUGGUCGGUUGAGUGGUCGAUUGGGUGCCUGAACCGGGUCAAAACCCGGUUUGUUCCGGGUUGACCCGGUUCGUUUUCCCCUUUUGUAUAUAUACUCUUAACCUAGUCUUAGAUUGGGGUAUGCUUUGUUUAGAGUUCAAAAACUUCUCUUAAGGUUUAUUUCUAAGUUUUUGUAUGAAUCUUUGGUUUUGUUGAGUUUUGAUUUUUGAAUCAAAAUUUCUCUUUUAAUCUCUUAUCUACCUUCUCUAAUUAUGAUUUCACAAAGAUCAAACCUAUUGCUUUGUGUAAUCAUGAUCAUGAGUGAGUAGUCAUUUAGAGUUCUUGGGUUAAGGUAGAUUAGGAUGGUUUAGUUGUUGGGUUAUGGAGUUUAGGGCUAGAUUACUUAAGAUCCUUGCUUAUUGGUUGAUUAUAAAGCUAGAUUAGCCUUGAUCAUGUUGAUUUAGACUUUAGGAAUUUCAUGCCCGGAAGGUGUUCGAUGAAAUUCCCGAACCAAAGCCUUUAAGUGUUUUACAUUCCUUACCUUUGGAAAUUGUUGACUAGGGUGUUAAGUGGCUAGAUAGACUUCUUUAUAAUGCUUGUUAGUCAAUUGAUUGCCUUUGGAAGAAGUUGAUGAUUAAUUGAUUAGUAAAUGGACUAAUGUCAUGGAAAUGUGUUAGUGUUGCUUAAUGUUCUAUGGCCUAAGGAUCAUUGCUUAUUAAAAGUUGUUUGAAGCUCCAUAAUCCAUCUCUUUAUCAUUCCAAAUCAAUUUCCUUUAACCCGAGAAUUCGCCUUUAGUAUCGCUUAGUAACUUGUUUAUUUUUCCGGUUUGUUUACUUUCGAAGCUUGUUAGUCUUUUGCAUUUUGCUUCCAUUUGUCUUGUUUUGCUUUGUUUGAUUGUUAUUUACUUUGUUAGUCAAGUUUACAAAACCCUACCAUCUUAUUAGCCUAGAUUAAGCUUUUGCGUGUAUUCCUAGUGAGUUGAUCAAUUGCAAAUUGUGGUUCGAUAUUUAAUUGAGUAAAGUACUACAUCAACCACCAAGAAAAUAACAAUAAUUUAGAAGGCCUAAACUUAUAUGAUCUCUAUAUAAGAAAUGUCAAGAGCAGUCAUUUCAUUCAUCUACACACAUUUCUGUUUAACAAAUUUCAAAGUUUUUCAAGUUAUCUAUCAUUUAUUUCUCAUGGCAUCUUUUAGGAGUCUUUCAAACUUGAAACCCUUUAAGAACAUGUAGAAAUAAAGGUCAAGAUUAUAAGAUUUUGAAAACAAUACUUUGUUUUUCUGGUGAAACAAUAGAAAUAGUACUAACAAAGUUUUUGUUUCUUUUCUUUUGUAAUAAGAACUUUCAUAUUUUCUGUUUUGUUUUUGUGACUAGGAUCGGACCCGCGGUCCACCGCGGGGGAAUAUUGGUUUACAUACGUUGAUUUUAAUAUUGUGCGUGUUUUUAGUCCAAUCGUGUAAUGUACUUAUAAAUAUUCAUAAUAAUAAAUUGUAGAGAAAAUAUUAAAUUGUUUAUAAUUAAACCCAUCAUAUUAAUUAUGAUUUACAAAAUGAAAUUUUGUGUUUUAGAAUUCUAAAAUUAGACGAUUCAUGAGAAUUAGAGCAGUCAAAAUAGGUCAAAAACCACGGGUCGAGCCCAAAUCAUCUCAUUAUAGGGAAGAUUUGGGAAAAUUUAUUAAACCCGCAAAUAAGCGGGCCACAUAGAUUGAUUCGCAGUGGGUCAUAGGUUUUAAUCGGUUUUCGUCCGCAGGUUGGCGGAUCAGCCCGCAUGUUAGUAUUUAUUGAUAAAAAUAUAAUUUAUUCAAUAUGUGGUAAUUUAAAAAACUUUUAGUAAAUGAAAUUAUAAUAUUUAUAAAUAUAAUGAUAUAUAAAGUUGUUUCUCUAAUUUUUUUAAUUUAUUUAUUUUAGUAGUAUUUUAAAUUUAGGUUACUUUAAAAUUAUUUAAACAAAAUCUACGGACAACCCCGAACUAAUUUAUAAAAUAGAUGGGUUAGUUGUGAUAAAUUUUAUAGAAAUUUUUAGAAGCAAGUAAGAUAUCUUUCAAUUAAUGAUAAUUGGCUAAAAUAAGCAAAAUUAAUGACAAAAAUGUGGAUUGUUAUGGAAUUGGUUCCUAAUAUAUAUGAACAAAUAUAUUAUACGUAAUUAAUGUAUAGUAUUAUUUGGAAUAUGCUUUUAUAAUUACUUAGCAUAAGUACAAUCAGAUUUUAUUUGAUUUCCAUAAACAUUUGAUUUUAGUUCGAUUUUUUAUUAUUAAUUCGAAUUUAUAUUCCAAAAAAUUUCAAAGAUCCGAUUUCAGAAUUUGACCCGACCCAUUUUCAUUUGUACUUCUCUUUUAAUAGUAUAGAGAUUAUAACCAUACAAAGAUUAUUUUGGUAUUGAAUAAUGAUUGGAUUUGUUAUGUCUAAUGCAGAUUUUCAUUGGUCUAUGUCACUUACGGGUUGAAUUUGUCAUGUUUCGCCGUGUUGGCCCCUAUGUCAUUCCGAGGUAUACAUCUCAUCUCUAAUCCAUUAAAUCUUAAACCAUGAUAACAUAUUUUAAUCAUAGAGUUACCUCUCUAUCAUUUCUUCAUAUUCUCUAACUUGAAGAAUGUCAAGGAACGAAUCCACCGCCGUCGUCUCUGUUGUCACGCCGGAGAAGACCAUUGUUUCCAAAUGCGGCGAUUCACGUGAUGUGCUUUGCCGUGACGGCGUAGCCAGUCCUCUUUCCGUGGAUCACAAGGUUUUAAAAACAAAGCUAUAUAUAAUCAAGAAUUGGUUAGUAUCAAUCAAGAUCGUAUGAUUCUAAGAGUUUUUGUGGUUUUGUGUAGUGAUGAACAGCCGGAUCGACCCGAUGAAUUGAUUCGGAUCCAGCAAGCAGGUGGGCGGGUUAUUAUUGGGAUGUAGCUAAGGUUCUUGGAGUUCUUGCCAUGUCUAGAGCAAUUGGUGAGUGAUCUCUCUUUGUGAUUCGAAUUCGUAAAGCUAUUUUAAUAAUAUGUUUGAAUUAAAACUGUUGAUUUUUGUUUUUGUUUACAUAGGCCAUAUUUACUUGAAACCAUAUGACGACGACGACGGAUCCGAAAGUAAUAGUGACAGAUGGAACCGACGACGACGAGUGUUUGAUCUUGGCGAGUGAUGGACUAUGGGACGUUGUACCAAAUGAGACGGCGUUAUGGAAUGGCUCGCGUGUGCCCUCGAGGUACUGGUAGAGCGGAUGGUGAUGAUUCCGUUGCAGCAGCGACACACAAUGCUUGCUCUGAUGCUUCGUUGCUAUUAACGAAGUUGGCUCUAGCAAGACCGACCUUCGAUAACGUGAGUGGUGUGGUCCUGUGGUUGACAGGAGGAAGAGGAGGAAUAAUCAACCAUCGUCAUAAUAUUUAGUGUUUAAUUAGUAGUAGUAUUAGAGAAAUUUUCACAUAGCCUAAUUGUAAUUUUUAUAUCAAGUUAUCCUUUUCCCCUUUUUCAAUACUAGGUUAUGAACCCCCGCGAUGUCGCGGGGGAACUCAUUUUCAACAAAUAUAUUUGAUUAUGUUUAUAUAUUAAAUUAUUAUGAUAAUAUAUUCAAAUAUAUGAAUUAUUACAUAAAAUUAACUAUGUUUUAAAGUUAUAUCGUAAUUGUGGAAGUCCCCUUGGCUCAUUGGUUGACUAAGAGUUGAUUAAUGCUUCUACACCAAAAGGUCUGGGGUUCGAGUCCCAGGUAUUGCGAUUUAUUAACAAAUUUGCAGAUUAAUGGAGGCAAGUGUGCAAGAGAUCUCCAGCGAUGUACAAUUAUAGCCGUACGCCAAGAUUCUACGCAGAGAAUGAAGUGUCGCCAGGUCGUGGAUCAUUGAAGGUAUUCAUCAAGAUUACGAAGAAAGAAGUGUAGUCUGUCAUGAAUCUAGUAAGGGUCGGAAGAAAUUGUUAGUUGUAGAAUCGUCUAUGUAACAGUUCUCAUAAUUUGCAAUUAAUAAUAAAUCUAGACGACAAAAAAAAAAAAGUUAUAUCGUAAUUAUUUUCCAAUGAUGUUAAAAUACUUUAUGAUUAAAAUUGUAAAAAAAAAAAGAAUUAUGAUUAAAAACACUUCUGAAACAUUUUUUAUGAAUAUAAAAUUAUUUCUAAGUGACAAAAUUUAUAACGAAGUGUUAUAAUAUAGAUAUGAAAAAUUCUAACGGGUCAAAACCCAAAAAUUCGGAUGGAGUCGGUACUAAUAAUGACUUUGUGGGAUACUAAGAAGUUCGCCUUAGAAUUAGUGCCCAUUGUUCUUUAAAUAUAAAAUUAAUAUUUAUUGUAUUAUAUAUAUUCGAGAAAAUAUAAAAUUUGAUGAUGUAAAUUACAUCUAUAACAAAAAAAUAAACAUUUACAAGAUCUCAUAAAUUUAUAUUUAUAUUGAUAAUUAACUGAGUAAAAAAACAUCUUUCUUGAAUAUUCAUGUGACGAAUUGGAAUCAUUACUUUUUCCUGAUAAUGUAGAUGAUUUCUGGAUUACUAUACCAUUUUAAACGGUUCAUUUGAAGCUUACCACAUUUAAAACGCCCAAUCACAAGUAUCACAUGAGGAUGUCUUCUCAUAUUUAGACUUUGUAAUAGUGUUAACGCAACAUCAAUAUUUUCUUGUAUACAACCCAUAUAUAUUGCCUUAAGAUAGAAAGUAUUAUUGUUACUAUAUAAAAUAGUUAAAUAAAAAAAUUCACUAUAUAAUCCGUUCAAUUCUAAGAAAACAAUUGUUGGUAUCUUCAUUAGAAUUUUAUAUGUAAAGUUGAUUAAAACUUCUCCAUUUCUAUAAUCAAACCAAAAGACUUUGGUUAGAUCAAGAAUGCGAAGAUUUUUUUUAAUAUUAAAAUGAUGUAUGUUUAGAAAUAGGUUAGAGAAUAAAGAAUUUGGAGCCAUUUUAUAGAUUAUUUAUUUUUGGAUUCAUCAUAAAACAAAUAAUGUAUGUUAAAGAACAAAAAUUUGGGAACUACUUAGGAAGAAAGAAAAAUAUAUAGAGUUCAAAAGUCAUGAACAUUUAAAUAGACAACUAUUCAUACAAAAAGUUGUGACGAAAAAAUGCAAUGAAAUAUAGUGAAGAAAAGUAUUUAAAUGAAUAGAUGCAACUAUCAAGACACGACCGUAAACUGAAAAAAUACAACUAUAAUUGAACAAAUAGAACUGUCUCAAAAAAAUAACAAUGAAUAUUUUAACGAAAAGAUGCAAUGAAAAGACACAACUUAGAAAAAAUAACCGUCAAUAGUUUAACGGAAAGUUGCAAUAAAAAUACACAACAAAAAAAAUUACCGUCAACAAAAAAAAUAACCGUUAAUAUUUUAACGAAGAGUUGCGAUAAAAAGAUACAAGCAAAAAAAUAACCGUCAAUAUUUUAACGGAAAGUUGCGAUAAAAUGAUACAAACAAAAAUAGUAAUUGUUAAUAUUUUAACGGAAAGUCACGAUAAAAAGACACAUCCAAAAAAAUAACCGUAAAAAAAAAAUACCCUUCAGUAUUUUAAUGAAGAGUUACGAUAAAAACUCAAACGAAAAAAGUAACCGUCAAAUUUUAACGGAAAGUUGCGAUAAAAAGACGCAAUCGAAAAAAUAACCGUCAACAGAAAAAGUAACCGUCAAUAUUUUAACGAAGAGUUGCGAUAAAAAGACACAAUCGAGAAAAAAUAACUGUCAAUAUUUUAACAGAAAAUUGCGAUAAAAUACACUAACGAAAACAGUAACCGCCAAUAUUUUAUCAGAAAAUUGCGAUAAAAAGACGCAACCAAAAAUAACCGUCAACAAAAAAAGUAACCGUCAAUAUUUUAACGAAUAGUUGCGAUAAAAACACAACUAAAAAAGAACGUCAACAAAAAAGUAACCGUCAAUAUUUUAACUAAGAGUUGCGAUAAAAAGACAUAACCAAGAAAAAAUAACCGUCACUAUUUUAACGAAGAGUUACGAUAAAAAGACACAACCGAAAAAAAAUAAUCGUCAAUAUUUUAACGGAAAAUUGCGAUAAAAAGACAAAAACAAAACAAAAUUAGCCGCCAAUAUUUUAUCGGAAAGUUGCGACAAAAAGACACAACUGAAAAAUAACCGUCAACAAAAAAUGUAACCGUCAAUAGUUUAACGAAUAAUUUUGAUAAAAUCACAACCGAAAAAUAACCGCCAAUAUUUAAACGAAAGUUUGCAAUAAAAAGACGCAGUCGUUCAAAUGUGCAAAAGACAUUUAUUGAACUACUGUUCAAAUAAUCGUUGUAGCAGGACAAAAAAUUGGAAUUUCGAAAAGAAAGACAAUAUAUAGAGUUGAAAAGGCACGAUUUUACAACUAUUCGAUAAAUCCAUUACGUAGACGAACGUGUCCGUUACAGCUUUAAUGUGUGGGGCUCAUUUCACUCACGUAUGUCCAAAUUAUUUAAACCUCUAUAUUAUUGUUUUCCCAUGAUAUCACGUAAAUGUUAAAUGAAUGAUAUAAUUAAGGAGGUUAUACUACUAAAUAUAUCCAUAUGUAAACUAUGAAAUAAAACCAAUUUUUUUUAUGUAGUUUAUUGGUUUACGUAAAAAGAAAUUCAAUAAAACAACAUGACCGUACAAAAAUAACUGUAAGAAAAACAACCAUAAAUAUUUAAACGAGAGAUUGCAAUAAAAAGACGCAACCGUUCAGAUGUGCAAAUGGUAUUUAUUGGAAACGACAUAACCGUAAAAAAUUAACCGAUUAAAACGAAAAUUGCGAUAAAAAGACGCAACCAAAAUAACCGUAAAAAAUAACCGAUUUAAAUGAAAGGUUGCGAUAAAAAGACGCAACCGUUCAGAUGUGCAAAUGGUAUUUAUUAGAUUGCUAUUAUAUAUAGAUUUGGUUUGUAUAUUGUUUUUUUCAAUUUGAUCCUAAUUUGGAUUUGAUAACACUUCUUAGGAUUCAUGUGAUAUAUUAUAAGAGAUUGUGUUUGAUAAAGAAGAUGUGAGAUGAAGAAGCUCUAUACGGUUUGUUACUUUAGAAUAAUCAAAUUUUUAGCUUCUGAUUAUUUUAUGCUUUUUGUUUUAUUGUGAAUAAUAGCUUUUAUAACUUUUUGAUUAUAAAUAUUUUUAACUUGCUAAAUUUUUUUAAUGAUCAUAGAUCAUAUGAUGGAGCGUCACACCAAAAAAAAUCAUAUGAUGGAGCGGGUUAGAAUUUACAUAAAUACAAUAAUAUAGUUUUGGUAUACACAAAAUUUAAAAAAGUUGAUAAUAUUAAUAAUAUUUGAAUUCCAUAAAAAUUAAAAAUAUAUUUAUUAUGAAACUAUUUAAAAACAAACUUUUAAAUUGACUUAAAUUAUAUGUCUUUUAAAUAAAAGUACUGUUAAAAAAAUAACAAAAUGAUAUUUAGUUUCACAUGAUGGGGUUAUAUGGGGACACGGGACGGUAUACCACGGGUGAAGUUGUAGAAUUAACAAUCAAAAUACAAUUAUACAAUCUUAAAUACUAAACAAAACAAACAAUAUUAACAAAACAAAUGCAACUUAAUAUUUAAAUAUACAACAAACACAAUAAGAUGAUACGUUAUUUGCACACGUCGUGGUACACCGUCGCCUACUAAAUAGUAAUCCCAUUUUUCUUUAUUAUUAUAAAUAUUCAAACAUACAACAUACUAAUCGUACAAUUAACACUAUAUAGAUUUCUAUAUACAUUCUAAUCACACAUGUAAAUAGGUUAUAUAAAGACUUAUUAUAUUUAAAACCUAUAUUGAUUUUUCUCAAAUAAACAUAUAUUAUUUUUUUUAAAUAAAAAUAUAGUCUCGCGGUGUACCGCGGGUCAAUCCCUAGUUUGGAAAGAAACUAGAAUGAGUCAGCAUCUACAUCUCAUCGUCGAAGUAGUUGCUUUAUUUUACAAACUAGGGGAGGUCUCCGCGCCCAGCGCGGGGUUGUAUGUUGAUUAAGACCAAAAUUAGUAAUUAAUAUUUAGGAUUAUCAAGUUAGGGAUAUUUAUCGGUCUGAUUUCGGAGUUUCGAUGGGUCAUCAUAUCACAACUCUUGUUCUCAUUGUCCUCUCCUAUAUCUGCAGGUACGUAUUAGAAUAUGUUUAUACACUUGUGUUGUGGAGGGAAAGGAUUUAUCUUUGCUCUGAUCUUCUUUUGUUUUUCGAUGUUGAUAUAAAAAAUCUAUAUAUUUAAACCAACAAUAUAUUAGCAACGCCCCGACCGCCACUGUCCAUGGGUUCCCACGUCCAGUCUCGGUCUUUAGGCCCAUCUUCUUUGUUUUGUCGUACUCUUGAUUUUAUGACAUAUUCAUGCUUACUCGUUUCUUUCAUAUUAGCAACGCCCCGACCGCCACUGUCCGUGGGCUCCCCACGUCCAGUUUCGGUCUUUAGGCCCAUCUUCUUUGUUUUGUCGUACUCUUGAUUUUAUGACAUAUUCAUGCUUACUCGUUUCUUUCAUAUUUGUAAUGCCACGACCGCCACUGUCUGUGGGUUCCCACGUCCAGUUUCGUUCUUUGAGCACAUCUUCUUGGUUUUGUAGUACUCUUGGUUUUAUGACAUAUUCACGCUUCCUCGUUUCUUUCAUAUUUGUAACGCUCCGACCGCCACUGUCUGUGGGUUCCCCACGUCCAGUUUCGGACUUUAAUUUGGGCCCAUCUUCCUGGUUUUUGUUGUAUUCUUGAUUUUAUGACAUAUUCAUGCUUUUAGAUUGUAUGCAACAAUAUUCAAACAAUGAGAAGAUCAAUGAUUGAUGACUAACCAUACAACCGAAGCAAAGCCAUAAACAGAAACGAAAGUACUAAAGAGCCACAACAGCAGUGAUACGACAUUUGUUUCCUCGCACUGGAAACAAUGACAUGCUUCCAUAAAUCCAAUCUAGUUUUUAUGGAAAACAAACCUGCAUUCAUAAUAAACACUACUAUUAAUUAUUAUUUUUUAUGCAAGAAUUAAAUGGCAGUAUAAAAAAUUCAAUGGUUAGUGCCGAAAAAAAAAGCAAGGAUUAGUUAUGAUAUCAAAUCAAAAUUAAAUAUCAAGCAAGGUAUUUACAUAAAAUUAAGGCAGUGGAGGAUCUAAGAAUUUUUUAUAUGACAAUAUCUACAACUAAACAAAGAAAAUUUAUAUAUUUUUAAAACAGAAUCAUUAUUUGUUUUUUGGUAAGAUUUAAACCGAAUCAUUAUCAUAUUAGUAAAAUUAUCAUUUAUUUAUUAUUAUCCACGUUAAUUUAAAAGUUUAAGAGAAUAUCUGCUUUUUUCUCAUAAAAGGAUGGGAUAAUAACAUAACUCUUUUAGAUUUAUAACUAUAUUUGACAUUAUCAUAUUAAAUCUAUUAAGAUAAAUAUAUUUCUUUUUGAAAAAUAUAAAUAAAAUGAUAAUAUAAUUAUUAUAGAUUUACAAUUAUAUUAUUAUCCAUGUCAAAAUUUUAAAACAUUUUACUUUUUUCUCACAUAGGAAGAUAGAACAAUAACGUAACAGUUUAAGAUUUACAACAUAAAAAUAAUAUCAGAAUUGGAACGCCAAAUCAUAAUCAACACAAUUAACACAACUCUAAUGGGAAAUUAGAGUUAUCUUGUGAUUAAAAUACUAAACAAACAAAACUAACCGAAACAAAACAAAAGUCUUCCUUUCAAAAUCAUUAAUGUGACGGAUUGCUGACUGAUUAAGUUGAAGUUUUAGGUAUUUAAAGAUCUAAAAAGAUGAUUAAGGUUAAACAUUUUUAUUUAUUUUAAACAACGUUUGAAUGUUGACAAAAAAAGAAGAAGAGAGUGUUGGGACCAUCGGGAGAGACAACGUUGAGCAGCUGCGAAAGAAGCCAACGUUGUCUAUUAUGUUCCUCACAGUGUUUGAUUUGACUUUUGAUGAUAUUACACUCCUGUCCACUUGUUGUCUCGAAAGUUCAUGCAAUGAAAAAUUAUUAAACAAAACAAUUUACUUUUAUGUAUAAAUCCUAGGGAAGAGCCGAUCAAGCUAAGAUCAAUGGUUGUGGUUUUAGUACCGUAUACUUCUCAAAUAUACCCGUUCAAUAACGGAAAUCCGCAAGACGGGGAGGAGACGAAGUCAACCUAGCUGACAAAGGAGCUAACCCAGCUCCUUUGGUCUUAUUUAUGGUCAUAUGUAUUUAGCAAAAUAUAGUAUACAAACCGAACCAAUCAACAACAAAACCUGGUUUUAAAUUGUUGUAUAUUUCUCAAAAGUCAAAACCCAUAAUAACCAAUGGAAAAGAAGAAGCUAAUGCAGAGCAUACUUACGCUUGGAGUAAAGAGUGAUGCAAGCUUCCAUUGGCACACCCGAAAACGCAUCAGAGCAUGGAAAGAAACCUAAAAACCAAUAAAUUAAACAAUAAUUAAAUCUUAGUGCAUGGAAAACGAAUCCUAUACAUACCAAAGUCCGAAUCUCAGUGCCUUAGAAUGACCUCGAUACCAAAAAAUUUAAGUUACUACUUCCAUAUAUGUAAUAUUUUAGUUUGGGGAGAGAGAUUGGCAACGAAGAGUAAUUCCUGAAUUUAACAGCCAAGUUUGUUAUCCCUAAUCUAAAGAGAGGAAUACUUAAAUUGUAUUAACGACAAAAAUUAGCCUCCUCUGAAGAUUCAUCCCUGAAAUAAGUCAUCUUUCUGACUUUGUGGCAACUGUGUUAUCAAAAGUUGAGUGUUUCUUCUGAGAAAAGACAUAUUUGAAAAUAAUAAGAACAUGUACCUCAACAAAAUCGGGAGGUACCUCAUCUUUUUACAACAAAAAGAAACAUACCAAACCAUCGAUGAUUACCUUCUCAAAAGUUGAAACCAAACUUUUUGAUUAUAAAAAUUGAUUAGUGGUGAAAAUAGUGAAACCAUAAAUACAAAAAAAAAAAAAUCAAAUUUGUACAUAUAAACUAUAAGAUCACCUGUUUAUUCAUUGAAUUAGGUCCAAAUUUUCCAUACACCAGUUCACAUCGUCCCCUCCAUACAUCCACCCUACAAUAAAAAGAAAAAUUAAAAUUAGGUAGAAGCAAAAAAAAGUUUGAAAAAAAAGAACAAAAAAACAAGGGUUAGUUAUGAUCUGAAAUUGAAUACCAUGAGCAAGGUAUUUAUAUUGAAUAGGAGGCGGUGCAUGAUUUAGAGUUUCUAAAUUUUUCGACAAUAAAUACAAAAAAAGAAAAGAAAAUUUACAUAUUUUAAUAAGCAAAUCACUAUCAUAAUAAUAAAUAUUUGUAAAACUGCCAUUUAUUCAUUGUUAUCCAUGUUUAUUUAAAAUAAUAUUUACUUUUUUCGGUAAAAAUAUGGAAUAAUAACAACUAUUUUAGAUUUACUACUAUAUCUGAUACUAUCUUAUAAAAUAUAUUAAAAUUUAAGGGAAAAUUCCUUUCUGUUUCAAAAAUAAGGCGGAACAAUAAUAUAAUUUUUGAUUUACAAUAGAUAGACAUGCAUGGUAUCCAUAUGCGUCAUGUCACGCUGAUCCAUAUUUUUUUCCAAAACUCGAUCUAAUUGCUAUUUUGAUUUACAAUAGAUAGACAUGCAUGGUAUCCAUAUGCGUCAUGUCACGCUGAUCCAUAUUUUUUUCCAAAACUCGAUCUAAUUGCUAUUUUGUGCAAAAAUCACCGCCGUUCACGUUCAUGUUCACGUUAGCACUCCAUACCUUAAUUCACAUGUAAACCUCUCUGCCUAUCUCUGACUUCAGCUCUCUCAUCUUCGAGUCUCCCCAAGAAAGUUUUGACACCACACCAACAUUUCAUUCGUCAAAAUUAAAUCGAAUUUGCACAAGGUUACAACCGAUUAAUAGGUGGUAUUCUACCUUCUAUUUACGAUUUUAUGCUAUGAAUAUAUGUUUUUGUCAGGGUUCAAGUCAAUCUACGGAUUAGAGACUUAUAAUCAUCCGACGAACAAUACGAUGGCGUGAUAACCGUUUCUAAAUUGGUGGGUUCUCUUUCAUUGAUCUACAUAUUAUUUUUUUUGUUCAUUUUUUUUUCCAAAUAUUUAGAUUGAAACGACGACGAACACGACGAUCAUAACAAAAAUUUCAUCUAUUCCGGUACGUUUGAUCUUUAUUUUAAUUAGUUUAACAAUUAAUAGCCGUUUACGAUUAAUUUCGGAUAUCUAAAUCUUAUUAAUUUGAGUAAGGUUAGAAUAGUAUUCUUUUAUGUUUAUAUUAAUGCUCCGAUUAAUAAUUUUCGGAUAUUUGACAUUAUCAUCUUAAAUAUAUCAAUAUUAUAAUAAAUAUUUUCCUUUUCCGAUUUUUUUUUUUUUGGUAUAAUUCCUUUUCCGAUAAAUUAUGAAACAGAUCUGUUUACACAAAAGGUAAAAAAAAAAAAAAAAAAAAAAAAAAAAAAAAAAAAAAGACACCAUCAACCGUCUCCAUUCACACGUUUCUUCAUUAUGAUCACGAAUUCACGUUCAUGGAAGCUUCAUCAUACAUUAACACUUACAAGUUUUUUCGUCGAGUUUUUAUCCAAGGUUUCUUCGUCAACUCUGUAUCCAAGGUAAUAAAUAUUUGUUCUUUUCAUUGGUUAGAAUUAUAGGGUGCAGGAUAGUAUUGACGUCUUAAAGACAUAACAUGGGCAAGAUACUAUGAGAAGCUUGACUAUUCUGCUUCGACAGAUCAACAGGUGAAAUUCUAUCACUAAAUUAUUAGAUCUCUGUUAUUGCUAUGAAUAUAUGCUUUAUGUUAGGAUUUCAAGUUUUGCCUUCGUUUAGAAGAAUUAUAUUCACACGACGAAGAACACGAUGAAUUCAAUUAAAACUUCCUAACUGGUACUUCGUUGUUCCUUUUUUUUUUGGUUAAUUAUCAUGUUUAUUGUUUCCAAAAUUAUUUUUUCCUGGUUAAUUCCGAAAUUCAAUUUAAUUUUUCCAAAAUUAAUUAGAUUUCAUUAAGGGUAAUUAAGUAAUUACGUAAAAUCAAUGACUCAACAAGAGCCGAGAGUCCGACACGUCAGCAAAAACACUUCUCAAAUAUUAUUAUUUUUCCAAAAUUAAUUAGAUUUCAUUAAGGGUAAUUAAGUAAUUACGUAAAAUCAAUGACUCAACAAGAGCCGAGAGUCCGACACGUCAGCAAAAACACUUCUCAAAUAUUAUUAUAUAUAGAUGUUCUCAUAAAAAAAAAGAAGUUGAAGUUUUUAUAUAUGUUUGCUGCUGGAUUCUACACGUACUCUAUAUUCGCGUUGGUGUUUUGGGAAACAAGACGGUCUGAUUUCGGAGUUUCGAUGGGUCAUCAUAUCACAACUCUUGUUCUCAUUGUCCUCUCCUAUAUCUGCAGGUACGUAUUAGAAUAUGUUUAUACACUUGUGUUGUGGAGGGAAAGGAUUUAUCUUUGCUCUGAUCUUCUUUUGUUUUUCGAUGUUGAUGAUAUAGAUUAACUCGUGCUGGUUCUGUUAUUCUUGCACUUCAUGAUGCGAGCGAUGUGUUCCUUGAAAUUGGGAAAAUGUCGAAGUAUUGCGGAGCUGAAAGUCUCGCGAGCAUUUCGUUUGUUCUUUUCGCUUUGUCUUGGGUCGUUCUACGUCUCAUUUACUAUCCUUUUUGGAUCCUGUGGAGCACAAGGUUUGUUAAUAUCCCCCGAACGUUUUUCUUGAAUGUUUUUCUUGACUUCUUGAUGUAUAUAUUGUGAUUUUUGAUUUGCAGCUAUCAAAUUAUUAUGACUGUGGACAAAGAAAAGCAUCCUAAUGGGCCGAUCUUGUACUAUAUGUUCAACACACUACUGUAUUUUUUGCUUGUUCUUCAUAUAUUCUGGUGGGUUUUGAUUUACCGGAUGCUUGUGAAACAAGUGCAAGAUCGAGGCAAGCUUAGCGAAGAUGUUAGAUCCGGUACGCAACAAAAACUCUAUUUUGGACCAUCCAAGUAGAGAAAAAAACCCGCUAUUAAUGUUGUUUCAUUUCUUUUGCAGAUUCUGAAAGCGAUGAUGAACACGAGGAUUGAUUGCAGAUUCGGAAUAUUAGUGCCUGCACGUUGUUUUAUCUCAUGAACCUGAACCACACGGAGACUUCAGAUUUCAACAUGAAGCAGGAUUCAUUGCAGUAAUGUUUUUGCUAGAAUUUUAACUGUUGGUUCAUCAUCUUCCAGAGGAUCGUAACCGGAAUGAAUCGGUUUCUCAAUCUGAAUUUUUGAUUUCUUUAAAAGUUUGAGCAAAUUCAAGAUUUUGAUUAGACACACUGCUCAAACUGCUACACUUUUUAUUUAUUUUUCUUCUUCAGUUUGAAUUGGUUGGACUACAUUUAUGCUUUUGCAAUAACACAAUUCCUUGUAUCAUUAAAAACGUCAUCUCAAAAUUAAUUCCCUUUAUAUGUUUGAUCAUCUUUUAAUUAUCUCCUAAACAUAUAAAGUUCAUAGACAAUUAAUAUGAAUAAUCAAAAUAAAAUAUUUGGAAAGAAAAAAAAGAAUAAAGGAAAAAUCAGUAUUUUUACUUAGACCAUCUACAUUGCAGGAACUAACACAUGAUCUAAGCCUUUUUUUAAACCAAAAUAAUGGGUUUAUGGGCUUAAGAUCAGCCAGCCCGCUCUCAUCCUGGAUCAGUUCUUCUUUGUGUUGCGGGGUGACGUGGCGAGAUGGCAUUGGUUGGGAGAAAAGGACAGAAAACACAAUUUUCAUUUCACCCAAAAUCGAAAACGACCUAGGGUUUUUUGGCUGAAGCGGCGAUUUUCGCGACCCCCAUCUUCUCCGACAAAAUGUGAGUUUUCCGGCCAUAAAAUCGAGAUCUUUUUGUUUCACUCCCUUUCUGUUAUAGAAAUCUAUCUGUAGACUGUAUUUGUAAUGUAUCUUCUUCGCGAUUUGAUAGGGCUGGAGAAAUCGAUCUCCAGAAAUCGUUGUCUGCUUGGUGGUUGUACAAAUCCGUUCUAUAACCGGCGAAAUACACAAGGUCAGUCUACUUUUGGUAUCCUCUGUCUUUUGGUCUCCUCUGUCUGGUGUCUUUUAUGGUCUCCGUUUAGUCUACUUUUGUUUUCAUCGAUUUCGUUGAUUAGAAGAACUAUAGGUUGUACAAUUGGUUGUGUGUUCUGAUUAAGCGAUUUAGUUAACCUUCCGUUGAUGGAAGAAUCUGUGGAACUUCGUUUGCUAACUUAUCUAAAAGAACACAGAAUCAAAAAUGUAACUUUUAAUUCAUCAAAAAGAUCAAAACUUUUCAAGAUUCUAUUAAAAAGGUUUCAUCUUUUUAUACCUUUAAGGAUAAGAUCUUGUGGAGAUAAUGAGACAGAUCCAUGGAAACAUUCUUCCGUAACCCUAGAUUUCUCUGAAUAAACAACUUCCACCUACAAAAUCCCAAAAACCCAUUCUUGAUUUCGAUUUCACUCCUGCAUUCUCAUUUAAAGAUUCAAACUUUAUAAGGGUUCUUGGAGAAGCAAACCUGGUGUUUAAAACCAUCAAAUUGGGUGUUUUUGAGGGAAUGUGCUGGAGAAUCAUGACCGGAGGAAGUGACCCAUUUCUCAGCAUCAAUCCAUUUAGAAGGAAAGUUUCUUCUUCUACCCGAGACAUUGCUACUGAAACUGAAGACUCCUCUACCUGGAGUACAAGGAGACUCCAUUAACAUCAAUCUUCUCUGUCCAUUGCUUCUUCCUUCUCCAAUGCUCUUUUGUGAUGAGAAACUUGGUCUUCUCUCGUUUAACAUCUCACUGCUGCUGCUGCUACUGCUUUGGUUUGAUGAAUUUGGCAGUGACUUUAUGAAAUCUGUAGUUUCCUUUAGGUUGAUUCUGUUUGCAAGUGAGUCUUCUCCAAAUGGGUUUGUGCUAACAUUUGAGGUUGUUUGUAUGAACUGCAAAACGAUUUGAAACACCAAUUUUUGUAACAGUUGUCUAAAUUUAUAUGUCUCUGUUGAUUUAAAACAAAACAAGUAGAUAUGAAACCAUUAAGAAAAUACAUGUUGAAUGACCUUUGUUUACUUCUGAUUUGAUUGAAGUAGGUAAGGGUUAUUGUGAAUUAAAAGAGUUGAACAACACCAAACUGUAAAUUAAAUGAUCUUCUUAACUACUUUAUAUUACACUUGAGACAAAUAACAAAUCUCUCAUACCUUCUCUUCGCUUUUAUCAUCUACCUCUUUUGCUUCUUUCUUAACCAAUAUUCGUGAACUCUCAAUUAAUCUCUCUACCUCAGCUUCUUCCUUUUUUAAAUCUCAUUGCUAUGGAUCCAAAUAAUACUCCUAAUAGUCAGUCUCAACCCUACUUUAGUCUCUUAAACUUCCCAUACGACGGCUAUGCUCCCAAUGUAAACAUUGGUUCCUCUCAAAUCCCUUCUUUUAGUUCACAAACUAGUUCACAGCCCACUCAACCUCCUACUCAACCAGAAGAGACAGCAGAACAGCGUAGGGAGAGAAGGAUUUGGUCCACAGAAGAUGACUUAGUCUUGAUAAGCGGGUGGUUAAACACCUCUAAAGAUGCAAUAGUUGGGAAUGAUCAAAGGUCAGGCUCCUUUUGGAAGCGCAUAUCUGAGUACUAUGGAUCAAGUACUCAUGGACUUGGAGGUGCUGAGCCAAGACUCCCUGACCAUUGUAGACAAAGGUGGCAAAAAGUCAGCAGGCAUGUUAGUAAGUUUUGUGGUGCUUAUGCAGAGUCUCUAGCAGAGAAAGCUAGUGGCAUGAAUGAUUUGGAUAUUCUGCAGAAUGCUCACCAAAUCUACACUAAGAUUUACAAGAAGAAGUUUGCUUUGGAGUAUGCUUGGAAUGUUCUUCGCUAUGAACAGAAAUGGCUAAACCUGGAGGCUAUGAACCCCACUCCUAAUAAGUCAACCAGCUCGAACAAACGCAAAGCAAAUGAUGCUGCACCAUCUUCAGGCUCUGUAGUAGGUGAGCACGAGAGUAGGCCUCCUGGCAUAAAGGCAAUGAAAAAAUUAAGAAAGACCAAAGGUAAAGAGAAGGCCUCAGCAUCGGCUGCACCAUCUGCUGCAUCUGCUACACCAUCUGCUGAGUUUAGUAAAAUGUUUGAGCUAAAACAGAAGGAUGUGGAGGGAAUGAAAGAACUCCAAAAGCUGUCCAUUCUUGACAGUCUAAUUGCCAAGAAAGAAAAUCUGGAUGAAGAAGACAAAAUUGUAAAGAAGAAGCUAGUUGCUGAACUUUUUUUAACUUAGAAUAAACACUAGAUGAUUUGUCUGUUUGUCUUAUGUUUGUUUUAACUAUGUUUGUCUUUUGUUUUUAAUGUGCUUAUGAAUCAGAUAUGUAACAUUGUUCAACUUGUGCUCUUAUGUUUUUAAUGAAUCGGCUAUGUUUGUUUCCUAAAUCCUGAUUGCUUUGGUUUUGUAUUCUGAUUAUCUGUCUUCCGUUUCUGAUUGCAUUCUUCAUUCUGAUUGGUUUCUAUUAUUUAGAAUUAGACUACAAUUCUGAAGAGGAGGAAGAUAGCAGUUACUAUCCUCUGCAACCUCAGACUGUGAAGAGGAGUCUGUGGAGCUGUGAUGCUGAACCAACAAAACCUGAUUAUGAGACAGAACUGAUGAAGUUCAAGGACCAUUGUUCAACUUGGCCCCUGAAUUGGUAGUUGCUGUUUGUUUCAGUAUGAGUGUUUUGGUAGUGGCACUCAUCAUGUUUAUUAAGUAAAUUAGUGCAGAGGAUAAAAUCUUGAAAGCUAUUUUUUGUGUUUGGACCAGGUUCUUGAUCAGCAAGGUGUAGGGCAAUUGAUCAAGAUGGCGACAGAAAAAGGACGAGCAGCUAUGCCUAGCCUCAAGGUUGGGAUAUGUGGAGAACAUGGAGGAGAUCCAUCGUCUGUGGGAUUCUUUGCUGAAGCAGGACUUGACUAUGUCUCUUGUUCUCCUUUCAGGUAAUUUAUCAAUUUACAAACCAAUGGACACUAUUUUUACAACAUUUAACACAGAUUGAUGAUAUUUUGGGGUUUUUUUUGUUGUUGUUGUUGUUGUUGUUGUUGCAGAGUUCCAAUUGCAAGGCUUGCAGCUGCUCAAGUUGUUGCAUGAUGAAGAAAACAUGGUGGCAUUAUUCUGUGAAUAAAGAAGCUUUGGGUUUUGUUACAUGAAACUGAACAAAAUCAAAAGAAAUUGGAUUUAACUCUUUUUGUUUCCUUCUAAAGAAAGUAGAAUAUAUAAAACCCUUCAUGUGAUAAUUGAAUUGCUAAUAAAAUAAAGACCAUUGUUCCUAAACAAAAUACAUGAGGAAGACAAUGUAAGACAGCGGAAUGAGAUUCUAUCAACUAAAAUAAUUUUAAAGCCAGACUCACGUGCAUUUGUUUUGUAUGUUUUGGAAACAAAAUUUGACAAGAGUCACAGGCUUUUGUUUGUAAGAAAGACCAAAGUUCACAUGUGUUUGUCUUGAUGUAUCAACUUGACGUUCUUUGACAAAAAAAAAAAACCAACUUGACGUUAUGGAUGCAUCAAAUACCUUUUUCCACACAAACUUGCAACUCUCUAUAAAUAUUUCAAACGAGCAAAAGAUUGUAUUUCAUCAAACAAACCAAGAAAACAUUUCCUUCUCUCCCAACGAACAUACAAUUCUCUUCUCUUUCUAUCUACAAAUUCCAAGUUUAAUCUCUCCCAAAUUUUUAUGGCUUCUUCUUCCAAUAAUUUUCACUACCAUUAUGAUCCAAAUAAUGAUAGUUUUAACCAAUUUUUUCAAGCUCAAUUUCAUAAUCAAUUUCAAGCUGCUGAAGAGGAAAUUCCGGCGGAAGAGGAAAUUCAGGCCGAGAGGAAGAAACGUACAUAUAUCGAUAGAAAACGGGAAGAAGGUCAUGAACGUUUGUGGAACGAUUAUUUUAGUGAUAAUCCGACUUAUUUGGAUAGGCAAUUUCGCAGACGGUUUCGAAUGAACAAGUCAUUGUUCUUGCGUAUUGUGAAUCGUCUUAGUGAAAAGCUUCCAUAUUUUCAACCAAAAAAGGAUGCAAGGUUCCGAAAUGGUGUAUCACCGCUAGUACAAUGUACUGCAGCAAUUCGGCUAUUAGCAUAUGGGACUGGGUCGGACUCGGUUGACGAAUAUUUACGUAUUGGUGAAUCGACUGCUCGUGAAUGUUUGGAACAUUUCGUCGUCGGAAUAGUGGACUUGUUUGGCACUGAAUACCUACGGCGACCCACACAAGAGGAUCUCCGAAGGCUACUCUUUUAUGGAGAAAAGCGGGGUUUUCCCGGGAUGGUUGGCAGCAUCGACUGUAUGCAUUGGAAGUGGAAGAAUUGCCCAACUGCUUGGAAAGGAAUGUAUUCACGAGGCACCAGUAAACCAACAAUUGUUUUGGAGGCGGUAGCUUCACAAGAUCUCUGGAUAUGGCACGCAUUUUUUGGAGCGCCAGGUACUAGUAACGAUUUAAAUGUUCUUGAUCAAUCUCCAGUUUUUAAUGACAUUAUUUACGGUCGAGCUCCCGAAGUGACGUACUGUGUCAACGGAAGGGAGUAUAAUUUGGCUUACUAUCUGACGGAUGGCAUUUACCCCGAAUGGGCGACAUUUGUUAAAUCCAUCCCAAAACCACAACACCCGGAACAUAGUUUGUUUGCUGAACGUCAAGAAGGUGCACGAAAAAAUGUUGAGCGUGCAUUUGGAGUCCUGCAAUCUAGAUUCGCCAUGAUUAAAAAUCCAUCUCUUUUAUGGUCGAAAGGUAAAAUAGCAUAUAUUAUGAGAGCUUGUCUCAUACUCCAUAAUAUGAUUGUUGAAGAUGAGCGAGAUUCAUACACUCUCUAUGACGAAAAUGAAUUCCGACAAGAAGAUGAAACCGAAAUACCUCGGGAUCUUACGUUUUCAGUAAAUAUGGCUACAAAUCUUGAAGGUUUAGGUGAUGGGCAUACAAGAAUUCGUGAUAGACAAGCACAUCACCAAUUAAAAGAGGAUUUGAUUCAACAUAUUUGGAAUAAAUUUGGACAAUAAACUAUGUAUUAAUUAGAUAAAAUGUUUUUGUACUUUUAUUAAGUAAUAUGUUUGUUUGUUUAUUGUUAUUUAUAUUUUUAAUGUUUUUUUUUCAUAAAUAUUUAGUAUUGUAUUUUCACUUCUAAUUUCACUUUUAAAUGUUUUAAUAAUUGUAAAAUCUUAAUUUAAUUUAGAUUAUUAUAUUAUUAAAUCUUAAGAUCUUACACAUGUUCUCCCACUAAUCAACUUAUAAACAAAAGAUCUAAAUACAUGAUCUUACAUUACUUUAACAUUAUAUUCUCUCUAAGAACACCCUCAUAUGAUCCCCCAUUGAUGAUGCCCUUAGUCGCACAAUAGCGACACGCCUUUGAGAUUUGUUUGGGGGUUUUAGCUUUCUCGCUGUCUUGGACGAGAAGACUGAAACCAAUUGCAACAAAAAAGAAAAAAGCUCUCUUCUUUGUUCAUCAUCGAUCGAUUCUUCUGCAAAAAGGUAACUCCUUUUCACAUCCUUCUCUGCACCAAACCCUAAAUUUUCUUGCUUUUUUUUCUGGGUCGUCUCUCAUUGACAUCUUCCUUCAACUGAUACUGUCUAGUUUGCUUCCCAACUCUUGAAAUGUAUAAAUUUCGAGACUUUUCUGGAGAUUUGAGUUGGGAAUUGUUACUGCAGUUUUUGGCUACCAGUGUGAUUCGGAUAUUUAGAAAAAGAAUCGAUUUUUUGGAUUAUAACGGUAAAAGGAAUCAAUCAACGAUCUGUGAUUUGAUGAUUGUUAUCUUUUGUUGCAUUGCUUGCGGAAUAUAAAGAUGAGUCGAUCUUCAUAUAUAUGUCCACGAACCAACACAAGUUUGCGUUUGAUUUAGGUUUUGCAGCAACUAGUCCUGUUUUGGUGUCUUGCUAAUCUCACUCACAGGAGUAUGUGCAAACUCUUAUUUGGAAUAUAUAAGUAUAUUUGAUCCUACGACUGAUAUAUUUGUAGUGCUUUCAUGUUGGGUUUAUAAUAGAUAAUGGAUACAAUUGAAUUGCUAACAUUCCAUUUGAUCAUCAGAACCAAAGAACUAUUUGUGUUUGCAUCACCUCAUUCAGUUUUGGUGUCAUUGUUAUCUAAGAACGUUAUUUUGGAUAUAAGUAUUAUCCGGAUGUUUGGAAAAGGAUCUGUUUUUUUUGUUAGAUUUGGGUGUUUCCGCAGUUUUUGUAAAUUAGAUUGGAACUGGAGAAGGAAAACAUAUCGAUGAUUUAAUAUAAGAUCUCUACCAAAAGUUUUGUUCUUUAGCUCAAUUGGAUUUUGCAGUCUCUUAGGUUACAUCAAUCAAGUAGUUCUUUUAUGAAGAUCUGUGAUUCGAUGAUUGUUAACUCUUGUAGGUAAUGUAUACACAUCACAUAGAUGAGUUAUCUUGAUUUUCCCAUUCCAUCGAUCGAAUUGUAUAAAUAAACAGUUUCUGUUUGAUGGACUAUAUACUAAAAAACUGGAUUUUGGUCAUUAAUUCAGCUGUUUAGAAGAGUUUUUUUUUAGAAGGUUUUCCAUGAUUUUCUUUUGAUGGGUUUAAUAGAAAAUGAAACUGGAGUAAGAAAACUAUUUGAGAUGAAAUCGACUUCUUUACAAGCUCCUAAAGCUACUUUAAGAUAAGAUAUUCGUUAUCUUCUGCUACUUUGCUUGUGAAUAUAAAGGUGAGUCUAUUAUAUGUCCAUGAAACCAACAGAAGUCUGUGUUCCAUUUAGUUUUGUAUCAAUUAGUCACGAGAGUCUGCAAUCUCUUAUUUGGAAUAUACGAUUUUUGAUCCUACGACUGUUAUAUUUUGUUGCUUUCCUGUUGGGUUUAUAGUAGGUAAUGGAUACAACUGAAUUGUUGACAUUCCAUUUGAUCAGAAUCAAAAGUGCUUGCAUUCAGUUUAGAUAUGUGUGCCUCGUUUAGAUGUUGUUGUUAUCUAAGUGCUUGCAUUCUUCUUCAGAUAUGUGUGCCUCGUGUUAACUAACUGCAUCUUUGAUAUGUGUCUUGGUACAGGUUUGUGAGAUAUCGAUAAAAGCUAAGAAAUGGAAGAUGUACUUACCGAAAAUCCUCCACCUUCAAGAUUCUUCCAAGAAGAUCUUAACAACUUUGUUCCGCCACUUGAAUCCCUUCCAUCUCCUUUCAUCAUAUUCUCAAACCCGAAACCCGAACUUCCUUUCCGACCAUCUCUACUCAUCAUAGCCAUAUCUUCACCUUCCCUCUAUGUUUUCCACAAUUUACCUUCAAAGACUCUCCUUGGAAGUCUCAUCAUGCCUGAAGUCCCGUUUUCUGGGAACACCAUGGAACCUUCAUUAGAAGACAAAUCCUGCAACAUAUAUUCCUUGAGUAGUACUGAUGACAAAAACUUGAUCCUCCUCGUCUCUGUUCAGCUUCCUGUAUCUCCUGAACGGUCUAACCUAGUCUCGAGAUUUCUCAUUGGCCAAGACAUUAUCCCCGAGCGGGUUAUAAUCUUGGAUUCUAUUCAGAGCCGUAACUUCAGAGGUAGGCUCUCACCAGACGAAACAUUGGCAGCUAAACUCGAGACAUCUGCUGAGAAGAAAGCAAUAACUCACACCGGGUUGGUGAAUCUGGAUUACUUCCCAUCAGGGAGUGUAAUCGACGGUCUGAGUGCUUCACUUUUGAGCUGGUGCCAGCUAAAGAACAUAAGAGGAACAUUGGUGAUCACAUGGCCUGAGUUUGGUCCUUCUGUUAUAAGAUUUGUCGGAGCUCUGCUGAAGAAAAUUGUCCCGAGUUUGGAUGUCGCGAGUGUGAACAAAGAUCUGGAGAGGAAUUCUUCAAGAACUGGUCUUAAAAAGGAUACUUGGCUUGACUCUGAUCUAUAUACAUGAUUCAGAGACAGUCAUAGAAGCUUCUCGAAAAGUUGUUUCAUGUUUCUAUGCUUAGUUGGACAAAACAGAGACCUUGCUUGUGUUCUCAUUGCAAAAACAGUUUUGUUUCAUGUCAACUCUGUUUCUUAGGUGUGUGUGAGGACUUGUGAUUUUUCAAAUUUUAGUCUCAUCUUUUCUUGGGGAUCAAUUUGGUUACACACAAAUUAUUGGGCUAGCAACAUAAACAAGGCCCGGACGACAAUCUCAACAAGCUUCUACAAACCCGUAACACACGUUUAAAAAAGAAAAAGGAAAAAACCUACAGAAACGUGUUGUACAAGAGAAAGAUAAUUAGGGAAAGAAGAAGACACAGAGACAAUAAUCCUUCAUCGAUGGAAGAGCAGAAGAGCCACGUAAAAGACAAAAGAGGAAGAGAGGCUAAUGAAAUACCCAACGACGAUGUGUUAGAAGAAAUUUUGAUGAGGCUUCCAGUGAAAACCCUACUUAGAUUCCAAAUUGUAUCUAAACACUGGAGGCAUACGAUAAAGUCCAAGUCUUUUAGGGAGAGAUACAUGUUGCAUCAGAAAACCAAGGACCCCAAAUUUCUCUGUAUCUAUGAAGGUAAGAACUGGUAUGAGCCAAACUUUGCUCUAAUGACGAUGAGGUUGGAGUGGUCUUCGAGUUGUCUAGUCGAAGAAGAAGUAUACCAUAUUAGUUAUGAACACAAAGCGAAUUUGGUGGUAUUUUCUACAAGUUUGGAUGGUCUUUUCUUAAUCUAUGGCGGUAAGAACUUGAAUAGACCAAUAAUGGUGAUAAACCCAGCCAAUAGAUGGUCUCAAACGCUCCCUCUUGCUAGGAUUCAGCUAGAGCAUUGUUUAGACAAUAACAAGAGAGAGUUCUCUCCACCAGGAUUUGGAAAAGAUUGCGUCACUGGAAUAUACAAACUAGUAUUGUUACAUAACAUUAACAACACUUCAUCAUGCGAGGUUUUCGAUUUCGGUGCUAAGCAAUGGAGGCAGGUGGUUCCACCACCUCCUCCUAAUCAUCGAAUAAAGCAUGAGCAUGCACCAACUUUUGCAAACGGAUGGCUUUAUUGGUUCAGCCAAGAUAAGACCAUGUUGGUUGCCUUUGAUCUUCACAUGGAGAUAUUUAGAGUAGUUCCAAAUCCAAUUAUCGAGGCUUCAUCAUCAUCAUCAUCAUCUGUUGAGAUGAGUAUGAGAAGCGUAGAUGAUGACCGUCGUCUUGUGUGGAUUUCAGAGAUAAAUGGAGAUGGUAUGCAACACGUUUGGAGGCUCACUAACCACAACACAGGAGGGGCAUUAUUGAAAAUGGGCAAGAUGUUUUCCUUUGACUUGAACAAGGUUACUUCCACUUGGUUUGAUGAUGAUACUAAUGAUCCUUCUUCACUCCUCAGACUUGAGGCAAUUUCCAAGAAUGGUGGUAACAAGGUAAUGCUCUCAAAACAGCCCGGUUCCGAAAAUCUCCUCCUAUUUCAACCCCAAAACCCUACUUCCAUUCACAAUCGCAUCUUUUCUUAUUCCCCUGCCCGGCCCAGUGACAGUCUCCUUCUUCCUUAUUUCCCAAGUUUAGCCUCUCCCUUGUGAGUUAAUUAAGCUUUCUUUAAGUGGAAAGAAAGAAAACUAUUUGUACUGAAACUAGACUUCUUUACGAGCUGAUCUUAAAGUUAUCAAAAUUUAAGAUAUAUAUGUUUAGAUGAUUUAGUUUUGCAUUGCCCGUUUGAUAUUUAGUUUUUGCAUCAACUAGGUGUCUCUUUAAUCUCACUUACAGAAGUUUGCAGUCUUAUUAGAUGAUCUUAAGACUGUUAUAUAUUUUGGUGAUUUCCUGCUGGGUUUUAUAAGAUAAUGGAUACAAUUUCUUUUAACAUUUACGGAUAUCUAAUCUUUCAGAUCGAAUUGAAAUGUUUCUAAGAGAUUAUUUUCCCAGUCCUACUAAAAUAUGUCUCUAUGACACCAAAACUUGUACAAGAUAUUAUAAGAUUUUAAAAUUUUUUGGUCGCAAUGUUCUAUAAUGAAACGAAAUCAUUGUCUCCUAAAGCCUUUUCAUCGCAAAAUUACAAGACCAUGAGGUAGGAGUGGUCUUUGACUCGUCUAGUCGAAGAAGAAGAAUAUUUAACUAGCCAUAAACAAAGAGAAGAUGAUGCUAUUUUCCAAGAGUGUCGAUGGUCUUUUCUGUUUAUAUAGUUGUGUGGACAUUAAAAAACCAAUUAUAGUGAUAAAUCCAGACACAUGGUAUAAGAAGCUCCCUUUUGCUAGGAUUCAGCAAAAGCAUUUCUUAGACAACAACAAGGUAGAGUCUCGCCUUGGAUUUGUAAAAGACAAGGUCACAGGAACAUACAAACUAGUCUGGUUACGUACCAAAACAAAGAAGAAAAUAAAAGAGGAAACCUCAUGGACAUGCGAGGUUUUCGAUUUCGGUGCUAAGAAUUGGAGGCGGGUGAUUCCACCUCCUCCUAAUCAUGGAAUAAAGCACGAGCAUGCACCAACUUUUGCAAACGGAUGGCUUUAUUGGCUCAGCCAAGAAAAGACUAACUUGGUUGCUUUUGAUCUUCACAUGGAGAUGUUUCAGAUAGUUCCAAAUCCGGUUGUUGAGGUAUCAUCAUUAUCAUCAUCUGUUGAUAUGUUUAUGGAAAGUGUAGAUGAUGAAAGUGGUCUUGUGUUGAUUUCAGAGACAUAUGGAGAUGGUAUGCAACAUGUUUGGACGCUCACUCACCACAACACAGGAGGGACAUUAUCGAUAAUGGACAAUAUGUUCUCCAUUGACUUGAACAAGAUUACUUCCACUUGGUUUGAUUCUCAUUAUUCUUCACUCCUCAAACUUAUGGCACUUUCCAAAAAUACCGGUGACAUGAUCCUCUCAAGACCCCGCAGUUCCAAAACUCUCCCACUAUCUGAACCCCUAAACCCUACUUCCAUUCACAAUUGCAUCUUUCCUUAUUCUCCUCAUCGUCGCAUUGACAGUGCUCUUCUUCCUUAUUUCCCAAGUUUUGUCUCCCCCAUGUGAAUGAACUUCAAGUUUUUAAAGAGGAGAGAAAGAAAAAUAUUUGUUAUGAAAGCCCGCUUAGCUUCUUUACAUGCUCUUAAAGCUACUUUAAGUUUGUCAAAAAUAUGAGAUAUUUGUUUGAUUUUAGUUUUUGCAUCAACUAGUCUUACUUAAGUGUCUUCCUAAUCUCACUCACAAGAGUUUGCAGUCUCUAGUUUAAAAUUUUAAAUACUUUGGUCCGGCGACUGUUAUAUUUUGGUGCUUUCCGGUUGGGUAUUGUAGUAGAUAAUGGACACAAUUGAAUUGUUGACAUUAUAUUUGAUCAUAACCAAAAACUUUGUGUUUGCAUCACCUAAUUCGGUUUAGAUACUUUGUUAACCAACUCUCAUGGUUGGUGGUGUGAUGCUCUCUUGCACCACAAGAAGCUCUCAAGUCUCAUCUUUCUUGAAGAAACAGAGGAAUCUCUCUUUCUUAUUUAAGUAAGGAUCGAAUAAAAGCGGAUCUAACAGAUCAAUUGUCCGACACUUAGAAAAUAUGUCUUUCUCACACCAAAACCUGUACAAAAUCGUAGCAUACAACAAAAUACACAAGUUUUUUAUAUAUGUUUUUUACAAACCGAAAUCGAUAUAUAUAUAGAUAUAUUCUCUUGUCAUCUUGGACCUGAUAACUCCAUGGCUUGAACCAGCACAGAGGAAUCAUCUGUGAGAUCUGAAUAACGUUCAGAGGAAGAAAACUCAUUAGGUUUACUGUAACUUCUAUUGGUUUCUGCUCUCUGAGAAGAAGCUUCCCAUUUCUCAACGAGACCAUCGCCUUCAAGCAUUCUCACAACUUCAGACAUCUUAGGACGGUGAAUCGGAAGAUACUGUGUACAAAGCAAAGCCACUUGAACCAUUUCUUCCACUUCUAUUCGGUCGUAGUUGCUCUUCAAAUCCUUGUCUACUAUCUGUUCUAGCUUCUUCUCUUGUUGUAGUUUCUUCACCUACAAUUAACCCCAAAGAAAAACCCUAGAAGUGAGUAUUUUUGACCUAGUUGAAACAACAAGAUACAAAAUUUUACUCUUUUACUUCUUACCCAAUCAAGUAUCGCUCCUCUUUGGUUUGCUGCUUUUCCAAAUUCAAGAGCCCUCAAUCCAGUAAUCAAUUCAAGAAGAAGAAUCCCAAAACCGAACACAUCAGUCUUCUCCGAAGAUUGUCCUGUUGAGAGAUACUCAGGUGCAAUGUGACCCACGGUUCCUCUCACGGCGGUUGUCACAUGCGACUCCUCAUGAUCCAAAAGCUUAGCCAACCCGAAAUCUCCGACAACCGCUUCACAGUAAUGGUCAAGAAGUAUGUUUGCAGCUUUAACGUCACGGUGAAUGAUCUUUGGAUCACACUGCUCGUGCAAAUACAGUAACCCUCUUCCUGCUCCUAAUGCUAUUCGCUUCCUUGUGCCCCAAUCCAAUACCGGUUUAGCUACAAGACCACUCACAUGAAUCGUAAAUCAUGUCAAUUCAUGUAAAUAACUCAAAAUCAGAGGUGUUUAAUUAAUUACCUUUGAGACGAGAAGCAACACUGCCAUUGGACAUGUAAGGAUAGACAAGAAGCCGUUCAGAGGAAGUAGUGCAGAAACCGUAAAGGCGGAGGAGAUUCCGGUGGACGGCAAGGCUUAUCAUUUCAAGCUCUGUCUGAAACUGAAUCUCUCCACCGCCAUUGUUUAUAUCCUUUAAUCUUUUCACCGCGAUGAUGCUUCCAUCAUGAAGACAACCUUUAUACACAUUCCCAAACCCUCCUUUUCCUACCAGAUUCUUGCUACUGAAGUUACUCGUUGCGGAUUGAAGUUCUUUGAAACUAAACCUCCUUAGAUUCCCAAGACAUAUUUCUUCCUUGUCUUGCUCUGUAUAAGAUCCAAAUUCACAAACACAUUAGUCUGGUCUCACAUUCAAAAGUUAAGGAAAAGGGAUUCGAUUUUUCAUUGUGGAUCUUACCAUUAAUGUCAAAGAAUAAUACUUGUUUGUUAUGUCUUCUUCUCCACCAAAGAAGAAAACCAAAGCCAAUGAUCAACAAGCAAAAACAAGUAAGGCUUACACCAAAGACUACCGCGAUUUUCCGGUUUUUGGUUCCUCCAUCAGAUGAUUUAUCUAACAACAACAACAAGAACCAAAAACCAUUUUAGAUACAUUCUCUAGGAUUCAAAUAUUACAUCUUUUCUUUUUUACUUUAAAGGAUUGAAAUUUUAGAUAUUACUUACUUUGAGAACUGUUCAAGGUGAUUGACAUUGGCUUAGGCUGAGUCCCAUUACAGUCUUUCUCUGUGCCUGUUGGACAAAUCUGAGGAUUUCCCAUAACACUGCAUAACAAGUAAAAAAAAUGUUAAAUAAAAACUAUAUAAUAUAAUUAGGGUAACGUAUAAAAGUUGACAAAUUACAGAGAAACACAUUGGAAUUUACAUUACCCUGUUUCUUUCUCAAAACAGAGUAAAAACAGAGCAGACAAACAUUCUUUUUCAGAAAUAGACUUACCUAAAUGUUUUGGCAAGUGAUCUUGGAACUGGUCCACUCAAGUUAUUGUACGACAAAUCCCUGAAAAAUAAUUACAAAAUAUAUAAAUAUAUAUUUAUAUAAUAUAUAUGCAGAAGGAAAUUUAAAAGAAAAUAAAAGAAAGAGAACAUACAAAAAAGUGAGUUGGGUCAUGUUUGCCAAUGAGCUAGGAAUUGUUCCUGUCAGGCUGUUAUUAUUAACCCUCCUGCUCCACAAUUUUCAACACAAAAUAAUCUUUCCAUAAAUAAUUUUAUAAAAAUAUUAUAGAUUAUAUUAAAAAGGAUAAAAUCUUAUAGAUUAUAUAUUUAUAUUAUAGAUUAUAAAUAUACAGAAAAUAUGACAAAUUAUAUAAAAGAAAAUAUUUGAAUAAAUGGAUAAAAUCUUACAAGUAUUGAAGAUUUGUGGAAUGAGAAAGAGUGAAUGGGAUUUGACCAGUGAAGUUAUUGGUAGAGAGAUCAAGUGUUUUCAGUUUCAUCAAUUUCCCAAUCUCAUGAGGGAUAUGUCCUGUUAUGUAAUUGUUCUGCAAUAACCUGUAUCCAAAUAAAAUUAUUAGAAAACUAAAGUGAUUAAGAGAUGAAGAAACAAUGUUUUGAUAACUAUAAAACACUUACACAGUUUGAAGAUUUGUUAAAUUACCAAUACUUGAUGAAAGAGUUCCUGACAAGCUCUGGCUUGGAGCUCCUCUAAAUACACACAAAAGUAAAAACUGUAAACACAUGUUUACAUAUUUAUGUGUGUGUGAGUGUGUGUGUGUAAGUGCUUACAGGCUUAAGACAAAACCAUCAGGAGAACAAGUGAUCAUGUUCCAGCUACAUGGAUCAACUGCUGUGUCAUCCCAAUUCUGUAGAACUCCAUGAGGAUCAACCAGAGAGCUUUUGAUACCUAUUAAGGCAAGAACUAAAGAGGAAACAAAAAAAAUGUUUUAGGAAGAAAAAAAAGAUAAACUGAGAAAGAAAGAAGUUUUUGUUGAUGAAUAUUACCUUCAAAGUUAACACCUUUGUCUGUGAGUUCUGCAGAAGAAGAAGAUAGGAAACAAAUGAAGAAGUAGAAGAAGAUUGAAGAGAACAAAGCAUAACUCUUUUCUACUUUUCUUCUUCCUUGCAACAUCUUAGUCUAAAUCAAAACUUGUUUUUCUUGCAUUCAAACCUUGAGAGUAUUAAUAAUCUCUAAGGUGCAGAGUUUGAGGUGUAUUUCUUUUGUAUAAGAAAUAUUCUUUUUUUUUUCAAGUAUUUGUUUGGAGGUUAUUAGGAAAAAGAUGGAACAGAGGAUUUUGAUUUGGAAGUGUUUGUGACUGAUAGUGAAAGAGAGAUAGAGAGAAAGGGAAAGAUUUGUCUGCCAAUUAUUAUGGUCCUUUAAACUGGAAAAGGCCAGAGAGAAAUUCGGGUAAUGUUUUCUUCUUCUAUUUAUUUAGUUUUCAAUCAUGAGAGAAAAAAACAUAAUUCUAUAAGAUUUUAUGUUUUUAUUGAUUAGUCAAUAAACUUAUCUAUGAAAUUUUUUAAUUUGAUUUAUAAAUUCUCUACAAAUAUGAGAAUAAAUCACCUAUUUAACAAUACAGAACAUACAAAUUAUUGUCUAAAAUGCCCUUUUUUAAAAAAAAACUUAUGAAAAUGCCCUUUUUGAAUAGUUUACAGAUUUUGCCCUUUUUUAACACUUAAAAAUGUACGUAUUUAUGAUUUUUUUUUGCAAAAAUACGUACAUUAUACCAAAUACUAAACCCUAAGAACAAAUGGAACCGACUAAACCCAAACAUAACGAAUGAAACGCAUGUUAAAUUAUAUUUUUGGAGCCUAAAAAGAACAAAAUCCACAAACUAUUUAAAAAUGGGCAAAAUCCAUAAAUGUCAUUAUAAAAAAGGGCAAAAUCCGUAAUUAAUUCAUUAUUUAGAAAAGUCUAUAUUGUAGUAGUGCUUAAAAAUACAAAACUGCCCUACUAUUGUCAUGCAUGGAAAUAUGAUGAAAUAUUACAUAUGUACGAACUUUUUCUUUUCUUUUUUUCUUUAAAAGAUCAUCCCAUUGGCCAAUUUUAACUAGGGAUUUUUCUUUUCCGAAACAAAUUAUAGACAAACAACUAUUUUAGUAAAAACUUAAGAUGAGAUAUUGAAAAUGAAUAAUUACGUUUUUGUGAAAUGUUGGAUGCUGCAUACUACUACUGGACAUAGACAAUGGUAUGAACCAGUGAACUUACCAGCCUUGAUCGUUACAAUAUGAUGAUUCUACCAAAUCGACUAUGUACCAAAAACUAAAAAAUCAAUCUAUAUGUUUCUUACUCGUUAGACUUUUUUUAAGUAAUGUAGCUGGAUUCGAAGCCCUGGUUCUGUUCUACGGUCUAGAGGAUUAAUAGACUAAACCUGUUCUUGGAUGUAGGACGGCAACAAACGAUACAAUGAAUACUUUGGGAUAGAAAAACAAAAAUUAUAAUCGUAAAAAUAAUCAAUUAGAUAAGCUUUUAUCUAAAACAAUAGUAUAUAUAAGAAUAAAUUAGAGCAGGUGAAAAGUGAAUUCAUAUGGUAAGCACCAUUAAUCUGUAUAAAAUAUAUAUAUAUUCCAGGAAGAAUAAUUAAGUAGCCUCGAACAAAUAAAAAGUGUGAAAUUAUUUUGAUGUAACGCAAAGUUAAAUAACCUGUGAAUUAUACUAGUGGGACACUUGUUGGGCCGAUUAGAGAUACUGUGAGUCUGUGACUUAAGACUUUUCUUUUUCUUUUUUAAUGACUCGCUUUAACUCUGUUUUUAUUCCCACUCAACACCGUUAAUAUUUAUUUAUAUCUUCGUAAUUAUUCACUAAUUGUAUUAAGAAUUUAUUUUUUUGUAUCUCUCUAAAGUAUUCUCCUAAUUCAUUCUAAAGUAUUUUUUGUCAACUCUUUUUAUAAUUUGAAAUAAAAAUAUCUUGUAUCUAUGUUGUUUGUUGAUAACAUAGCAACAUACCAUGUGCUUUCGCCAAAUGGAUGGGUUUUUUUUUCGUCAUGUCAAAUGGAUAUUUUAAACGGUGGAAUAUUAGAGGGUAAAAUUAAGAAAUUAAUAAGACGGAAAAAAUAUGAUCGAAAUGAAGUUAAAAUGAGAACACUACAAAACUCGAGAUUCCAAAAGAAGAAUCAAUGAUUGACAGCUUAACAAUUGGUCUAAAAUAAAAGAGAAAUAUUAGAGAAAGCUAAACUUUGACAAAAAAGUAACCUCAUGUAAUACAUAAUAGUUAUAGUUAACUAACAAGAUAUGAAAAUGUGAUUAAGAAAUUACUAAUGAUGCGACUUAAUGUUAUAAAAUAGUGAUUUUCCCCCAUUUUGUAUUUCAUUUAACAUUUAUGGAAAUUAGAUUUUUAUCUGAACAUCUAAUUUUUUACGUAGUAUUAAAAAAAUAUAAAUCAUAAUUAGAAAUCUUAUACGCUAAUUUUUAUUUAAUAAACUAGAGCCUACAUAAAAAUAACAUGUUGCUAAAACUUAAAUAUCACGUUAUUCUUUUUUGUUAAAAAAAUUAUCACGUUCUUCAUUAUAAUUUUCUAUAAAUAAAAUUUAUUAUGAUACUGAAAAAAUAAUACUAUCAAACUUCUUUGGUUACUAAAUUGGUUUCUUUCAGUUAAUGUAACACUCCAAUCGGAUGUGUACGUGUACUUCCUUUUACUACUGCACAAUGAAAAACUGAAGUUGAUCCAGGAAAAAAAAAGAAUAGUAAAAAUGAUUGAUUAAGAAAUUAUUGGGGCGAGCAAUUAUUCCAAGUACUCCAGCAACGAUUAGUUAAUCAGAUUAAAAGAAAAAAUCUAAGCUUAAAUUAUUUAGAUCACAUUUGUCCAAAAAAAAAAAAAAAAAAAUUAUUUAGAUCACACAAAAAUCAAAUCUUUGUCUACACAGUGAUUAGUCAACAGACAAGCCACUUUUGAAACCACGAAAGCAAACUGCUUUAUAAAGCAAAAGCUGUUCUCCUCUAUCUUUCAUCAUUACUCUAAUUUCUUAGUGCAUUUCACUGAUUUCAUAUACAAUUUAUUUUGGGUUAUUUCGGGAUAAUGUUUGCAAAAAAAAAAAACUAAAAAGAUGAAUAUAUAAUAUAUCAUGAUUUGUAUGUCGUGUGCAUGGAUACACGUGUGAUACUUUUCUCUUUGUUUUAACAUUACAAAACGCUCAUUUCUUCUUCAUCAUCAUCAAUUUCUUUGACCAUGUCUCAUGAACUUGCAACCGCAUCGUAACUUUUGGGUGGGAGAAAUCAAUCUUGUACUUGAUAUUAGUUUGAGUUUUGUUUUGGUAUCUCUGACAGUUGAAAAUCAAUAGAGACUGAUUGAUAUUAGCCAUGAUUAGUUGAUUAUUUUGUUGUAGUUAUCUGGUCUUUCCAAAUGUUAGUUUAUGGUGAACACUUCCAUCAUAAGAGUUUAUUGCAAAUUUGUUUAUAUAUUUGCUUAGUCGAAGCCGCGUCGUGUUUUAGGUCCAUUAGAAAAUCUGGUGAGUCACUAUGAGAAAUUAGUUGGGUGUUAAAAAUCCAGAUCAACCCUUCGUUAUCAAAACAAAAAAAAAAAUACAAAAACAAACAGGCCGAUAUAUAAUAAUUUUCAAACAGUAACUAUUUUUUCAAGACUUAGAAUAAACAAAAUCUAUCGAAUAAACUAUAUUAGUCCAUGAAAUAAAUGUUCGAUUUUAGGUUAAGCCGUUUAAUGUUUUUUAUCUUUCUUAAUCUCUCUCUUGAUAUAGUUUAAUUAUUAUACACAUGAAAUGGACUUAUAGGCAUCAAAUAUAUGCAUAAGAAUGAUACCAACGGAAAAAAAUCUACAUUAAAAACAGCUUGCGGAACAUAUAUAGCCACUCAUAAAAAAACUAUCAAUAAAUAAUGUUUUUUCUUACAUGAAAAUGGUUAAUAGUAUAUAAAUUAUGAUAUUGAUUGUGUCAUGUCAUCUUAUGUGUGACCUAAUUUUCCCUCCAAUUUAGAAGAAGUCUUUAUGGUUUGUUUCAUCUUAGCAUAAUCAGAAGGGGAAGAUACAUUCUACUUAAAGUUAUAAACCCGCAAAUGAGUGGGAAAUAAUUAUAUAAUGUGGACUCAUCCCUUACAAUUUAUUUUCUAUAAAUUUUGUAAUCUUCUUAUAACCAGUGUUUUUUCUUCGAAAAAAAUAGAUCAUAAUAUUUUUUCUUAAGAUUUGAUUCAUGACAUUGUAAAAGACGUUGAGAUGUUGUUUCAAUUGUAAUCUAGUUCUUGGAUAUGUCUGGCUUUUAAUUAUAUAAACAAACUAAAAAAAAUCAAUUACCUUACAAAUAUAAACGAUUGAUUUUUUCGUACGUUCAUUGAGAGAGAUGUAAAAAGUAAAACCCCACCUCUUGUCUUUUCAAUCAUAUAUGUUCUUCACUUGUUAUUCAUUUCAUUACCCUCACUUUUUUUGUUACCCUACCCUUAUGUGCAUAAUGCAUAAGCAUAAUGAUAUAAUCCAUGAACCGGAGCAUGUAGCUGUUGGGAUCCACUGGUCAGAGCUUGCAUUACCGAAGCAAGAUCUAGCUUCCUCGAGAAUUAGCGUUCACUUCCCAAAAAGACUCAUUAUAGAUCAUAUGAGAUAUUCUCUAGCAAUAAAAAGAAGUAUUACACAUUUUCUCAAGUGAAAAAUAAGCCGCUAAUCGGUAACAUGAAGCUAGAAGACCAAAACUUGAAUGAACUAAGCACCACCGCAUUGGUAAGUUAAAGUCGUCAGGUAUUAUGAUAUGUAAGGAGAACUCUUAAAUAUCUUAUUAGCAGAAACCAUUGAGAGACCAAACCAAGAAUUUUUAAUGUCGAUCCUAGCCUAGACAGUUGAGUGAGUACUAAUCCUACAUAUUGUAGCUGGAUUUGUUAGAGUUUUGGUAUAUGCCUAAGCAAUAAGUGUCGUCCAAGUUAUGAACAUGUAUCUUUUUUUCAUGGGGUCGCCUUCUAUUAUUCUAGUUUUGGUUCCAUAUUGCCUCAAUUGUGACCACAAGAGAAGAAGAAAAAAAACAAAUUAAAUAAAGAAAAGGUAGAAUAAGUUCUUCUCUAAAAGUUGGAUGCACGAAAUCAAUUAGGACAACUCACACCUUAACUUAUUUUUCUUUACAUAGUGCCUAUAUGAUGGCUACAUACUUUAGACUAUUAAUAGUGCUUGUUUAAUAUUCCUAUUAUUGUUACUUGACUUACUACUCAACUUGAUUUAAAUAUAUGGUUACUGUUUAGUAUAACAAUAACUAAUACUUAUGAGUUUAGGAUUCUAAGAAAAUUAGAAGAUGGAAGAACACUUUGAGAUUUUGUAAUAGCAUAUCACUCGCAUAAGUUUUCAAAUUACAUCCAUAAUGUAUCGUGCAAUUAAUAUUAAAAUUUGUUUAAGACUAAAAUAAAUAAAUAAAAAAAGUUACUGCCAUAAAAUAAUGUUAAUGAAACAUUGAAAUUCACUUGAUAUAAAUGUAGAAACAUGAUAAAUGGAGAAACAAAAGACAAAGUUUGUUUCACAUCAAAAACAGAACAAACCAAAUUACAUUUUAUUAUUAUCGACAUUAAAGUUGGCCCCCAUAAAGGAUCCUUCAGGUUAAUAUAAAUGAAACUGUUACAUGCAUCAAAUAUUUUCAGCGUCAUAUAUAUCAUUGAUAAAAGUUGUCUGGCUAAAACUAAUUCGACAUUACUUUAGUAUGAUUGUAUUACUCAUCAAAAAGGUCAUUUUCUUAGACUUUGUGUAUACAUCAUUGUCUAAUACAUGUUCUUUUUUUUUUUUUUUUAAUAGUAUUGCAUGUUUCUUUUUUUGACAUCGUACUAUUACAUGUUCAUUGCCUAUAAUUUUCGCAAAUCGUUAAUUACAUUUUGAAUCUUAUGAGACCAAAUAUAUAUCUAAAGCACUACCAAACUAUUGGUAAUAAUAUCAAAAUUAACAUAGAAGAUUCAAAAAGUUAUGCGCACACAAGACUAAAAGAUCUUCAAAGCUUAUACACACCACAAAGAAGAGAACAUAUAUAAAAUCUUUCUGGUGUAGUAAACCAGAGAACAGAACAAUUACAAACUUCAAAAACACAAACAAGAACUGCUUUCAUCAGAACAUAACAUGUUCUCUCUUAUUCGAAAACAAAACACAAAAGAACCUUUAAAAAAAAGAGCAUCAUUCUUCUUCUUUAACCACUUCGUCCUCUUUACAACAGAACCCAAGAGUAGAUAUUGGUGAGCAACAUUCAACAGAUUUGACAUAUUUCUAGUAGACAACCGAACCUCCAAGUCCAAGCUCCUCUAGUCCUCUCUCUUGGCUCAAGUAUCCCUUCACAUCAACUAUACAAUCACACGCCAAUAGCUCGGUUCCAAGAUUAGCAUGCACCGCUACAGAGAAUUCUUCUGGUUCAAAACAAACCAGAACCCUAUCCACCAACUCCUUAAAGAUCAAAGGUCAAAGCCUUUAGAUCAUACCCAACUGUUUCAAAGCUUGCAUAGCUAAAUCCGUCUUCCGGAGUCACAUGGAUGGUUGAAACUGCAUCUCCUUCAACUGAAUUCAUCGAGUAACCGCAAGGAUCAAAGUUAAAAUCACAGAUUUCAGAGGCUGGAAGGAUGUUUCUAAUCCCUGAGCUAAUAGUCAUAUCAGAAGCUGAAACCGAAUUGGUUUUAAAGAACACCGAAGCUUUUUUCUUGUCUAAACCAGUCAUGCACAUCUCCAAUGUUUACACGGGUUUGUCACAAGCCACAUCAGAUUCAUAAGCAGAACAAGUAGAGUAGACAUGCCAUCUCUGAGGGUUAUUAUCUGACCCUCCCAUGACAAAAGCUUUGCUUCCUGCAUUGAGCUUACCAAAAUAGCCAUCAAGUAAAGCAACUUCCUCUGAGAAGCUACGGUGAGGGUAAGAUUGAGCUCCCGGGAAAAUGAAGCUACCACGAGUGUAGCGGACAGAUUUGACAGUAAGGCAAAGUGAAUCAGCCAGACUAAGGAUAUGCGGGAUCGAAAAGAGAAGUUUCGUAGUCCCGCAUGUUUUGAUGAUGAUCUUGUAAGGAUAGACAAAGAGGCUAGAUUCAGAGAGCACGUAAGAGUCGACCAAAGAGUUUGAGAGAGAGGAAACAAUUGUGCACUCUGCUGGAGUCAAGAUCUCAUCUAAAUGGGAUUUAGUAAGAGCACGAAGACCAUUUCCUUUGGGAUCAAGAAAGACACUAGGCUCAAAGAAUGAAAUUUCGAGCCUUUUCUCAAAUCCUUCGAAACCAAUAGCAGAGACCGCCAUUUUCCAAAAGACGAAUACAAAGAGGAAGAAGAGGCCGUCAAAAAAUGAGUUUUGAAGGAGAACAAAACAAGAAAGAACGAAGAUUUAUCGCGAACGUUGAUCAACCACAGUUAGUAAGUGGUUAGGAGGAAAACGUAUUGAAGAAAAUCAGGAUGGUUUGCGAGUGAUCUACAUAAAAAAAAUCAAACAAACAUGAGUUAACAACAUGUAUAAGAAGAGAAUCAACAACAUUGCUUUAAGACAAGACUUGGAAAACAGUAGCUAAACUCACGUUUGAGUAAGCAGCAGAUCUGAAUUUCUUGAUUCCACCGUUAGGUCUAACGUCUUCAAUGAUGUAUCCAAGAGGAGCUUCGUAGAAAAGACUGUUACUACUACUACUACUACUAUUACUAGACUUCUUUUUACCACCUUUAGUCUCCAUUUCUCAUUCACCUGUCGAUGAAUCAUAUAAGAAAGACAGAGCAAUUAAAAACCAAAACUCUGUUCCAAUGUAAGGGCAGCCAAACUCAGAUACAAGUAAGCUAUUGAUAGAAACCAUCUCAAAGGCCUCAAAUCUCUCAUACACAACUAAGAUAGAUCAAGAUUACUGAAAAAUCUGGAAUUAUGGAUCUAAAUCAUUGAAAAGUUUGUGAGUGUAAUCCAAAACACAGAGGACAAACUGAAUCAUCAAAAGGAUCUUACUUGUUGUUAUGGGUCAUCAAAUUCCAACAAAAACCCUAAUAAAAAUCUGAAUCGAACCCUAACGAUAAUCAAAGCAUAAAGGUGGAACCUUUAGAAUUACUUGAACAAACCCUAAACUCAUAAAAGGCGAUUCAUUGAAGAAAGAUUACUUACAAGUCAAGAAAAGGAUUCUUUAAGUUAACGAACCAACCAAUCUGAUUAAACCCUCGAGAGCCAAAAACCUGUAAAUAAAAAACAAACGCAUAAGUAUCGAACUCAAGAGAAUGAUCAAAGAACAUUUUCAAUACCCAGAACCAGAAAUCAAAGAAAUAAUAAACAAAGAUUUACCCUAAUAGGAUUGAAACAGGACAACAAGAAUUGAUUCGAUGAGGAAAAAACAAAGGAAAUUUAUCUUUCAAAGUUUGAGUGUCUAUGAAAAACAGACCAAAGGAGUUUUGAUUUUAUAGUCUGCGGCUAGUGGAUUGGUAAUUACAUAUUUGCCCCUUUUUUAUUUUAUUUUGGUAAUUAUUUGCCCCUUGUUAAGACGAAGAUGGCAAUUAUUUCAAUUUAAUGUAAUGUAAUUUUUUUUUUUUUCGUCUAGAUUUAUUAUUAAUUGCAAAUUAUGAGAACUGUUAUAUAGACGAUUCUACAACUGACAAUUCCUUCCGACCCUGAUUAGAUCUACGACAGACUACACUUCCUUCUUCAUAAUCUUGAUGAAUACCUUCAAUGAUCCACGACCUGGCGACACUUCAUUUUCUGCGUAAAAUUCUGGCGAACACACUUGCCUCUAUUAAUCUGCAAAUUUGUUAAUAAAUCGCAAUAUCUAGGACUCGAACCUCAAACCUCUUGGUGUAGAAGCAUUAAAUCAACCCUUGGUCAACCAAUGGGCCAAGGGGGCUUCCACAAUGUAAUCUAUAUAAACGUUAUUUAAUUAUUAUUUUUUAAUUAAAAUAUUAAUAAUUGGGCCAAAACCCUAUAAACGUUAUAAGUUAUAACGUAAUCUAUGGGCCUGAUUGGUAACAGCUGUAGCUUUACAUUUUUUGCUGUAGAAAUAUGACUGUAUGUUUAUUUGUUGUGGCUGUAGAUUUUCUUGCUGUAGUAUUUUGUUUGUAGAAUUUAAAAUUUUGGAAAGUUGAAAAUUAUUUGCUUUAGGAAAAAAGGUUUUCUACAGCCAAAAAAAUGAAUUAAAGAAAUAUUUUGGCUGUGAGAAAAAAAAAAAGGAAAGCCAAAGCUUCUAAAGCUUGAUUGGAUGUAUUUCAAAUCUUUAGAAAUUUUUUUGCUUUGUAAAGACUCUAAAGCACUUGCCAAUAAGGCCCUAUAUAAACGUUACAUGGCCAAAGUAAGGAUAUUCACAUUACUAUUCACAAGUUAAGAUAACGUCAGUGUUUAAAUUGCUUACAACAUUGUUGUUGACAGAAAAUGAAAAUGUUGUUAGAAUAUAUCCAAAAGAACCAACUUUAUUUGUGGAUGCAUCCAAAAACAACUUUCGGUUUGUCCAAAUUCCACAAAUAAAAAUGCGAUUAGCAUAUAUUCCCUGGUAAAAGCUUUUAAACAUCUAUGCACUAGAUUAAGACCAACGUCAUAUAGGAUAUGAAAACACAUUACAAAUUGUUAAUGUAAACAUUUAAAUUCUAGUUACUGUUAGUAAAUAUGCAGAUUGGUGGAAUUAUUAUGCAAUUUCGCAUCAUAUACUAUUAAUAAACAAAACUUUUGAUAUCUAAUAUAAAUAUAAUAUAUAUUUGUAAAACAAUAUAGGAAUACGAAGCAAAUCUCAAAGAUAUCAACAUGAUGGGUUCAGUUGAUAACCCCAAACUAAAGAAAUGAAUAAAAAAGAUUUUGAUUCUUCAAAAUGUACACAUAAUAAUAGAAAUUGAAUUUUAGCGAGAAAAUGUUUAAGAUUUAUUUUUAGUUAUUGUGGAGAGAAGACUAAAUUAUAUUAUUAUGUAUAAAUUUAUAUUUCUUUGUCUUUUACUUAUAAUAAUAAUUUAUUUAUAUUUAACUUAAAUAUUUUUAAUCAUAAAUAACAAUAACUAAAAAUAAAUAUGUAUUGAAUGAACAUUUUAAAUAAAUUAUAUUUUAAAUUUGUAAUUAAAUGCAUGCUUAGGUGGAUGAUGAUGUGGAUAGCCUAGAUGGAGAGAAGACUCUCCUAUUAUAUAUAUAGCUAAAUAGUAUCGUGUAUAAUAAUUUAAAACAAAACUAAAAUAUAAUUAUGUAUACUUUUAAUAUUUUAGCUUUUUAUAAAUAUAAUAUAAAAUUUUAUAUAAGUAAAUGUAUAAAUGCAUUUGAUAGUAAUACAAAUAUUAUGCACUUAUUAAAAAUAUAAAAGUUUAUUUUAAAAAUAUCAAAAAGAGGUAGAAAGAGCACAAUUGCAACAUUGAAUUUAAUAAGAUAGAAACAAAAAAAAAAAGUAAAAAGAAAAAUAAUAGUGACAAAAUUAGUCUCAGAAAGCUAAAUUCCUAAAGAAAAAGCAAAUAUAUAUAUAAGUAUUUUUUUUUUCUUCUAAAUACAAUAGAUAUAAAUUAGAAAAAAUAAACCACAUUUAAAAUAUCACAUUUGAGUUUCUAGAAUUAUAAAAAAAAUGUUAUUCAUAAGAAUUCAUGCACUGAAAGAGAAUAUAUAUAUAAUGAACGGUCAUAGGAUACUAAGUCAAAUACAAAAAAAAAAGUUUAAUAUAUGUAUAUUAUAAAUAGACGUGUACAUCUAUAAAUUAUCAUUUAUAACAUUUAUAUUAUAUUUAUAUAACCGUUUUUUACCAAUAGAAUUAUAUAUAUAUAUUUUAAAUAGUAUUCGAAUAAAUUUUUUUAAAAAUAAUGUAAUUUACAAAACUAUAAAAAAAUUGAAUAUAUAUUAUUAAACCCACGCAACGCGUGGGUCCAUUUCUAGUAUAUACAGUUUAUGACGAUUGAGAUUACUAAUCAUCAUAGUAAAUUUUUGAAUGUCAAUUUUAGAACAAAUUUUGUGCAAGCGAGUUUUAUUUGUUAUUGUCUUUUCCUGCAAAUGUCUAGGGUUAGGGUCCAAAUACAACACAAUUAAUGGUCUUUUUUCUUUUUCUUUUGUUUAAGUAUUCAUUUCUCAAUACCAAACUCUUUGGCUCUAUAAGGAGAGGUGUAGUCUUUCGAGAUCUGCUGAUUGCACAACCUAUUGCUGUGUCAAUCACAGUGAUAUUGUUUCCGCUCACCAAACGUCAUCAUGUUUAUGUUCACACAUUCGAAGUAAAUUUGUAUAUUACAUGACAAAGUUCAGAUGUAGUUUCUCUGCAAGUUCUUAUGCUUGCCAACGAUUUCUUACACAACGUAGUUCAAAAUGUUCUUAUCUUUAGAGGCGAGAUCAAUCUACAAUCUACAAGUUCUGAAGUAACUCUAGGGAGUUUGCUGAAAUAUGUGACCUCUGUUCUGUUCAAGUGCAGCAAGCCAAAUGAUGAGAAGCAUUUUGCGGAUGCCAUUAAGCACACCUCUCACGCCUCGCAGAUGGACUUUAUGUCGAUUUAAAUUUCACUGAGUUAGCUUUGUUGUUAAUAUGUCUCCCCUUAUAAUACAUACAUAGAAAUACCCCAUAAUAACUUAAAAUGUUUACUUGAUUUCAGGAUUUAUGAUAUCGAAUAUACAAGUAAGCUAGCUGCAUUUGAUGUACUUAAAAUUCCAUUGUGCCAUGGAUGGCUAGUGUUAUUAGUUAUUCAAAAAUAUUUGUUUAUUUUUUGUUUAUCAUUUACGUUAACUUGUUAGAUUCUUCCUAUACAUUUUAUUCCUCUUUAUUCCUAUUUUUUUUUUUUUAUUCAAUGUUUCAAAUUUCUUUUUGUAGAUUCUCAUCUUCACCAAUUGAAUCCGAUAAGAAAUCUCAACUUCAGCCCAAACUAUAAGGAAAGAGGCCCAUUGGUUAAAUAAAGCCCAGUUCAGAACAGUAGCUCAACAAAACAAACACGACGUGAUUGAAAAGCAUGUAUAGUCCGGUGCGUGGAAGACAAGAAAAGCAAAAAUUCUGUUUAGCCGACAAGACAAGUGUCAAAUUAUCAUUCGAUAAUGUGACUAUGUUAGCUCCAAGUUUAGUUAGGGUUUUGUAUAAAUACGCAGUGAAUUCGUUCAUUGUUAAAAAUUGUGAGAAAAUAUUGAAUCAAGAAAACUGCUUCUUAUCGGAUCUCUCUUUCUUUCUCAGUCAUGAUGAAACAAUAUUUGUUUAAGAUCACCGACCUCUCCCGUAACCAUUGGUUUUGCUCUUGCUUCAGCGGCCGUUGUAGCUGUGGUUCAGCAGCGGGAAUUUCUCAUGGAUAUAGCCACGAUGAAGAAGGAGAAUAAGGCGGAGAAGAAGAACUUGAAGGAGGAGGAUAAAGCUGAGAAGGUGAACUUCAAGGAGGAAGAGGCGGCGGAGAAGCCGGCGGCGAACUUGAAGGAGAACGCCGAGUAGACGAGUUUAGUUUAGUAGUUUUUUAAUCGUUUGUUCAACGUCGGCAGCUAAUGAUGUUUAGUUUCUUUUACUUAAUUUUGUUUUUAAAAUUUAUUUUUAGUGUUAAGCAUUGAAGAACUGAUGACUACCUAAAUCCAAUAGUUUGCAAUAAAUUUGUUUAACCCAACCCUCAUCUUAUAUUUUACUUUCUUCCCGAAUUAAUUAGGGAUAUGUUGUAAUUUAGUACGUUUCCAAACUUAAUAGGAAAAUUAGUACAGACACUAUUCACAAUUGGGAAAAAUGUCGUUAAAAUCCCAAACUUAUUCGACGUUAAGUGGGUUAAUAAAUCCUCAACUCAUAACAAAACGAAAUAAAUAUCAAACUUAUGUUGACUUUCCAAAUAAAUAUCAAACUUAUGUUGACUUUCCAAAUAAAUAUCAAAUUUCCGUUGACCUAGCCAUAUUAGGUACGACGUUAAGUGGGUUAAUAGAUCUCGUUAACGGAGGUAAUUUUCUGUUAACAUAUGUGUUAAUUGAUAACGACAUUGUUUCAUAUAACAACAAAACGACGUCGUUUUGUCGUAACGAUUGAAUUAAAUCCCUAAAGUCAAUCUUAGAUCCCCAAAUCGAGCAAAAUCCCUAACCCUAAAUAGAGUAUGAUUUGAAACUCGGGAUUUUAUUGAACAGUUAUGACAAAACGUCGUUUUGUGUUUAGAAGGAAUACUUGUUAGUAUUUUGAUCAACACUAACAGGUGUUAACAUUGUUUGUUAACUCACUUAACGUCAUGCCUAAUAUGGCCAAGUCAAUGAAAGUUUGGUAUUUAUUUGGAAAGUCAACAUAAGUUUAAUAUUUAUUUGGAAAGUCAACAUAAGUUUGAUAUUUAUUUUGUUUCGUCUUGAGUUGAGGAUUUAAAUCAACGUUUUGAAUAAGUUGGGGAUUUUAAUGACAUUUUUCCCAUUCACAAUUAGAAAAAUCUCCACGUUUUACUGUGUUCUCCUGUUUUGAAGACAUUGUAACCCUCAAAUAUUUGUUAUAUUUAUCACAAUGCCAUCGUCAUACUUUACACAUUAAAAAUAAAAAAAAAAAGUUAAAAGACAAGUUGCAGAGAGAGAGAGAGGUGGAGGAAGAAGACGAUCUUCGACCCUUUAAGAGAUCAGAAGAUAGAGAAUUUCCAAACAGAAAUGAUUUGUCUGCUUCUGUAACUUUCUCUACCAUUAUUGCUGCUGAAAUAUCAGAGAGAUUCUUUGUGGAGAGAAGACCGAAGAAAAGUUUUUUAUUAACCGAUUAAAAACGCGUAAACGAUAACCAAUAACGAACAAUUGAAGAAUUAUAAAUUUCUGGGGAUUUAGCUUUUGAUUCCUAAAAAGGUUGAUGAAGCAAGUACGAAUCACAACAGAACAGUUGUUUCAUUAUUUUGCAAAGAUUGGGUUUGGUGGAAUUUUUUUUAUUUUUUUAUUAUCAAAAUCACCUCAUCAGAUGAUGAUAGAGCUGUUUUAAGCAUAAACUUUUUUUUUAAUUAUAUAAAAAUGUGAAUAAUCAAUGAAUAUAACAGAAAAAAAUCAAAGAGAUCUUUGUGAAUGUAGAAGCAUUUAUGACCGUGCGAAAAUUCCUUGUUUAUCUUUUUGGGAUUUAUAAACUAAAGAAAAGUCUUUGAUUUUUUAUUUGGAUGGCACGAAAUCUAAAGCCUAAAUGUCUUGUUUUGAAUAUUCAAUUUGUGAUGGCAUUUGGUAAAUGUCAUGCCUUCUUUUUUUUUUUUUUUUUCCGUUGAACAUCUGAAAUUUUUUAUAAUUUUGAUGAACAUAAUAUAAAAAUCAUGGAACAACAAAAUGGUAAGACAAAUAAGAGGAUAUACAUAGAUUUAUGUAGUCUUACGUUGUCGAGAUGCCCCAUUUUGGCCAGAGUAAUCGGCCACUUGAUUACAAUGGAAUGUUAUUGAACUGAGUUCCGGCACAAAAUGGCUUCCCCAUUUAUGGAUGUCUACUAUAUUCUUGCUUUUCUUACGAGUUACGAGUAAAAGUUUCGAUUUAGUGACUUUUCUUGUAAAUUUGUUUCGGUCGUUUCGAUUCUUCUGAAAAUUAGUUACAUUUUUAGUAGUUGUGCUUCCCAAGUCAAUGUUUUGAAUGAAGCGUUCUUUUUAAAUAAGUGGAUAGUAUUUUGUUUCUUCGAAUCUUUUUUAAGUUAUCGUGAGUCAUGUUGGUGUCGGAUCCCGCACCAGUAGUCCGAGACCAACCAAAGAUUGCCACGUAGUCAAGACGAAGGCCCACAAGGGAUAAGGCCCAUUGGAUCCGUAAGUUAAGGGUGCGGUCGAGGUGGUGACACCACAAAGAGAGUUCGAAGUGAUUGCACCUCGAUACGAGUCCGGAGUCGAAGUCACAGUUAAGUCGGUUCAAGGUUAUUUAGGCUGAGAGGCGAGGCCCAUGAAGGUCGGAAUCAAUUCAAAUUCGAACGUUGAGCAUUAAAUGCGGAGACCGAAAUGGACACAUUUAAGAGAGAAUAAUUGUACUUAAUUAGCCACUUAAAUGUCGCUUUUCUAGGUAUAAAUAUAAGGGUCAAUGGCCAUGUAAGGGCCAAGGAUGGUUGAAAAUUUUCUGAGAUUGUGUAUCCUUCUGUACAGUAGUUUAUAUCUGUACAGUCAUUCUUCUGUACAGUACAAACUGACUAAGUCUUCUGUACAGUCUAAGGUCUUAGUUUAUAUCUAUACAUUCAAAGCGACACUGCAUCAUUCUUUUUUGGUCUUCCUAUGUUCUUGUCCUGUCUUUCAAAUGGGUAACAUUAUCAUAAAUAGCAAUUUGCUUCAAAAUAUAUACUUGUAAAUUAAUUCAUUGCGUUUAUCAAAUAUGAUGGUUUUUAUAAAUACAGUGGUCUAUAUAUGUAUCUGUACAGUGGUAUUCUGUACAGUAGUCUUCUGUACAGUGGUAUAUUUUUGUACAUACAUUCUUCUGUACAGAUGCAUCCUUUUGUACAUACAUUCUUCUGUACAGAUGUAGACCACUGUACAGAUAUACGCCACUGUACAGAAGAAUAUCUGUACAGCAGAAUAUAUGUACAGAAGGAUGCAUCUGUAUAGUGAUUUAUAUCUGUAUAUAUAUUAUUUGUACAGUGUUCGGUAAUAUAAAUUUUAAAUUUUAUAAAACAAAAUGCAUAUCAAAUGAUAGAAAAAAAAACAUAGAUUUUUAUGUAUAUGAUCAAUUUUAGAAAAAUAAAAUUUACGAACGAACAUUUUAGUUAUUAAACUUUGAGGAAAUGAAAUAUAAUAAAGAAAGAAAAAGGAAUUAAAAAAAAAAAACAUGACCCACUAAAAAACUUUUACGUCUCACGCACUCUAUCUCACACUCUCUCUCUUAGUCUCUCUUCUCUCACACUCUCUCUCUUUCUCAAUUAUAAAUAGUAACCGUACUAGUUCUAUAAUUAAGUUUGGGAAACGUACUAGUUUCCCAACUCACCCAAUUAAUUAUCACUAGAAUAUGGAAUUUUUUAUGGUAACAGGUUUUUUUGGCCUUGACAUUUAUCCUCUAUGUUUCAUAAUAAAAAAUCUUGUAACUAAAUGUAGAGAUUUUUGUUUUUCUACAUUAAAACAGAAUUUCAUAUAUAUAAUUAAAGAUAAUUUUGUCAAUAAUAAAAUAUACGGCAGAAUAGAUUUUAGUCAAUCUAUUUUUUUGUACACAAAUUUGAAGAACAUCUUUCUGAAAAAUAUAUUUCUAAAACAUUUUAUAUAGUAAAAAAAUCAAAACUCUAAAACAUCUUAUUGUUUGAAACUGAUUGUAUUUUUUUUUUCCACAACAAAAGCAUGGAAAAGAGGUUUUGUCCAUGUUCAACCUCAUCCAAGUCGGACAUAUAUUAACUUAAUUGUAUUCAGAAACUUGAAAAAAAAAACACAGACACAGAGAGCAAAGCAAACCCACAUAACAGUCUAAACGCACAAAAUAACCUUAAGUGUUAUUAUUUGAUACAUACGUUUUCAAUCUUGUCGAUAGUCUGGGAAGAGGCCUAACUCUAUCGCCUUCCUCCCGAUAAAGCCCCCCAGUGGUGGACCAGUCAUAGGACCCCGGAAAGGGACGAUAUUACCUGCUUCAUACAAACUUAUGAAGCUUGGGCGAGGUAUAAAACGCUCCUCAGUUGCUUCUCCAAUGGAAAACCCAUACCCACCCAGGAGAGUCAUGCAUCCAGUAAGCUCAUUGAUGGCUCUUCUAAUGAUAACUUUGCGAACAACAUGCUCACCAAGCUCACCAACACGAGACAUGGCCAAGCCCUUAAACGUUAUGUAGACAUUAGCAGCUGCGGCUUGGAGUGUGGCAUUUCCUUGAAUACCUUCUAUUAAAACGUUGACAAUCUGCAACUGGGACAGAUCGCUAACUUCAAGGUUCCUAUCGUUUGUACAAAGUGCAAGUUCCAAAUUUAGACGAAUCCAAUCAUUGUCUUGCAACUCUGAUUCCUUGACCUCGUAAAAUCGUUGAGUAUCAUUGAAAUCUGACGGCCAACAAGGCAAUUGGGCAUCAUCCACCACCACCAGUUCAGUAUUAGGAAGUUGGACCGGCUCACUAGGGGUACCUAGAGGCCUAGCAAUAAAGCACGUCAAACUCAAACUGCGACCGGGCUUACGACAUCCUUCAGCAACUCCAAGCUCAAGGGUCACGGGGCUAGUUGCUGGAUCGCAAGCAGCCAAAGUUAUGAAGUAAAUGGCCUGACAAAUCAUUGUAAGGCUGACUUUCUUUAGGUGGUGGAACUGCAAAUUUGUCGCAUUGCACAUAUUGUAACGAUGAAGCCCGAAUCUAGCAUAACGCUCGACCAAGACCGGAUAAGGAUAUCUAACAUCCUCGCGUUCACAGUCGUACGACAUCAAUCCAGUUGUACCACGUGGUACUGAGAUACCUUCCAAAUUGAAACCCCCGGAUUCUCUCACUUGACGCCAAUACUCCAUCUGCCCACCGGUAAACGGAGUCCAAACCGACAUCUUCUCCGAUCGAUUUGUGGAUGCUUUUUUUCUUCCUUCUCUCGAUUUAGGUUUAUGGCGAUGAAACUGAUUGUAUUAAAUUGAGGGAUUUGGCUGCAUUGUAACAAAAAAAUAUCAGUUUUAAUAUUAUUAACAAAUAUAUCAGUUUAAAAAAAUGAAAACAAAUAUGAAAAAAAUGUAAAAUUUAUAUUGAAGACAUUUUUUUAGAUAAUUCUGAAACCUUUGUUACAACAAUAAAUCUGAAGUAAAUUUCAAGGCAUUUGUUACUUAUUCAAAAUUCACCUUUCUCUGGUCAAGGUUACAGAAUACAUAUACUUUUUGCAGUCCAAUAGAAACUUAAUUAGAAUAUCAGCUUCCAGCACUAAUAGCUGUUUGAAGCAAAGCCUCUAUCAUAGACCGAAGGGUCUAAUUGAAAAAGACCACUUUAAGAAAAAAUAGGAAAAUGUAGUAAUCAAUCCAAUAAAGUGGUGUUUUCCAAUUUUAAUUAGUAUAAUAUAAUUUUAAAGCACGUAUUUUUUUUGUUUGACAACCAAGUACUUUUUUGACAAGUAUUAUUAAUAUGCUAAAACUGGACCAAACGUUAUAAUAAAAUAAAAGUAAAAAAAAAACAGUUCCUCAAUUUUUUAGUAAAAUUACCAUUCAAGAAAGUGUAAGCUCCAAGUUAAGUUAGGGUUUUUGAGUAACGUCCAAGUUUUAAGACUUGGUAUAAAAACAUAGUUUCGUUCAUUGUUAAAAACUCAAGAGCAAAUAUUAUUGACUCAAGACAAGUUUUUUUCAUUAACUAUUCUUUUAUCGAAUCUCUCUUUUCUCUCUCAAUCAUCAUGAUGAAACAGUAUUUGUCCAAGGUCACCGAGUUCUUUAAGGCUCCUAUGACCAACGGUAUGGCUCUUGGUUCAGCGGCCGUCGCAGUUAUGGCAAGUAAGCGAGACCUUCUCAUGGAUCACUUAGCCACGAAGAAGAAGGAGUACUUGAAGGAGGAGAAGUCGGCGACGGGCUUGAAGGAGAACGUGGUGGAGGCGGCUAAGAUGGAGUCGGCGACGGACGUCAAGGAGAACGCAGAAUAGAGGACUAGCGUUAAUGAGUUUUAAUUUGAUGUUUUCUAGUUUGAUCAGUUUUGUGUUUUUUUUAAUCGUUCUUUUAAGUUUUAACAUCGCUGGCUAAUGAUGUUUAGAGUCAAAACUUGAUAAUAACUAAUACUGUUUCUAUAUCUCAACCAUUAUCUUCUAUUUAGUUUCUUCCAGAAUUAUAUAUCACUAGAAUACGGAAAUUUGUGUUCUUUUUAUUCUAAAAUUAAUUGAGACAAACGAACAAAGUGUUAACGAUUACACAAUAAAAUUAAAAGUAAAAAUUAAAGGAUCAUCUAUUGAGAGAUAUUUGAAAAAAAAAAAAUUAGGGUUUCAAUACUCGUCAAUUGAUUUUGUUAAUCUAUUUAACAUUUGAUUUGAUUAUAAUACAAAAAGUUAAACUUGUACUUUGAAUUACAACAAGAACAAUGAAGAAAUGAAGAAAGAAGAUGAAGAGAAAUCCUCAAGAGAAACCGAAUGGAUACGGCUAGAUAAAACCGGUUCUAAAUGAACCGGACCUUAACGGUUAUCCAAUUAAAGAGACUUUACUUGAAGCCUUCGACAGCUGAGACUCUGUCUCACACAGAGUCUUUUAACAUAUUUUGAAAUUCGAAUUUAUUUUUAAAAUUAUAAGAAAAGAAUAAAAUUAACCUAAAAAAAAACGAAAGAGAGAUCUAUCUUUUUGCUUCUUCUCAUCGUCGUCAUCACCAUCAUCAUCAACAAUUCGAAUCUGAAAUCUGCAAUUCACGAGAAGAAGUUUUUGUAACAAUGGCGAAUCCAAUUCAAGAGGUACAAAUUCGUUCCAAAUUUUGGAUUUUUCUCGAUUAAUGAUUCUUCUGUAACUUUUUGAUUUUUUUUUUGUGAUGAUGAAUGAAGAUUAUUGAGAAACAAGUUCUAACGGUAGCGAAAGCUAUGGAGGAUAAGCUAGACGACGAGAUUGCGUCUUUGGAGAAGCUUGACGAAGACGAUUUGGAAGUUUUGAGAGAGAGGAGAUUGAAGCAGAUGAAGAAAAUGGCGGAGAAGAAGAAACGUUGGAUGAGUCUUGGACAUGGUGAAUACUCUGAGAUUCAUUCUGAGAAAGAUUUCUUCUCCGUUGUUAAAGCUAGUGAACGCGUUGUUUGUCACUUCUACCGUGAGAAUUGGCCUUGUAAAGUAAUGCUUCUACAUUUAUUUGGUUUGAUUGUUUUUGGUUUUUGGGUUUUGUGUUUGAUCUUUGAUUAAGAGAUUUAGAAAUGUGUGCUUCUUUGUUCAUAGUUACUAGACUUGUUUUAGUAUUUAAGGUUUAAGUUUGUGGAUUUGUGUGCAUUGCUUGAUUAUUCUUCCCUGUGAUCUCUGAGUUUCUUUAGAGCUUGUGAGGGAUUAGUAAGUAACAAUGUUGGUGGUUUUUUGCUGAUGGGGUUUGAAAAGUUUGUCACUUUGUUGGGUUGAUUGUCUCUGGUUUUCGAAAAGAGAUGUUAGGGACAUAAUUUGUUUCUCUAAAUAUGGUGCUUCUUCUCUGUAGUCACUAGACCUGUUUUAGCAUAAGAUUCAAGUUCAUACCUUGUGGAUUUGUCUGCUGAUACUUCCCAGUGAUCUUUGAGUUUCUUAGAGCUUGCAAGUGAUUAAUAACUAACAUUCUAACAAUGCUGGAGAUUUUUGCUGCUGGGAUUUAAAAAGUUUGUCACUUGUUGGUUUGAUUGUUUCUGGUUUUUGUAAUGAGAUCUUAGGUACAGAAAUUUGUUUCUUCAAAAAUGGUGCUUCUUCUCCAUAGCCACUUGGCCUGUUUUAGCGUAAGAUUUAAGUUUUUAUAUGCCUUGUGGAUUUCUUUAUAUUGCCUGAUUCUUCCCUGUGAUCUCUGAGAAUCUUUUGAGCUUGCUAGUGAUUAAUAACUAACAAUGCUGGAAAUCUUUUGCUGGCUGGGCUUCGAAAAGUUUGUCACUUGUUGGUUUGAUUGUUUCUGGUUUUCGUAAAGAGAUGUUAGGAACAGAACCAAAAAUGGUGCUUCUUCUCCAAUCUCCAUAGCUAAUAGACCGGAUUUAGCAUAAGAUCAAGUUUAUAUAUGCCUUGUGGCGUUGUCAAUGCCUGAUUUUUCGUGUGAUCUUAGAGCUUGGAAGUUAUGUAAUAAUAACUAACAAUGCUCUUGAUAAGUUAUAGCAAUGAUCUUGAUAAGAUAUGUUAGGCACAGAACCAAAAAUGGUUCUUCCUGUGCAUAGCCACUAAGCCACUAGACCCCUUUUAUCAUAAGGUUCAAGUGUAUACUUUGUGGAUUUUUUUGCAUUGUCUGAUUCUUACCUGUGAUUUCUGAGUUUCUUAGACCUUUGGAAGUGAUAUAGGAGCAAUGCUCUUGUGUAUUAUUCUCUAUGAAGAUUAUUGCUGUCGUGUUUCAUUCGAGUGUCACGAUUUUUUGCUGCUGGUUUUAGCCUUUCUUCAAAAAGUUAUUACUUUUUGGUUUGAUUGUUCUGGUCUUGGUAAGAGAUUUUAGGACAGACAUGGUGCUUCUUCUCCAUAGCCACUAGACCUGUUUUAGCUUAAGGUUAACGGAAAUCUCUCUGCAUAUACCUUGUGGAUUUGUUUACAUUGCCUGAUCUUUCCUGUGAUCUCUGAGUUUGUUACAGUCUUGUGUAUUACUUGUCUCUAUGAAGAUGAUCGCUGCCAUGUUUUUUUUGGGAUGAUUGAUGUUUAUAAACGGAAAAAUCUUUGUGCAGGUGAUGGAUAAACACAUGAGUAUAUUGGCAAAGCAACACAUUGAGACACGUUUCGUGAAGAUCCAAGCUGAGAAAAGUCCAUUCUUGGCUGAGAGGCUUAAGAUUGUUGUUCUUCCCACCCUUGCCCUCAUUAAGAAUACUAAAGUGGAUGAUUAUGUGGUAUGAUAAUAAUAAUGCUUAAACAAGACACAUCUUUUUAAUCUCAUCUUUGGAAUAUGAUUCAAUGUUUUUGUUAUUGAUAGGUUGGGUUCAAUGAGCUGGGAGGGAAAGAUGAUUUCAGCACAGAGGAUCUGGAAGAGAGAAUAGCCAGAGCGCAAGUGAUCCAUUACGAGGGAGAAUCAUCUCUUAAACCAAAGUCUACACCACAAGUCAGAAGGAACGUGAGGCAGAGUGCUCGUUCAGAUUCUGACUCCGAAUAAAUCCUAUGUCUUUUCAACAAAGGUUCGUUCGUUUGUAUCUUGUUGUUAUUUGUAAUACUAAGUAGUAAUUCAUCGUUUUGGUGAUCUAAAAUGGAUGUUGGUCGUUAGAUUGAGGAUCAUGCGGUAUCUAAAAUACUAAAUUGAUGUUUUAUAUGGAUCAAUUUACGAGUUCAAAUGUCAAAACCGCAACCUUUCUUGUUCUCACUUAUAUGUCCUUAUAUACUUGGACAAAACUCACACAAUUAACCUAGCUAGCAAGUACUAAUCUAUGUAUCUUGAGCACACACACGGUCAUACCACAUGGAAAGAGAGUAAUCCUACGGCAAAACCACGCUUGUCGCCGACUUCUAGCCUUUCCUCUUUAGGUCCAUUUCCUUCACUUAACCGCUACAAGCCUACAACCUCUUACAAAGUGUGUUUGUUUACACACUUAAGUACAACCCCUCCAUUGCAACCAGAGGCUUUUGAGUUUGUUCUUAAAGAGUGUUUCUCUAAAGGACGAAUCACACUCACUAAUAUAGUAAAGAAUCACUAAUGGUUGCAUUAGAUCUCUUAAAUUUAGGAAAACAAUUAUAUAGGACACGUGAUCAUUUUGCUCAACUUGGUUAAACAAUAGUAAUAUUAAACUUAUAAUCCAAUAACAAAUUUAUUAAUAUUCUUAUCGAUGCAAGCUACUACUAGUCUACUACGACUAAAUUAUUCGACAAGAAUCCAAAUUAAUGAUGGCGAAACUUCUUGGUUUCAUCGAUAUUUAAAAAUAUACAAACAUAUAUCCCGAUUUCGAUCAAACUGCAAUAAUGUCACAAAUACAUACGAAUUCCACAUACUACUAAUAAAAUUUUACACCAAAAGAUUUUUUAAAUAUAAGUCAUGGAUGGGUCAUGUAUACAAUACUUAUAAAAGUAAAAUUUGUGGACAUCAUAAAAGAUAGCAACUUUGAUUUUGUCUACAAAUAUAAAUUGUAGAUGCCAUAUUCCUUGAGAAAAUUGAAGCCAAAAACAUAAAUUAAAUAGAAGAAAGAAGAAUAUGAUUCUUUUAACUUUUCAAAUGUAGAAAAGUUAAACUAUAGAACAGCCUGUCUCUCUUUGUUGUAGUAAUAAAAAGAUUGAAUAGGCAAUAUUAAUUUUAUUUAUAUUUAAAUAAUCAACGUCUUAAUUACAUCAAAGUUGGUAUGGUAUGCAUUUUAUUUAAUUUUGCACGCAUUCUCGUGUUUUGUGGUUUCUUCCAAUCUCCAUCGCGUAUGACACGUACUCGAACGGACCAAAAUAACAAAAUUAAUUACUCUAAAAGUCUCUUAAUACACUUACUACUUCAAAGUCCAAAUACACAUAACGUUGACAACGUAAAGAGAAGAUAAGCAAAAUUCAAAUUCUUGUAAUCUUCAACAACGGAAAUUACUCCAUGUAAUCUGAAGCUAUGUACAACAAACCCAUUUUAUAAAUAAAAUAAUUCUGAACUCAAUCAAUCUAAUUUAUAGCCAAAAAAAUCGAAUCCUAUAAUAGGAGUGGACAAAAGAAUAUACUUACAUCUUAAUUUUUAUUGAGACGUUUUAGAUAACACAAAAAAUAUUUAAACCUCAAAAUUUAUCUAUAAACGAUUCGUUUUUAAUCUAAAAUAUUGAAACCGGAUCCGUUUUUAAGUGUAAUCAGACAAACCUAAAUUAUAUUUUAUAUUUUAUAUUUUAUAGAUAGGAGUAUUAUUUUUAACGGAAAUCGAAAUCUCAUCAAACUAAUGCUUUUUACUUAAUCUCAAUAAUCUUGAAAAACAGAUCGUUACAGAUACGCAAAGCACUCCUUUCCACUCUCGUCCCGCUUCGCCUCUAUUAGGGCAGAGAAGAAGAAGAGAGAGACUCGUAAGCAACAAUAAUCCAUAGCUCUCUCUCUCUCUUCUCUUUACACAUCGCUGAUUCUUCUCUGAUUCUUACCCUCCUCGACGUCGUCUUCAGCUUUGUAGCAUCUCGCCGAAGCGUCGUAAGUUCUCUUCUUCUCUAACCUCUUUGCUCUUCAGAGUCUUAGAUCGAAUCUUCUCCUCAUUUACUGCAAUCUACGAUCAAACACAGUUUCAUUAUACGCCUCUAAUGGUUUCUCCAAGUUCGUGUAUGUUGUUGAAUUUGAAAGCAAUUUCAUUUUUUGCAAAAAAAUCGUGUCUUUUUUCAGAUGGGUCAUGUAGAUUUUGUGUUUAUUUCUUUAGGGUAUUUGAAAAGUCAUCGUCUUUGAACAAAAGAUCGAACCUUUAAUGAAAUUCUUGGUUUGUUUGUUGUUUUUGAUCUUUGAACAGGUUGAUUUGAGAGAGACCCAAUUUGGAUUUAGGACUUGUAUUUACAAAAAAAUGGGUUACAUAGGAGCUCAUGGUGUAGCUGCUCUUAAGAAACACAAAUACAGUGGUGUUGAUCAUUCUUAUCUUGCCAAAUAUGUUCUCCAACCUUUUUGGAACCGUUUUGUCAAAAUCUUCCCUCUUUGGAUGCCGUAAGUAUCUUCCUUUACUUUGAUCUCCUAGUUUCCUGGUUUGAUGAAAGAUUGGACUAACGUUUUCCUUUUCCUUUUCAUGUGUUCCCUUUGAGAUGAUCCAUGUCCAGACCCAACAUGGUAUAAGUGAAUUCUGUUUCGCAUUUAAACUCGAAUGUUGUAUAACAAAGGCGAUAAACUCUUACGGGUUGUGUGUGUUUUGUUUUGUAGAUAACACUUAUGGGGUUCAUGUUUCUUCUCACAUCUGCUCUGUUAGGCUAUGUGAGUUUGGUUUGAUUUUCAUAAUUCUUUGAAGCUUCUUGUUGCUUUGCUCAUAUGGAUUUUCUUCAAACUUUCUUUAGAUAUACUCACCUAAGUUGGAUUCUCCUCCUCCUCGAUGGGUCCAUUUCGCACACGGCUUACUUCUAUUUUUGUAUCAGGUCUGCUCCUUUUUCUUUAGCAUCCUAAUUUCAUCUGUUUGUUAAGGGUCAUGUAAUCUUUUGUGCUGACAUAUUUGGAGCACUGACGAGUGCAUUGUAGACAUUUGAUGCGGUUGAUGGGAAGCAAGCACGAAGAACAAAUUCAUCUAGCCCACUAGGAGAGCUUUUUGACCAUGGUUGCGAUGCUCUUGGUUGUGCGUUAGAAACAAUGGCAUAUGGGAGCACUGCUAUGUGUGGAAGAGAUACUUUCUGGUUUUGGGUUAUUUCAGCUGUUCCAUUUUUUGGAGCAACAUGGGAACAGUAAGUGUUUUUAUUUCAAGGUUAACUCUGUUUUAUCGUUGCGAAAUUCUAAUACUUUGCUUUCUUACUCUUUUGUGUUUAGCUAUUUUACCAAUACGCUUACUCUUCCGGUAGUCAAUGGUCCUACAGAAGGUCUUGCACUUAUCUACUGUGGCCAUUUCUUCACAGCCAUUGUUGGUAAGCUUCAACAAUCUCAGAAAAUCUCUAUCACUAACAAUUCUUUUCUAAUCUUUUAUACUUUUUUUUCAAUCUCAAGGUGCCGAGUGGUGGGCUCAGCCGUUGGGGAAGUCGAUUCCUUUGUUUAGUUGGGUUCCGUUUUUGAACGGUAAAAUUCUACAAACCUUGUGUGUUUUUUGUUGGUUUCCCCUAGUUUGUUUUCUCCUUAGAAGUUUAUUUAACGCCAUUGGAACUUUUCUCGGUUCUUUUCAGAGAUGCAAAUGUCCAGAAUAAUACUAUUCACGAUGAUUUUCUUCGCUGUUAUACCAACCCUUGCAAUCAAGUGAGUUUUUGACAAUUAAUCGGUGUUAUGGUCUCUUUUCGAGCUGAGAAAAUUGGUAACUUUUUCUAUGAAUUGCUCUGCUCAUACGCACACUGCUUUAUUCUACAGCACGUCUAAUGUUUACAAAGUUGUACAGUCAAGAAAAGGAAGCAUGCUUCUAGCAUUAGCUAUGGUAAUAGUCUCCUGAAACCAAAUUCUUAUUUAAUUACUUAUAUUUCGAUUUCUUUUCUUAACUUCCAUAUGUAAUGCCAAUAUGUUUUCUGUAUUCAGCUAUAUCCCUUAGUCACGUUAAUUGCAGGAGUUUUGAUUUGGUAUGUCUUUUUCUAUUUUGUUUUAUGACUUGCUCUCAUUUACACUUUGGAUUUGGUAUGUCUUUUUCUAUUUUGUUUUAUGACUUGCUCUCAUUUACACUUUUGAUUUGGUAUGUCUUUCUCUAUUUUGUUCUUUGACUUGCUCUCAUGUACACAUUGAGACUUAUCGGUAUUCUUGUCUUAAUCAGGGAUUACUUGUCUCCAGUUGAUCUCAUAAGAAACUACCCUCACUUAGUUGUACUGGGAACUGGUCUUGCAUUUGGAUUCCUUGUGGUAAGCAAUUUGGUUUUAAAAUCGGAAUUCAUCGUUAAACAUUGAAUAGAAAAGCUGAAUCAUUUAGUCAUGGGUUAUGAUUGCAGGGAAGAAUGAUUCUAGCUCACUUAUGUGACGAACCAAAAGGAUUAAAAACAAACAUGUGUAUGGUAAAAAUCCAAUAACUUUCUUCUCGCUCGAUCAAAAUGUUUUCUUCAUAAUUCUCACUAACCUUCUCUCUUGCACAGUCAUUGCUUUACCUUCCCUUUGCACUAGCAAAUGCUCUAACCGCUAGACUCAAUGACGGGUAUGUUUAUUUUCUUUCGUUUACCGGUUUUUGCUUUGUUGUUUUCAUCAGAAUUGAUAAAUCUCUUCGCAGGGUUCCUCUUGUGGACGAGUUUUGGGUUCUUCUUGGUUAUUGUGUAUUCACAUUGUCACUAUAUGCGCAUUUUGCAACUUCAGUCAUUCAUGAGAUCACAACUGCACUUGGAAUCUACUGCUUCAGGUUAAAAUAAGAUUAAGAUACUCUUUCUUCUUACCAUUUUAUUGUUUAUGUUUACGAAAAUCUGACAAGUUUAAUCUUUUUUUCACCAGGAUUACUCGUAAAGAAGCUUGAAGAAGAACAAUGUGAUUGAAAUUUUUAUCAUUUAAAAAAAAAAAAACAAAUCUUAAGGUAUGCUGUUUUAGGUUUUAGCUCUCUUCUUCUAUGAUCUCAAGAACUUCUUGUGUUUAUUUAUUUGUUGAUUUGCUCUUAACAUUUUCUUAUGUUGUUUCAGGGAGGAAAAUUGCAAAUCCCAACACGAAUCUGAAUAUUUUGUUACUGGAAUUAAAAACGAUUGAUCGAUAUGAUUUUGGAUGUAUACUCAUUAAUGUUUUUUAUUUUUGUUUGUUUUUCUUGUUUGGUCAAAAUAGGGUAAUUCAUGUAGACCUUUUUUUGUAACGUUUCUAAGAAAACAAUAUGGGAUUUUUCUAGAUUAUUUGAUGAACUUCGUUAUUGUGAUUGCAUUUUUUUUUGCCAUCUGAAUUAUCAUUUGUAUUUAUUGUAUUGCAUGUUACUACAUUGGGCACAAAAAAAAAAAAGCAUGUUAUGGCAAAAACUUUAUAUAUUAUUAAACUAGUUCGAAAAAGAUGAUUUCCACUCCGGAAUUUGAGAGCUUACAUGGGAAAGAGGUUCAAUUUCGGACUCGAGCAUUAUUGUUGCUUCAAUACUAGAGAUUGAAAAUGGUUAAAAAUAACAAGUUCCGUGGCAUGACAUCAACAUAAUACUUGUGGUUAAAAAUAGCAAGAUUUCAUCUUUUGUGAUCACAUGGUUUGGUUGACAUUAAAGAUAUGGAAUUAUGUACCUCUCUUACUUUGCCCUGAACAAAAAUAAAUAUUCAAAGUAGAAGAGAUUGAGUAUAGACUCUAUUUACAUGUUUUGAUGAGGGUGUAACUGGAAAAAUAUAUGGAACUUCUAUUUGGUUACCUGAUAUGAUAUACUCCAUCCGUUUCGUUUUAGUUGUCGUUUAAGGUUUUCUCACACAAAUUAAGAAAAGCAUUAAAUUUUCUGUUUUACUCUUUAUUAAUAUAUUUUAUAAAAAAAUUCAUUGGCCGAAACAUUAAAACAGUGGGGAUAAAAUUGGAAUUUUCACCAAACAUUUGCAUCGAAAACCUAAAACGACAACUAUUAUGAAACAAAAUUUUAACUCUAAAACGACAAGUAAAACGAAACGGAGGGAGUAUCAUUCUUAUAAUUGAUACGUUUGGGCCUCGAAUGGUGUGUAACAUGGAAGGCUCAAUUAGUGAUCAUUGAUCACCAGCUGAUAUUGAAAUGAUCCCUCUGAUGCUUCUCAGUUCUCCACUCCAAGCUUUUGGCUUGCGGGAAAUGAGAGAUGCACCUUCUUUCGAAAUGGAUUGAACCGAUUUAAUCUCGAUGAUCGAUCUUCAUAACAAUGGUUUGCCUUGGCCGCGGGACUUGUGAUUUCUUGGAUUUUAAACUCCAAUAUUUUUUUGGCUUUUUAAAAUAGCUUUAUUUCAUGAAUCUCAAAUUCUUACUGCUCAUAACAAAAAAAAAAAAAAAAAAAAAAAAAAAAAAAAACAAAUGACACUAUUGGAUCGCAAACCCAUAUAAGGUGUGGCUGAUUUUCCAACCGGUUUAGAAAUACCCAAACCGGACCGACACUGGAGUGCCAAAUGUAAAAUGUGUAGAAAAGAUUAAUUAAAAUUAAGUAAAUGAGAAAAGCAAGAUCUUGUCUCUUUAGGAAUGAAUAAUCCAAUCAUGAAACACAAACAAUAUAAUUAAAUGAGCAACGGAACAAUACAACACAAUGAUUAUAUUUAACACAUAGAUACGCAGAUAAAAAUAAUCAAAUUUGUUUUCUUUAUUGUGUAUGUAAAAAGAAUUGAAGAGAAUUUUUUAAAGAGACAAAACAUACCUUAGAACAUUGACAUGUCUCAAAUGAUGUCUAUUGCUCAAGCAUGCUGCCUAGGGCGUGCUGACUUUUGCAUUAUCUCACCUUUUUUACCCACCCAUAUUCCUCUUCUAUUUUAAAAGAUGUAUCAAAAAAAAUUUAUAUAUCUUUAUAUCUAAAAAAUUGGCCAAUUUUCUUUUAAGAUAUAUUUAACUGAAACAAAAUCUAAAUCGAAACUCAAAUUAAUCAUUUGAUGUUCAUAAAAUUUCAGGUUUUUUACCACAAAAAUAAUCUCGUACUCUGCAAAAAAAAUAGUAUAUAUUUGGAGUAAACUUUUCAAUCGAAACUAAAAAAAAAAGAUAUUCUGAGUAAACUUUUCAAACAGUAAACCUCUACGUUUGAUUAUUUGGAUAUUAUUAUGAUUUAGUUUAUUCUCAGCUGACGCUAUGGUUAAGUUUAUGAAAUAUGUUCUGAUUGACAGUAUGUCCUAAAAUAGUAAAAUUACUUAAUUAUUUAAUUUAUCAUGUAAGUCUUAUUUUUUUAUCAACCAACACUAUGUUACUGUUUUAUCAUGUAAUUUUGCUGUUUCUUUAUAAUUAUACAAUUGGUAAAAAAGAAACAGCAAAAUUAUGCUUUUUACAGUUUUAGUUAAAAUAUAUUUAAUUGAUGAUUCUACAAUUUUAUACUCCCUCCGUUUCAGUUUAGUUGUCGUUUUAGGAUUUAAAUUUUGUUUCAUAAUAGUUGUCGUUUUAGGUUUUCAAUACAAAUGUUUGGUGAAAAUUCUAGUUUUAUCCCUACAGUUUUAAUGUUUUGGCCAAUGAAAUUUUUUAUAAAAUAUAUUAAUAAAGAGUAAAAUAGAAAAUUUAAUGCUUUCUUAAUUUAUGUAAAAAAACCUUAAACGACAACUAAAACGAAACGGAGGGAGUAGAAUUUUUAAAAUAAGAUUGCUCGUUAGGACAAAAUGUUGAAUGAGAGUUAGGACAAAAUGUUGAAUGAGAGUUUGUAGACUUGUAGUAUUUUUUUUUUUUUCGUCUGAAUAAUUCAUGAAAUAGAACCAAAGGAGAAAUACAAAGUUGGGAUACAUGGUGGAAUACUAUCACCGGCGGGACUCUAACCCCCGGAAAACUAAGCCGGCGGGACUUUAACCCCCAGAAACUAAGCCCCAAACAACGGGGAAACAAACAUAAAACUAAAACAGAUCUAGAAAAGCUUAGAAAUUUUACACAGAAAAGCAAUAAUUUUUUACCCGAACAAUCCGAGAUCGCAAAAACUAUCAGGUUGACAACAAAAGAACAGACCGCAACCUAAAAAGCUUUCGAUCAACUUGCCUCACUUGAUGAUUAAGAGUCUUCAUAAGAUAAACCUUGGGAUACCAUGAGAAGCAGAACGGUGAAACCUCAGCCCAACAAGCAGAGACCGUUGAAAUCGCAGUGGCCGGAGAUGUCAAGUAAACCACUUGAACCGGUAAGAGGAACCCAAACCUGGGCGGAUCUCGCUCUAGAUCCGAUCGUUGUAGACUUGUAGUAUAAAUAUAAUAAUUUCAAAACAUUAAAAACAAUGGACAAAAUAUUUUGCGUAGUCACGUUAAACAUUAAAGGCAUGAGUCCAUGUCCCAUAACACAACAACAUUCUCGAAAAUUUCUCGUUUCCACUUCAGGUAUUUAUUUAUUUAUAUUUUGUGAAUUGUAGAAUCAAAAUCAUACACGACACAUGUAUGAAAAAAAAAAAGUGUGUAACCAAAAUCAACCUAAAAUAGAAAAAUGAUGUUCUUGGCCUCUUGGGCCAUAGCAUGCCUCGGGUUAUAUGUUAUGCUUUCAAUAGAUGAUUGGUAAUUAAUUAAAUUUUUACGAAAGUCAAACUUAUUUUGCUGGUUUUAUAUUUUUUAUACUAUGAUUCUAGUAUUUAUUGUAACACGUAACACAAGGAAUGAGUUUGAUUUGACUCUAGUGUUCAACUGUUCAUAUAUUUAGACUAUAUUUUCAGAUCGGAAAAUACACACUAUCACAAGAUAUAUUCAUAUAUUUACCAAGAAUUAUUAUUUUUUUUUUUGGUAAAAGGGUUUUCUAUUUACCAAGAAUUAUUAGCAUAGGAUUAAAAGUAUAGAUAAUGUUAGCGAAAAAUGUUAUACAAUGAAAACAUUAAAUUGUAGAACUGAAAAGGACAAAGCAUGCACAAUUUUAAUCAUUAAACAGACUAUGAUAAGAAGAAGAAGAAAAAUCAAAUAGAUCCUACGAAACUAGUCAUAUCCUGUCUAUUUCUCAAAACUCUUGAUACAACUUAUUUCGUUUAUUCAUAGAUAGAAAAACAAAAUCAAUCUAACAAAAUUAGUAUGAUUAGAUCUUAAUAGGUAACCAGUACUGUAGCAAGAUAAAGUUUACUGUUUCAAUAAUUAAUAAUCACAAAAGUGAUAAAAUUUAGCAGUACCGAUAAAGUUUAUCGUAUCACUAAUUUAACAAUUAAUUUGGUUAAAAAAAUUUUUAUAUCUAUAUUAAACAAUUUAGAAUAAAAACAGGAUUUCACGACAAACAGAAUAAAAAGGUUAAGAUAUCAAAUCACAUACUUAAUUGCAUGUUUAUAUAUAUAUAUAUAUAUAUAUAGUAUUUUAUAAAGUAUUUGCAUGUCUAUUUGCAGGGCCGGCUCAAUUAAUUUAGAGUCCUCGUAUAAAACUUAAAAAUUGGCCCUUUUUCAUAUUAAAAAAUUCUUUAAAAUUGGUCUUUUCCAUACUAAAAAUAUAUAUUUGGGUUUUUUUCAUACUAAAAUUAUCUUAAAAUCUUAAAAAUUAUCAUUUUUUCUUACACAAAAAAAAUAUUGGGCCCGGUACAUUUGCUCCUCUUGCACCCCCUUAACGCCGGCCCUGUAUAUUUGUAUGUCUUUAAUUAUGGAUGAUAUAGACUUAAUUAAGAAAUUAAUACAGGCUUCUAAAAGCACAAACGGCAAACGCAUGAGUUCAUUCGUCUCCACAUAUAUUUCCUCUUUUUAUGCAUUUUUGUUGUUAAUUUUACUGUCGCUCUCUUCUUUUUCUUUCUAAGUUUUUCCCUUUUAUAAUAUUUUUCAUUUUUUUUCUAUUUGUGAAAGAAUGUUUUUGUUUUCAUGUAUGCUUGGACAUUUUAAAACAUUGACGUGCAUGUUCGUAUACAAUCAGCCAUACAAAAUGACUAGAACCGACUUAUUAUAGAAAAUGCCAUUCUGUCUAAAUCAUAUAGCUCUACCUUUAUCUUAAAAUUAAAACAAAACAAUAUUCUUUGUAGUUUACUAGUAGUAAUUUUGUGACCUUUUUUGUCUUAUUUAUUGAUACCGUAAAUUGAAUCCCGAACAUUGAAUUCUAUAAAUACAUACUACAAAAAAAAAAACACACACCGUUCAAAUUAAUCGCUUUGUAAACAUGGAAACUUAGUUAUUGAUUCCUACACAAGAGACUAUAACUUAAAAACUACAGUAUAAUCAUAAUUCUCUAUUCCAAAACUUAUACUACUAUAAACUUGAGUUUGAUAUUUAAAAUUAUGUCCUCGGCUUUACCAAAUUCAAAAAACACAAAAAGAAAAAACAAUCUUAAGGUGCUUUCUUGAUCAUACACUUUUUCUUUUACUUUUCUUUCCCUAACUUUUUUUUUACAAAUUAAUUCAUUCGUUUCCUAAAGAAUCUCCUCAAUCUGAUUUUCCUAAUUACUUCAUAAUCCCCAUGCUAAUUACCUCUCUCGAUUCUCUCAAUCAAAUGCUGAUUCUCCCUAUCAAUUUUCCAUAUUUUAUUUUAACCGUAAAAUUUGCCCAAAUUUGAGGAUAUGAUGUCAAUAAUCAUGGAAAUAAUUGACAUAAUAAACAAUAAUAAAAGUAAUAAAAUCAGUCAUUUUAAAAUGAAAUAAAUUUUGAACUAAAUUGGUGGGGCAAAUGAAAAGGAGAAGAAAAAUAAAAAUAAAAAUUAAAAAGAAAAAGAAAACGUAAAGCUAAAGCAAACACUCUCUUGAAGCCUAUAGCUAAGCGUCACUACACUUUCUCACUCUUUCAAAAAUCCUCUCAUCUAUCAAAAUCCGAGAUAAAGAAAAAGUUUUAAAGAAACCAGAAUUUAAGAUCCGAUCGUCAUCUCCAAUUCUCUGGAUCUUCAAAAAACCAAAACAAACAAAAAAUCCCAAAUUUGGAAACUUUUCUCUGUAUUGCUCUGUUUCUUGAUUUGUUUUUGGUGAAGUGCUCUGUUUCUUGAUUUUGCUUUUGCCAAUGAAAGAAAAAGGAAAGAGAACAGCAACGGAACGAAGAAACGACGACGUUUCGUUAUAUUACAGCACUCCGUCGGAAUUCUCUUGCCGGAAACAUCCAUCUGUUUCCUCCGGCGUCGGAAUUUGUCCGUACUGUCUCAACGACAGAUUAGUCAACCUCGUCUGCUCCGAAUGCGGUGAGCAGCGUCUCUCUUCUUGCUCGUGCUCCGAUAUCUCUCCUAAUCGAACCUCCAACGCUGCCGUAGACGCCGCCGCCGGAGAAAACGUUGUUCGGAUCUCUUCUCUCAUCGACGAAGAGACAACGAAACAGAGGAAAGAGACAAAACAGAGGAAAACAGAGGAAGUGGUGGUGUUCAAGAGAAGUAGUAGCAGUUGUGUUGAGAUUAAUAAGAGAACGAAGAAUUAUAGAUUCUCGAGAAUCGGUAGGUUUUUCAGGAAGAUUAAUCUUAAAAAGGAGAGAGAUUUUGAGAAGAACAAUAGCAACGAUUCAUGGGUUUUGGAUUAUAACAAUGAUGUGAAGAAGCUUGGAGUUUCGAGAUCAAGAUCGCUUUGUAGUUUUCGAGGUAAAGAUUUGUAUUGUCUCGGAUCGGAAGAAGAUGGUUCGUCGUAUUCCGGAGCUUUCUCCGCCGCGAGAAGCUCAAGUGUUAAUGGCGGAUUAGGGUUAUGUGAAACAGAGUAUCCUCGGAAGAGUAACUUCGAAGGAAGGAAGAGUAACUUCAGCGAGACGACGGAACAUCGGAAGAGUAAUUUCGAAGGUGGGAGGAAGAGUAAUUUCAGUGAGACGACGACGGAGAAUCGGAAAAGUAAUUUCAGUGAAUCGGAGCCGCCGCGAAGAAGUGGUUUCGAGGCGAGGAAGAGUAAUUUCAGUGAAACAGAGUAUCCUACACGGAGGAGUAAUUUUAGUGAAACAGAGUAUAAUACUCGAAGAGGAAACAAUCCGGUGACGGCGGAGAAUCAUCCACGGAGGAGUAGUAAUUACGAAGCAGCGAGGAAAAGUGAUUCGGCGGCGAUGAAUUUUACGAGAAGGGUAAUGUCAAUGAAAGAGAGUAGUUACUUCACCGGAGGAGAAGAGCCAGGUUUCAUUGAUCUUAAGUUUGAUUCUUCUGGUGGAGGAGGAGAUGUAAACGACGGCGUUUUGGAACACGGAGGAGGAGGAGGAUCUUGUCGGAAAGAUGGAGGAGAGUUGCGUAAGAGUCGAAAGAGUUUCAAAGGAUGGAAAUGGAUAUUUGGACAUCAUCAACAUCAACUUCAUCAUCAUAAUAGAGAUUCAUGAUGAAUUUAUGAAUUAUGAAGGAAUAUGUGACCAUUUUUAUUGGAUCCAAUAAUGAAACAUGGAGCUGGUUUUGUGUGAUCCGAUGUCAAUCUUAGUUUUUUUUUUUUUUUUUUUUCCAUAUAUCAUUUUGUUUUUUCAAUAUAUAUAUCCAACCAUUAGAUUCCAAGUUUUGACGAAUUUCGGUUCGUUUUCGUUCGGAUUAUUCGGUUUUUUAGAUUUAUGGUUUAAGACACAUAGUUUUAGUUUUCAAAGCAAAAUUAAUAAUUUGAUAUGGUUUUUUUUUUUUGUUUUGAUUGUAUACAAUAUUUUUCAUUUUCGGCUCGGUUUUAGUUCUUUCGUAGAAAAAUAUUACUAUUGUUUUAUACAAUGUAUUAAAGUUUUAUUUAGUUUUUUGGAUAUAAUUUUGUGGGUUUUGGAUCGGUUCGAUUUAUGUGGAUUGAGUUUCACUAUUAGUCUGCCUAAUGAGUUGCUAUUUAGUUUUGUUCAUCAACCUCAUGUUUAACAAAUUCUGUAUUUUUUCCGUCUUGGUUAACAAAUGUAUUACACAGACUGACUAUGUAACUUCACAAUUUGAUCAAUAGAAUUUAAUUUCGUUGGUAAAAAAAAAGACAUCAGGAACCGAUUUCUUCCUUCCGAUCCCACAACAAUCCUCGCGCAACAACUGAUCUCAUGCAACAUGUUUUUUAGUCUUCUGAACGGGCUUUUGGGCUUUCGGGCUUUCUUUAUCUCUGCUUCAAUUUGAUUCACUAGUGGACUUGUUUCAAGAGUUCUCUUGCUACAUUUAAAUAUAUUGCAUCAAUAUUUAACAAAAAAAAGAUUGAUAUAGCAGCAAAAGAAAAGUAAUAAAACUCUUGUAAGAGAAUUGUACAUACUAGUGAUUAAAUCAAUUUGCAUCCAAAUUCACAUGAAAGAUAGUUUUUGAAUUUAACAAAACGAACCACAUAUAUUGAUAAAAGCCUAAAAGGCAUCCAAAUUGACUUACAAAGAACAACAGUUUUUACUAAGGGCUUGAUUGGUUCUCCUGCUAGCACCCUCCUAGCGGUUGCUAGCGGUCGGUUGCGGUUGUUAGCGGUUGGUACCAAUCAUAGAAACCGCUCCGUACCGCUUCUAAUCGCUCGAAAUCACUGAAUUUCAAAAGCUCAUUCCCGCAAGCGUUUGCGGCUGUGGACGGUAGCGGUUGGAUUUUUUUUAAAAAAUCAAACGUUUACUUAUAAUUAUUAUAAUAUAUAUCAAUCAUAUAUAUAUCUUCAUCUUUGUAUCACGUUCUCAUCAGAAACCCUAAUAAUAUUCUGAAUCCCUAUUCUCUCAAUGUCUUCCACCCAAACUGAUGAAAAUCAAGAACCAAACGUAAGUAUCAUAUAUCCUUUUAUUCAUUCAUCACCUCAUGUGUAACUUUUUGAAUAUUUUUCAUGGCAUCGUUUUUUUCUUUUCAUUACGUAUUGCUUUGCUUUUUGAUUGAAUAUAUGUUUCGAUUUGUUUUCUCGAAUAGAGACUCACUUGCUUUUUGAUUGAAUUCAACGUUAUUUACAGUUUGUCCCAUUACUUGAUGCAAUUUUUGGUGUUAAACCAGAUGCAUAAAGUACUAUCUUGUUACAAAAUUUCUUUAUUUUUGAAUAAAUAUAUUGUACUUUAUUUAUUCAAACAAAAACCAGAAUCAUGUUCAAUUUUUCUAAUAUUAUCAUAAAAAUAUAUUGGUCUUUUUAUUUUAUUUUUUUGUAAUAUUUUUUAUUUAUCUUGGUCAUUUUUUAUUUAACUGCUACCGCACCCGCUGGUUUACCAGUCAUAAAAUUCCCUCAAACGCACCCAUUUUCAAACGCUAAACCAGUCGUUCAAAACGCUUGGUAACAUUUGAAAUCGCAACCACCCGCUUCCGCAAACUCCCGCAACCGCAACCGUAAUCGCUGCGUUUAAACCAGUCAGGCCCUAAGAAUUCAUUUGUAUAUCUAUCUCUAUGGGAGUAAGUAAUGGUGAUCUAGUGGGCUGCUAUUGAUAAACUUUUUCGGGCCUUGAAGAAGCCUAUCUCCUCUUCAUUAAUUUUUGGCCUUUCGAAAUCCAUAAUGUUUUGCUACUAAAAAGCACUUCAAUAGGAAACAUAUAAUAUAGUAAUAUACUAUAUGAAUUUCUAUAUCUUUAUUUUUAACUCGUUAAGAUUAAAAUAUGAGAUAUUAUGAUUAUUUAGAUAUUAUGAUUAUCUCCGCCUUCUCCACCGGAGUUCGACUCCACUAAGUCGCGUUACCCCGCGUAGUAGGGAUUGGCUAUGGAUCGGGCCUUAUCGAUCCAAAGAUGUCAAAAAAAAAAAAAGAUAUUAUGAUUAUCUCAGGGUCGUUGGUGUUGAUGGAGUCGCCAUUCUCGCUACAGCCGUGGUUUCUCGUCUUGUCUUUGGUCAAGUGUUUCUUUGUUUUGAGCUUCGAAGGCGAGGUCCUUUUUCUUUCUCUAGAUCAGAGGGACAGCGACUCUGUUCUCGGUGGCUCGGUAACCCUCUCGUCUCUCCUGCUUCAUCUAUAUUUUAAGGUCUUUUGUGGCCUCUUUUUCUCUGAUUGGGUUGUUAGCCCGGUUGACUUGUUUUUUGCGGAAUGUGUCUUGGAUUUUGCUGGUGGUUUGUCUCUGCUUUGCCUUUCCAUGGUGUCUUUGGGCUGAGUUUUCAUUCGGUUUCCUCAUCUUACAAAUCGCGGAGUGUUCAGUUCACCCACUUGAUUGGGUUUCCUCCGGUUUUGUUAGAAGGUUGGUUUGGUCGUCUCCGUUUCGCGGUUCAGCAGGAUCCUCUCAGUUUAGUUAGUCGUGUGAUCUUGGACUAAAAGAGUUGAGCAAGUGCGUUCACCUUCCUUCGUCAAAUUCUCUGUCAGGUUUCUCGAUUCGAUUUCUGUUUCUCGCCGUUCUCAUGUUUGGGCUUAAUUGAGACUAAGCUAUUAGCGGUUCCACCUUUUUCCAUAGAUUGUAAUUUCUCUCGUUUGGGCUUAAGUUUCUCUCGUUUGGGCUUUGGUAUGUUUGUCCGCCUCUUUUGGCCUUAAGUUUUCUGGGGGUUUCUAUGUACCCGCCGGCUUUGUCUCCGAAAGGAUUUCGUUCCUUGUCGGCUUUGUAUAACUCAAUCGCAUUCUAUCAAUAAAAUCCUUUAGACGAAAAAAAAAAAGAACUUUUUAGUUUUUUUCAUAACUUUUUUUUUUUCAUGUUUAGGGCUUACUUGAUUGGAUAUUUGCUUUAAGCAUUUCCAAAAUUUCACAAGGCAAAGCGUAUAUUUUUUGAAAACGUUUUUUGUUUUUCUUACUUGCCAAUUUGUUUCUAUAUAUUUUCAUCUUGGUAAUAAUUGUUUUUUUUUUGUUGUUAUUAUUUUUUAAUCUUCGCCAUACUUAGGCAUGGUCUUUUUAAAGAAAGGUCAAUGCAUAUUAUUGCCAAACGUAUAAAUGUGUCAUCCUAUCUUCAUGUUCCGAUUCACAUAGCCUAUGCUUUUAUGUUUAUAAAAAGAUACUUAGCGUGUACACAAUGGACAGCUUUCCACAAAGAGUUUUGAAUUACGUCAUAUCUUUAUAGGAUUCACAUCUAUUCUAUCAAUUAAUAUGAACUUUUUCAUAUUUUAUUUCAAUUGCUAAUCUCCAAAAAGAUUUGUAAUCACAUGAUCAUUUAAGAAAUGUUUUUUUUAAAAAUAAUUGUAUCAAAAAUCAUUUUUUUUCGUCCAUACCCUACCAAAAAGAAUAUCAUGAUCGAAUGGCUAAUUUAAUGUAGAGUGUUAUUCAAGGAAAAUUAGCCACGAUUAUCGUAAUCUCACAAAUUCUGUUCACACAUUAUAUUAUCUAAUAUAGUACUCCAUAUAACUUCAUUUAUUAUAUUUGCUUGUUUGAUUAGCCUUUUCCCAAUGUCUUCCUUAUAGAAGCAAAGAACAAAGGAGUUCCUUCAAACCAAAUAUCCCAAAUUACUAAGAUAUGUUAGGAUUUAGUUUGUUCUUUAAUAUCUUCUAUUAUCUUUCUAUUUCUUAUUCGACUCUCUCUUUCAAGAUUCCAUGGAAGAUCUUAACACAUUUGCAGCUGAUUGCGUCGUUGUAUCGUGUUGUUGCAACUGUCUUGUUCUCCAGAUGGCGAUCUUCAUCUUCCUUGGACUUCCUCAAAAGCUUGUCAAGAACACAAGAAAGUGUUACACAAAAUGGGGGAUAAAUCGAGGAAUAAAAAGCAUGGGGCUUUGUUGUGAAUGUCGAGAAAAUACCGAGGUUGAUUUGGAAUGGAGAAAAGAGUCUAUGAUGAGUAUGGAGAUGGAAGGUUUUGGGUGUAUUGAAGAAGUUGAACAAGCUUUAGAGGAGUUUUCAAAGAAUGGUGAGUUUUUGUUUGGAAGCUUCUGGGGACAAGAGAGGGUUCAAAAUUCUUCGUCAAUGUCAAGUUGUGUUAAUGACAACUUUGACCUAAGAUUUGUAAGUCGUUAUGAGAUAAUUGAAGAAAAUUUCUACUCCUUGGAUUAUAUAUUCACAACUUCACAUAAAUUAUGUUGAAAUUAAUGGACAUAAAAAUACAUAUCCACUAGGCUUUUUUUUUUUUUUUUUUUUCUUGUUCCAAAUUUAAGAAAUCCAUAUUAUACCCGGCCAAAAUAUUUUUAACAAAUGAUAUGCUUUAAGAAAAAUUCAUAUAAUUGACAAUUCCAUGCUCUUUUAAUAUCCACCUCAUACAAAAUUAAAUACCAUAAUGAAUUUUGAGUGCCAAAUGGUGUUGAAAAUUUUAAAUUCCAAAUAUUUAAAGCACAACUGUACAAUUUUUUUAUAAGUUUAAUGUGGACGGUGAAGAAUGAACGGUAAUUAAAUUAUUAUAUGGUAAAUAAAUGAUUAAGAAACCCUACUUCAACUAUUUUUAUAAAUGUUAGAGAUAUAUAUUACAACAAAAAAUUUAGUAGGUUUAGUUAGAUUUACUACUUUUAUUGAUUUUUCACAUCACUAAAAGAAUUUUCUCAAAUAAUACCCUGUGUAAAUUAAAACAUUAAACUAUCAAAUAAAACAAUUGGUAACGGUCCAUUUGAAUAUUCAAAUAAAUAAUAUAAUUAUAAGACAAGAAUGUAGCUGUGUGAUGUGCUUCCUACCCAAUUUCCAAUUUAAUGAUUUCACCGUCAAUCCCUCUUUAAUUUGUCUCCACAUAUUAAUAUCUUAUCAAUAAUUGAAAUAGUACCACCAAUCUAUAUAUCUAUAGAUAAUGUAAUUAAAUUUUUAAUUUACUAUUUCAAAUAAUAUUUUCAACUUCGUCUCCAAAAACGCGGUUUCUUCGACUUUAAGAAACUAUUCAUCUCCAAACUUUCAAAAAAAAACCCUAAAAUAAAAAAAUCUCUUCCUUCUUCUUCCUCCAUCAAUGGCGUCAACAAAACCAACCGAUCAAAUCAAACAACUCAAAGACAUCUUCGCUCGCUUCGACAUGGACAACGACGGAAGCUUAACACAGCUCGAACUCGCCGCUCUCCUCCGUUCUCUCGGAAUCAAACCUCGCGGCGAUCAAAUCUCUCUUCUUCUCAACCAAAUCGACCGUAACGGUAACGGAUCCAUCGAGUUCGACGAGCUCGUCGUCGCGAUAUUGCCGGAUAUUAACGAAGAGGUUUUGAUUAAUCAAGAACAGUUAAUGGAGGUUUUCCGUUCGUUUGAUCGUGACGGUAACGGUUCAAUCACGGCGGCGGAACUUGCUGGGUCAAUGGCUAAAAUGGGACAUCCGUUGACUUACCGUGAAUUAACGGAAAUGAUGAGGGAAGCUGAUUCUAACGGUGACGGUGUUAUUAGUUUUAAUGAGUUUUCUCAUAUUAUGGCUAAAUCCGCUGCUGAUUUUCUUGGAUUAACCGCUUCUUGAUUAAUUCUAUGUGUUGUUUUAAUUAAUCUUUUUUUUCCUGUCAUGCAACUUGUGCAAUUAACAAUGUGCUAAUCUUUCAUUAAUCUAUUUAUGAUUCGUUCGUGUGACGUAAAAAAAUUACUUGGUACUAAUAACUAAACGAUUUAAAAUGUCAUAUCAAGAUUGGCUUUUGACGAACUUUGAAAGUAUAUAUUAGCAAGAUUCAACAUUUUUAGAUUAAACACCUAAAUUUAAUUUCGCAAAGUUAAAGUAAUCUAGUAGUUAAGUAGCUUAUAUAUAUAUAUAUAUAUAUAUAUAUAUAUAUAUAUAUAUAUAUAUAUAUAUAUAUAUAUAUAUAUAUAUAUAUAUAUACUAGAUUUUAACCUGCGGUACACCGCGGGAUGAUUUAAUUUUAAAGUUAGUAUAAAAAUAUUUUGUAAAUUGUAUCACCUUAUAACAUAUUUAUUUAUAUUAUAGUUUACAAUUGUUAUUAAGUAGUGGUAUACCACGAGUCCACGAGAUAAUUAUUAAUAAACUGAGGAUUUAACCCGUAUUAAAGCGGUAUAUAAAUAUUGAUUCAAAUUCGUCCGCCAUAUAAAUCAUUUCCGAAAUAUAACCCGUUUCGUAAUUUCUUAACCCGUCCUGUGAUUUGUAUUAAAAAAAAUAAGGACUAAAUCCGUAUUGAAGCGGCGGAUUAAUGAUAUUUUAAUCUUUUUAUUAUUGUUGAUUCAAAAACCCGUCCCGCCAAACCCAUCCCGCCAAAAAACUCAUUUAUUUUAUUAAUGUUCUUAUUUAUGAUAUGAUUCUGAAUCAUUGUCUAAAUAUUUUAAUCGAUGUAGAACGUUGAACACACAUUUUCGUCAAUUGGAUAAUAUAUGUCCGUUUUUAAAAUUUCGAAUCACAGUAUAUGCAGAAAAAAAAUUGAUUUUUUUUUUACUUUAUGUAUUAUAUGAUGAUUCAAAACAGUUAAAAACAAAUCAAACAAAGAUGAUAGGAGAAUCAUAAUUAUAAAUCUUAAUCAAAUCUUCUAAAAAUCUAAAUUAUUAAAUAUGAAAUAUCCGGUGUAUGAGUUGGGUUAAAUAUAACCCGACCCAACAAAUUUUUGGUGAAGGAAUUUUUAAAAUGGGUCGGAUAUCCGAUAUAUCCGAAAGCUUUUUUACCCACCCGUCACAAAAAGUGCUGCGAUUAUACUAGUAUAGAUAUAUAGAGGAAACAAUACUUAAUUUAUGACCACAACAUUAGUCUCAUAAACUAUACUAUGAGUUUGAAAAUCUCUUGAGUCUAAUGAAUACUCUAAAAGCAGAGCUUACAAAGAUCAUUCGUCAGAUAAAAGUUUUUGUACGUUAAUAUUUGUUGUUGUUAAUAAAUUUUCAAAAUGUAUAUGUGCUAAAUCAUUUGGAUUAAAAAGAUAAAAUUUAUAUGGGUGAGCCAGUUGCAAAUUGCAAAUUUGCAAUGGUGAAGUAUUGAACUAUAUAUGAUGAUGGUCGAAACAGUUUAAAUAAUUGAAAUCGUUGACAAAAAUAAUACGAAAUAGAUAGUUUAGUGAUAAAAGUGUUAAUCAAACAUAACAAUGAUGGAAAAAGUAUCUUAAAUUAUCAUCUCAUCGAACCUCACAGGAUCCUUCUCUUUCUGUCUUUGUCUGAAGUUUGAAAAUUCCAAUAUUUGCUGUCUUAUCUUUUUUGUGUGGUCUAAAUACGUUGGACUUGACAGUGGACACAUGGGAUUUUACUUCCAUACAGUAUUUUUGAAUAAACAGGUAAAAAUUCAUAAAAAUAUAAUUAGAAAACAAUUAAGGCUCUAGAUUUAAUUUUGUACUUAGCAGGUAAAAGUAUACUGUAUAUAUAUUAUUUUUUCUGAGAAUUUGUUUCCGUUAUUUUUAAUUGUUUUCAUUUUAGUAUUUUACCAUCAUCAUCAAAUGAAAUUUAUUUUUCUAAUAAUCGAUCAAUUCUAAAUACAACAAAAAUAAAAAUACAUGAAUCUAGCUAAAAAAUUUAUGUACAUUAUAUUUCCGUGUAAAUGAUAAAAUUACAGAUGCCUUCUGUGGCAAGGAAUCUCAAUGAAAGAAACCCUAAUCUCCAAGUUAGAGAGAUACGUAUAUAUAUUUACAGAGAAACAAUUCUAUACUCUUUAGAUACCGACAAGAUCCUUAUAGAUCUGAUCGUGAAACCUCGCGGAGCGCCGUACACUAGCGGCUCUUCUCGCGGUGUAUCCGACGGUGGUGGGCCUAAUCGACCUCUGCCUCACCAUCUCAACGAACUCAGGAUCAUUAGAGUGACCCUCGUACCGAAUCCACUGAAUCAUUUGAUGGUAUUUAGGGAAAAACCUCAUUUGCACUGACUUGUAGACGAAGUAAGGGAUCAAAGCGAAGAUCAUCACGAAUAAAGUUGUGAGCCAGUAGGAAGGAGCCGGAGCUAGGGCUUCGAGGAAGACCAUGUAAGCAUCGGUAGAGAAACUUGGAGCCAUAGCUCCAUAGAUCAUGAGGAAGAUGUACCAAAAGGCUAUUGAUCCCCAAAUCACAAUGUGUUGGACCCAAGUGAAGUAACUUAUUGAUAAAGCCAUUUGGAGAUUGACGACCCACACGACGCAAGUGUACAUUGUUCCACCGAGGAUUUCCCGGCCUGCGGUUUUGCCAUCUGGGUCAAAUAGCUGGUGUUUAAGAGAUUCCUUGCAAAGGAAGAAAAUGGCGAGAGCGCUUAUGAAUCCAUUGAACAUCCAUCCAAUAAUCCUUUUCCAGCUGAAGAGAAUGUUCUGCACACCUUCUUGGUAUAGCAAUGGAAACUGCCAGAAACAAUAUCGGUAAGUAACUCUGUUUUUUAAGGGAAUCCUACAGACUUCAAGAAUCUCAAACCCUAAACCUACCUUGUAACAGAAGCGAGCUGAGACGUCUUGAUCAAAGACUCCUAGGGCAAUGACGGGAAGAGAAGAGAAGAAGACGUUGAAAAGAGAAAGAAACCAGUCGUUAUAUGCAGGUUGUCCAGAGAAGGAAGUAUAUGCUUCAUAUAAGAACACUGUGACUCCGAAGGUGAUGUUCUUGUAGAAGAAGUAACAUAUCUGCAAAAGGCGAAAAACCCGGGUAAGAAAAAGAUUGAGAUGAAUGAUGAAAUCAAAGACAUGUUUUUGUGAGAAAAGUUUCAGUCAUUUUACCAUGGAUGCGAUUCUGCUGUAACACCAAUGGCCAUGGACUAACAAUAAACGCUCUAGAUAUCGGAAUUGAGCAAUGGCGAUAUCGCUAGACAUCACUGCUUGCAUUCCUUCAACACCGCUUAUUCCUACACCAAUGUCUGCUUCUUGAAGCAUCCCUACAUCAUUCGCUCCAUCGCCAAUUGCUAAAGUUGUUUUUCCAGUUCCAGACUUAACUAGUCGCGUAACCUAGAAACCCAAAAAUAAACCUCUUUUGUUAGAAUCAAAACAUUAGAAACUGGAAACAAAACACAAAAAUAUCAUCAAGAUUUAAAGAUUGUACCAAUGCUUUCUGUUUAGGUGAUGAUCUACAGCAAAUCACAGAGGCACAACCAGUGGCAAGAUCAAGAAACGUUUUCUUGAUUUCGUCCUCGAGGGCGUAGGUUAGCGAUUUCCCAUCAAUGAUCAAAGCAAAUGCUUCAGAGCUCGCGCCUGAUGCAGCGAGUAAGGCCUUUCCUUCUUGUAGUUGCAUCACAACGCUUUCCCUUGACGCCAGUUCGAUUUCAUCUUUGCCUCCAGAUUUCUCUAGAGAUUUGAUAUGAGGUGUCUCAAGAUUGAUGAUGAUCUGCUUCAUCUCUUGUCUUAGUAAACUAGAAGCAAAUCUGCAAGAGAAAUUUUUGAAGUCAGUAACCAAGAAAACACACACACAAAAACAAGAACAUUAAUGUUUUCAGACAUAAGAAAAAGAUUCAAGAUUCAAUACCCAAUAUUGAUAGCUGUUUCCAUUUUGUCUCCAGUUAGAACCCAAAUCUUAAUUCCAGCUUGAGCAAGUUUGUCAAUACAUUCCGGGACCUGAAACACCGAUCAAUUAAAAACCGUUACUUCCAAAAAACCUUAAACUGUCAAAACACUUGUAGCUUUAUAUAGUCUUUCAUUAAAGUCAUACCCCAUUCUGAAGUUUGUCCUCAACAGCAGUAGCACCAAGGAGAAUGAGAUCGCGUUCCAUCCUAUCCGUGAUUUCGUCUAUUAAAGCUUCACGAUCCUCGCUCACUGAAGCCUUAGCUUCAUUGAAAUUCUUGUUGAACUCUAUGUACUCAUUCUCAUCAACCUCACGGUAUGCAAGUAUGAGAGUCCUUAGACCUGCAUCUGCAUAUUGGUUUACAUGUUCUUGGGUUUUUGCCUCGAAUUGACGACCGUUCUUUGCAAGUCUUUCAAACAUCACACUAAAAAGAGCACACAAAACUCAAAGUUAGAUUUUAUAAUGAACCAAAAGGUCUAAGAAAAUGUGUUUUAAUGUCUCAUUUCGCUUACUUAUCAGCUCCUUUAGACAACAGCAAGAGCUUCCCAUCAUCGUCUCUUACAAUAACCGACAUUCUCUUCCUUGUGCUAUUGAACUCAAGAACGUUUAGUAACUUAUAAACCCUGCAAGAACAGAGGACGUUUUGAGCUCCGGGAAUCACAGAGACUACAUCAGAUUGAAAGAAGGCUAAAAAACGAACCUUUCGACUUUUUCUCCUGAUACAAGGUCCAAUUCUCGAAAAGAGAUCCCAUUUUGUGUCCGGUUAAAGAACUCGAAACCGAACUCUCGAGCUGCAACGACAAACGCAGCUUCAUCGGGAGACUCAGCUUCAUAAGAAACAUUCCCGGACUCUUCAUCGGUCUCAGGUAUUGCCGUAUGACACACAGCAAGCAAUCUGAAAAACUUCUGCAACACGGCAGCCUCAGGCUGCCUCACCCAAUUCCCAUUCAUAAUCCUUUCAUCCUCAAAGUUAAACCCUUUAACCUUAGGAGCAGACCGAUCCACAACAACAUCCAAAUCUUCGUUAACCAAAGGCGAACCACCGCUUCUCACAGCCAUAGCUCUCUCAACCUCAGUUAUACCGCGUCCAUAAGCUGUACCCGCGAUAGAACAUUUGAUAAACUCCAUUGAAUUGCAAGUCAAAGUCCCGGUUUUAUCGGAAAGAAUCGUAUCAACCAUACCGAGCUCUUCAUUCAAAUUCGAAGUCCUUGCCUGCGCAGGUUUAUCCGUUUCUUCGUAGUACAUAUGAAUGUCUCUGUUGAUGAAAAUGCUCUGAAGAACUUUAACAAUCUCAAUCGAAACAUACAGCGAAAUCGGGAUGAAGUAACUAUAUAACAUUGUAGCAGUGAAGAAGUGGAGAAUUGCAGCCACUGGAGCUCUUUCUGGAUCAAAGAAGAUAUCUGCUUCAUCUGGCUUCAAAUACCAUCUCUCUGUUCUUCCGUUCUUGACUUUAUCCUCUCUUGUUUCAACUCCAAAGAUGAUUGAUCCAACGAAUGACAUUAGAAAGACAAUACCAAACAUUAAGUAAAUAAUCUUGUCCAUUUUCCUCUCGAUCCUACUUCUCUUUGAUGGUGGAUCAGUUGAAUUCUGUAUCACCUAUUUACAAUUCAAUAAAAAAACAGAGUGAGAACAGAACAGAACAGAACAGAGUGUGUACAGAGCAGAGUGAAACAGAACAGAACAGAACAGAGUGUGUACCUUUGUGUCAUGUCCGGUGAAAACGACAGCUCCAUACACAUACUCUGUGUUUCUAAGCUUAGAAUCACGAAGAAGAAUCUGUUGAAUCGACAAUGGAAAUCUCUCUUCUUCAAGAGCCAAAGUACCAACGAACACAUAAAGAUUCACAUUUGGAUCUUCACAUCUAACAACGGCACUAAAAUCUUUAAAAUCAGAAUCUUGAUUUAACAAUAACGAAGUUGCUUCAAGUCCUUGUUUCACUUUCAGAUUCGUUUCUCCGUCAAGAUUCAUAGUCUCUACAUAACAAAUCGAAUCUUCGUAGCUUGAUGACAAUAGCAAAAGAUCCGCCGGAAAAAACUCGUCUUUUUCGACUCUCACGAUAUCACCAACUCUUAGAUUCCUCCAUUCUUCUUGCCGGAAUAUUCCAUUUCCGUCGUGUACUUUCACUUUUCUGUUAUUCACCUCAAUAUCCUGAAAAAAAAAGUUUCCCAAAAUAGUUUAAAAACUGAAUUUUGAUUCUAGGGUUUAAUAAUUGUUUUUUUUUAACAAAAAUUAAAGAUCCAUACUUUAUAAAAGUUUUAAUUCAACAUUGAUAAAAAUCGAGACUUUAUUUUGUACCUAAAAUCUUGACUUUAGACUUUUUUUAAUUUCUCCGUUCAAAGAAAUGAAUUUUUUUUUUAACUAAAGAUUGUAUUUUUAAUUUUCAAGAUCGGAGAAUUUUUAAAGUGUAACUAAAGAUUAGGUUUUAAAGAUCGGACCUGUUGUUUCCGGCGCCAAUCUUCGAUACCUUCUUUAACCAUUGUGGCGGAGAUGACGAGAGCAAGAGGCAAGAGAGCACUAACGGCUCCAUAAGGAGAGAGAUCAGUCAACGAUAAGAUUCCGGUGACAAGAAAGUAAAAGUUAGCGACACGACGAAACUGCUCGAAGAGAGAUUUAGGGAAGAAAGAAGCAAGGGUGUAUUUUGUUGACCGGACGUAAUUUCCGGGGUAAUUCCGGCGUUCAGCUGCCGGAGAACCCGGUUCGUUACAAUAAACGACACGAGAGAAACCGGGUCCUCCUAUAUUAGAGUGAUCUUCUUGGAAACUUGAUUUACCACAAGUGUAGGAAUAGAUCUUGCUUAGAUGUAAUCUUCUUCUUCUCCGACUUGGACCAGCCAUAGCUUUUUUAGUUUAGUUCUUUGUCUGAAAAUUUUAAAGAAUUUGAAGAAAAACAAAGAAAUAUUUUUGGGUUUUUUAAAUCUAUAAAAUACUUGGAGAACACACUUGGUUAAUGAAUUAAAGAAUGUUAGAAAAUGAUGAAUCUUAAGAUAUGAAUUAAGGAACAAAUAUGGAAGAUGGAGUCUUUUUAUUUAGCUUUUUAAAAAUGUGUGAAGCCAAGAAGAUUUUUUAAACAGAGACCCAACUUUGAACAACGACUUUGAAUCUUAAUACUUUUGGCUCGUUUCUUGACUUUUUGUUAAAGUCUUUUUGAUGGAGGUUUCAACUUUCAUGAGUAUUGUUUGCUUCGAAAAUAUCAAAAAAAUGUACGCGGGUUUCUUUAUUUGCCGGGGGGAAUAAUCAUCAAUCGAAUUUUCCAAAUGACUUAUACACGUAGAUGAAAGAGAUUGCUUCUAGUUCUAGAAUAGGGUAAUUUUUUUUUUUUUUUUUUUUUUUUUUUUUUUUUUUAGAAUAGGGUAAUUUAGUUGGUCUUUUUUUACCUUUUUUUUUUGGUCAUAUUUAUAUUAAUAGAGGAAACCAAAGUAUCAUACAACCCCGACGGGUGCAACAAAAGGGAAAUCUCCUCAAACAAAAUUCUAAACUAAGAACCUUUAUAGAAACAGGCCUUUAUCAAAAAUUCCAACAUUGAGAAGGACGCAGAGCACUGCACAAAAAGCACAAACAGAGGACUAAACUCUCUCAUCAUAAAACACAGAAGAUAACCAAGUCGGUUGACCAACCGCAACAUACGACUGUAACCGACAGUCUCUAAUGACACUUUUGGCAAUGAGAGAGGCUCCUCUAUUGGCUAACGAUUCUUCUAACUCAAGUCUCCAAUCUUGAAUUAACCUAAGCAAGGAAAACAUUUCAAGAGAUUGAUAUCUGAAAGAUGGCCACGCGUUUGGCCUAAGAACAGCACCAACUAAUUAGCCUUACAAAGAAAAAGGCUGUCAUCAGCAAAGAGGAGGUGGGUAAUGGAAGGUCCACCUUCAUUAAACUGAAUACCAUCGAUAAGACCAUUUCUUUGCACCACAUUCAGGAGAUAAGAUAGACCUUCAGUGCAUAAGACGAAAAGAAAAGGGGAUAAAGGAUCCCCUUGUCUUAAUCCUCUUUGGGGAACCACAUCCCAAAGGGUUGGUCAUUUAUUAAAACUGAGUAUGUCACAGAAGAAACACAAAACAUUACCCAGUUAAUCCACUUUUCAUGGAAUCCCAAAGCAGCCAGCAAAGAUCUCAAAUAACUCCAUUCAACUCUGUCGUACGCUUUUGACAUAUCUUACUUUACCGCCAUAAACUCAGAAGAUAUAGAGGAAUGAGCAUUUAGACCAUGAACCAAUUCAUGAGCUACCAAAAUAUUAUCAGAAAUGAGUCUUUCAGAAACAAAGGCUGUUUGCGAUUCAGAAACCAGAUUAGGUAAGAACGGUUGCAGCCUCUGUACCAAAACUUUGGAGAUAAUCUUGUACAAUACCGAGCAUAAGCUAAUAGGUCUGAGGUCAACCAUAUCAGUCGGAUGAGAGAUCUUUGGUAAAAGGCAGAGAUGUGUAUAGUUCCACUCAGAUGGAAAGACUCCAGUCUCAAAAAACUGUCUAACCUCAAUGCAAACCUGUUUACCCACCGUAAUCCAGUAAUGUUGGAAAAACAAGGAGGACAUACCAUCAGCCCCAGGAGCGCUGGCCGGUUUAAUGGAGAAGACAGCAUCCUUAAUUUCCUCAUCAGAGACCUCUUUCACUAAACAGUUGUUCAUUGCUUCAGAGACGCAAGGUUGAAACCCAAAAAACCAACUAGAGAAACUGGCCGGAUUAGAAGAAGUGAACAAAUUCUGAAAGUAAGCUCAAGCAACCUCUCCUUUAGCAGCCUCCGACUUCUGAAAAUUACCAUUUAUGUCCACUAGCUUUUCAAUUCUCUUCUUUGCUCUGUUCCCUUUGACUGUUGCGUGGAAAAACUGAGUAUUUCUUUCACCACAUCUCAUCCAUUGAGCUCUACUUUUCUGCUUCCAGAAAACUUCCUCAUCUCUAUAAGCCAAGGAAAGUUCCUUUUUUAGAAAAUGAAUAUGAUUCAAAGCCGGAAAAAAGGAAGACUGUUCGAUCUCAAGGGCCAUUUCCAUCUGAUGAAUCUUAUCAUUAGCAUUCGUGCAGUUUGACUUUUUCCAAGCACUUAAAGCCUUCCUACACAACCUCAACCUAUCAGCCACAUAAGCUAUAUAGUUAGAGGAAUCAGUACUCCAUGCGCGAAUCACCGCUUCUUCAACAUUGGGUUUGUAAAGGAACCUCUUGUCAAAUCUGAAUUGUCCUCUAUAAGUAUCCUGCGAAGAAAGCAACUUCAACAACACAGGCCUAUGGUCAGAUCCUCUAAAGUCCAAGAAAGUUUGGUUUGAAACAGGAAACUGUACAAACCAUUCUUUAUUACCAAAAACUCUGUCAAGCCUACUCUGAAUCCACAAAUCAUAUCUUUUUCCAGCCCAAGUAAAACUAUUUCCUUGACUAGGUAACUCCUCCAUGUUACACGAUCUUAGCAUCUCAGAGAAAGGCUUGAAGUAAGAGUCACACCGCCUAGGUCCACCAAGCUUUUCACCAUUGUGAAGAAUAUCAUUAAAAUCCCCCAGCAUACACCAACUUUCUCUUCUUCCCACGCCUAUUCUGCUGAGUCUUUCCCACACUAUUUGUCUUUUCUUAAAAUCUGGGUCUCCAUAUACAAAAGAAACAAAAAAGGAGACCGCUCCAAACUGAACAUGCAAAUCCACCAGAUUCUUGUCUGCAAACUUUACAUCCACUUGCACGCUGCUCUUACAAAACACCGCUAAACCACCACACUUUCCUAUCGGUUCCACAGUAUACACUCUGUUAUAACCCAGUCACUCUUGAACAUCCACCAAUGUAUCCCUAUCAUGCAUCGUUUCCAUCAAAAACAACAUCUCAGGAAAAUGUUUUUUACGCAAUUCCCUAAGACGAGGAAAAGCCAAGUCUUGAGACCGUCCCAAGCCUUGGCAAUUCCAGCUCAUGAUGCUCAUUGGGCAUUGGGCAAUCCCUCCUUUGGGAUCACCUCUCUGGGAUUAAGCUUUGAGAAUUUUGCAGUGCUUGUUCCCUCUUCUGCUGCUUUCCUCUUGUCAUUAGAACCUACAGACUUCCCCUUUUUUAACUUUAAGACCUCACCCUCAGUUGGAGGCUUGAAAGGUUUGGGUUUCCUUGCAUUCUUCGUCGGACGUUUCCUAGCCUUAGCCUUUUUAGAGGUAAACCCAGACGGACCAGCCUCAGAGAAACCGGUCCUAAAAACCGUUGGAUUACUCUGAAAAGGCUGAGACAAGGAAAGAAAAUUAGAAUCUUGCACAAAGGGAAGAUUAGAAUUAGAUUCCACCAACCAGGAUCGGUCUUUAGACAAAUGGGGAGUAGAAGACCUGGAGACUAAACUCAGCUCAGUUGAAGCAGAUAUUGACGCUUCACUAUCAUACCCAAAUACCACUCCUUUUCCAACAGUAGCAUCCAAAUGCAAAAUUGGAAGAGGUUCAAGUCUCAAAACAGAUUUUUUUGCAAUAGGAUCUUUUUCAGCUUCACCCACUGUUUUCUUCACUCUUGCCAUCUUUAUGGAAAUGUCUUCUCCAUUAGCCAUCAUAAGGUAUUGUCUCAUACCUUCUAGGACUUCAGCUGCUAUUCUCGGCCUACCCGUAGAAACAUCAACACCUACUUGGUCUUCUCUCAAGACACCAAACAGAGGAUCUGAUUCUUUCAGGACUGGAGGCUUCUUUAUCUUCUCCACAGGUUUACCCAUUCUUCUAGCUACUGCUGCAUCUUGACCUCUUUUUAGAAAAAAAGGACAAGCUUCUCUUUCAUGAGUUAACCUUUGACAUUCGUAACACCUCUUUUGUACUCUUUCAUAUUCAAAACGCACCACUGUGGUCCCUUCUUUCAUGUUUAUCACUUUGGAUCUUCGUAAAGGUCUGGAAAUAUCGAAAAGAACUUUCACUCUGACGAACUCUAGAACUUGAGGCACAUCCGGAUCAAAGGCAACCUCUGUAACCUGACCGAUUAACUCUCCAAGUGAAGAAAUGGCCAGAAAGGUGUAGUGGUUGAUUGGGAUGUUCCAAAUCUGAACCCAAAUGGGCAUGAACAUCAAGUAAUUUUCUGGUGGAUACUCAUACCACCUAUCCACCACAAUCGACCACUCAUUGUAAGUAUGAGCACCUUUAUUGAGCACAUCUAGGAGAUCAAACUCACAGUUGAAGAUAAACUGAAAUUUUUCACUAGUAAGCGCCACUCCUCUAACUUUUCCUAACUUUUGCCACUUUCUUGGCAUGUCUCUAAUGAGAUGCUUCAUCACUUGACAUUCAGGAUUCAGAAGUCUUCCUACCAGACUUAGGACAUUUCUCUCACACGACGAGAACUCCGGCAGAUCCGGCAUCUCAAAGGGGAUUUCUUCUUCCUCUUCUUCUUCCAACGACAUUGCCAACAUGGCCUUAUCCAUAGCUGCAGACAUACUUUGAUUUCUCAGAAGAAACUCAAACCACCGAACCGAGAAAACAAGAACGAAAACGAACGGCAACACAAACAAGCUAACAACCACUUCGAACUGCAACACAAUCAAGCUUACAACACCACCUAGAACAGAACCAACUUCCAGCGAAAAACCAAGAAAUUUGGAAGAACUCUCAAGAACAAACAAAGAAAACAAGGACGAUUAGAUCUAAUUUUAUGUUACGGCUGCGCAAACAGGACAAACUCACAAACGAAACACUUGUUUUUUCCACAAAAGCUCUCGUCUCACCCUAAUAAGAGACACUAGUUGAAAUAGAAGGUCUUAAGCCCACAAAAGGGAAUCAAUUUUGUUUUUUCCAAAAAAAAAAAAAGCCAUGCAUGCAACUAUGAGGAGUUGGUCUUUUUUUACCUAUAAUGUAUAAGACCUUAGAAUUUUCUUUAAUUGUUGCCUAGAAACACAAUAGGAAACUAAAUGCAUGGAUACAUCGAUUAGAUCUAACGAAUACGAUUUUUUCAUUCUUUAAAUUCUUUCAUUCAUUUCUAAAUUUUAAAGUUUGUUUCUGUUGCAGUAAAGAAUUGAUUACAUAAAAUGAUGAAUCGCGGAAAUGAAGUGAAUUGCCGCUAUCCAGUUCAUCGAAUUCACUACACCAAUCACUAUUAAUAAAAUGAUUGUGUCAGGUCUCUAGAGUAAUUACUCAUUAGUCUUUUUUUUUUUUUUGUUCUAGUUCUGUAGUUUGAAACAAUAGGGAAAAUGAUUGUCAGCUACGCGAAAGAUAUACCAUCACAUAGUCACACAUGCAAACUUUAAAAAUGUCUCGUUACCUACACGAAGUAUUGACAUUACAUAAGGACAUCCCUGAACUAACAUAAGUCAUGUUGCAUACACCAUAACCAUCUAAUUCCAGUGAUUCAGUUGUCGGAAUCCGGCAUUGACCAGCAUUGACCGGCGUUGACCGAUGUUGACCGGCGUUGACCAAAAAUAUUUUCAAAAAAAUAAUUUUUUUUUAUUUUUAUUCGUUUAUUUAUUUUUGAUAAAAAUAAUUUAAAUUACUUAAAAAUAUACCAAAAUUAAAUAUACCACAAAUAAUAUAAAAAAAUAUACAAACAAAAUUUUUGGUAGAUAUUUUUGUAAUAUAACUAAAUAUACCACAAAAUAGUCCAUACAUUUUAUUUUGUCCUAUAUUUAUUUAUAAAAUUUUGGUAAUAUAAAAAAUACACAUUUGUUUUUUUGAAAAUCGUUUUUUGCGGUAUUCAACGUCGAACAACCGAGAAGGAAAAAAUAUUAUUUUGUGGUAAAAAAUGAUUGUCAAAAAGAAAAUGUAUAUUUUGCUAUAUUACCAAAAUUUUAUUAACAAAACAUACAUUUUUCUUUUGAAUUUUGUUUUUGUGGUAUUCAACAACGAAUAACCGAAAAGAAAAAUAUUACUUUAAGGUAAAAAAAUGAUUGCCAAAACGAAAAUGUAUAUUUUGUUAUAUUACCAAAAUUUUAUUAACAAAAUAUUUCUUAUGCUAUAUUUUCUUAUAAAAUUUUGGUCAUAUAACAAAAUAUACUUUGUGGUAAAUUAUACCAAAAUUUUAUAAAUAAAUAUAGCACAAAAUAAAAUUUAUGGACUAUUUUGUGGUAUAUUACAAAAAUAUAUACCAAAAUUUUGUUGUAUAAUUUUUUUUGUGGUUUAUUUUGUUAUAUUAUUUUUUGGUAUAUUUUUAAGUAAAAUUAGGUAAUAAUUUUUUUUUUUUUAUCAAAAAUAGAUAAAUAAAUAAAAAGCAAAAAAAAAAAAAUUGAAAUUUGUUUUGGUCAACAUCGGUCAACGCCGGUCAAUGCUGGUCAAUACCGGAUUCCGGUAACUGAAUCACUGGAAUUAGAUGGUUAUGGUGUUUGCAACAUGACUUAUGUUAGUUCGGGGAUGUCCGUAUGUAAUGUCAAUACUUCGUGUAGCUAACGCGACAUUUUUAGAGUCUGCAUGUGUGACUAUGUGAUGGUGUAUCGUUUGCGUAGCUGGCAAACAUUUUUCCAAACAAAAAACUGACGAUUAUUAAGUUAAAAAGAAAAAAUAAACAAACAAACAAACUGACGAUUAUUAAGAGCUGGAAGAGGCGUGGAUGGUAGCAAUUUAUUGAUUUGCUGAUUAUUUAUAUAUUUUGUUUUUCGUUUCUUCUUAUGAGUCAUGCAUGCAUGACAUGGAGGAAGCUUCUUAGAAUUUUUUUUUUUUUUUUUUCUGUUUUACAUCCGGAAAUUUGGACUAAAUUAUAUGGACUAGUCAUCCAGAUUUACGAGAAUCCAAAUAUCUUAUCAUUUGAGAAAUCUAUAAUAGUUUACUAUUGUUGAAAUCAUAAUAGAAGAAUUUGAAUCUUCCAAUUCCAUGAAUUAUUUGAACUAUCAUUUUUGUUACAUAAUUCUAAUUGAUUAGAUUUGGUUUACAGUCCAAUCACUACUAUAUAGAAUCACCCAAUUUACUGGAGUCGAAUUCGAGUAAAAAAACUCUAGAAAUAAAUAAUUUACUUCUCCACUUACAUUUUCUCUUCUUAUUUGACCUAUCACGCCUUAUAUUGUUGACAAUCUUUUAAUUAUUAGAAAACUAACAAAUUUUUUUGGAAGAUAGGUUUUAUGGUUUAGCUUUUAAUUAAAUAGCUUCUAGUGUACUAAUCCCAUUUCAUACGUACGAUCAUAUUUUUCUCAUAGUUACGAAAAUAAGUUAACCAAAUGGUCGUAGUCUAAUAGUUCUCAUUCGAGAAGAAAUUGUCAUAUAAGUUUAUGUUAGACCGUUAGGGAUUAAUUCCUCUAAACAUAAAAUUGUCUAAAUCACUUUGGUCAGUCGAAAUUGUGUCAUGCUUUUAAAACUCAUUAAAAAUUCGAUAAGUGAAUGUUGAUGGUAGAUUAUGGGCCCGGGCCCAUAAUCCCAUCUUGGGCCUUCAACUCGACGAGACGGGCCGAAGAAUCAGAUUUUAAGGGUCUGACCCAUUAAGAGUUUAGUUUCAGAAGGGCCCAAGCCCAGUAAGUAUUCCACCGACCAAGAGGGGUAAAAGGAGGAUUUAACCCGUACAGGGUACCCUACUUCUGCACCCUAUAAAUAGUAAAAAGAAAUGAUUGUAAAGGUGAUCCCGAAAUAACCGCUUUCACAGAGAAUUCCGUACAACCGUCAGAGCACUUUGCGGCUCAGCUCGUAUACUCAAUUUUCAGCUCGUCUAUUUUUGUAAUCGUCGGCUCGUCAUUAAAUAAGAGAUUCUUCUUUCACCCUUAAGACUCCGAAUACGUACUUGUGUGAUUUUGAGGAUCAACAGUUGGCGCGCCAGGUAGGGGAGAAGCUCGAAGAUUUCUCUCAAAACUACGAACCGACGAAACAACAAAGAUGACAGACGCAUUCCACAACGCACUCGGCGCAAGUGCCUCCAGCUCGGGAGGAGAAGCAUGCACGCCCGCAGCCGCAGCGCCUUCGCUACCCCCGACGCCGGAAGGACCAACCACGGUAGCUACCGGACCGCACCCAGUCCCACGUCCUGACGCUCAGUUAACGCCCUCAAACGGACGUAACGCGACGAACCCGCUGGUUAACGCCAGGGCCGGGAUGAACCAAAGGAAUCAGGGCUGCAGCGAGCCAGACGACCUGCUCCAAAACAUUAUCACACAUCUGAGCCUGCAGGAGACAAGAACGAACGUCCGACUCGAGUCUUUGGCAGCAGCCCAGGUGUGCGCUCAGGACGAAAUCAAUCGCCUAAACGCAAGUCAGACACAAGGCGUGCGACCCGCUCAAUGAAACCAAGGACCGGCUUGGCAAAUUCAACCUGUUACUUCGUCAAGCAAAAGUGCUCGGAAUCAAGAGCUCGCCGUGCUACGACGCAUUGUCCAAGACAUGAACGCAAAGGUUCAUAAGGCCACAAGCGCCGCACCAGAACUUGAGCGCGUCUUGGAAGAAACGCAGCAAACUCCUUUCACUCGGAGAAUAACCAGCGUCUCACUCCGAGGGCGCCAGAAGAUAAAGCUCGAGCCCUACAACGGGAAGGGUGAUCCAAAAGAAUUCCUGACGUCGUUUAGCAUCGCAAUCAACCGCGCCGAACUAACCGACGAAAACUUUGAAGCAGGACAAUGCCAGAUUUUCACCGAACAUCUAACCGGCGCCGCCCUCAACUGGUUUUUAAAACUUAAGCCGAACUCGAUCAGCAGCUAUCGUGAACUAUCCGUAACGUUCCUCAAGCAUUACUCGCCGCUCAUACAGAACCAGACAUCCAAUGCCGACCUCUGGUCCCUCUCGCAAGGACCCACGGAGUCCCUCAGAUUAUUUAUCGAUCACUUUAAAGACGUCAUCACCCGAAUCGUCGUUCCAGACGAAGCCGCGAUCGUAGCUCUGCGCAACGCGGUGUGGUAUGAUUCAAGAUUUAGGGACGAUAUCACACUGCACGUACCAAACACGCUCGAGGACGCGCUCCAUAGAGCGACGAGAUACAUCUAGUUAGAAGAGGAGCGGCUCGUCCUCUCACGAAAGCACGGUGUAAACAAGGCAUCGGCACCGAAAGAAGCUCCCGUGGUAAAACCGACAGAGGCAAGACAACAUCUAGACCGCAACAUUAGCCAAGGUAAAAGCCGGCCACGUUCGCCAUAAAUGGUGAAGGCUCGGCGCCCAAACCUCGGAAUAAAUGGGCGAGAGACACCGACGACGUUGCAACAGGGACAGUGUAUUGCGAGUAUCAUAAAAGCAAGGCUCACGCGACGAAGGACUGCCGUUACCUGCAAGGGCUCCUCAUGGCUAAGUACAAGAGCGGCGGCAUCGCAAUCGAAUGUGACCGCGACCAAGGAAGUAAUAAAAACCAAAAACGGAACGAGGCCACUGCCCGGCAAUUCCUUCAGGAUCGAGCCGACGGAGCAGCUGGAGGCGACGAUCAAGCAAACGACCCGGCCAAAAGACAGCGCCAAGGCAAAGCUGUCGCCGACGCUCCCGUCGUCGUCCGAUAAAUCCAUAUGAUCAUGGGCGGCCUUCAAAAUUGCAACGAUUCUGUCCGUUCAAUCAAGGAGUACCGAAAGAAAGCCGAAAUGAUGGAGACGUGGCCAGUAACGCCGAGCCAACCUUCCGAAAAAAUCGAACCCAUUUCUUUCACAAAAGAAGACCUCGUCGGAAUCGACCUUCCUCACAACGACCCCCUGGUCGUCGAGCUCAUCGUCAGCGAUAGCCGAAUCACGCGCGUUAUGAUCGAUACGGGCAGCUCAGUCGACCUAAUUUUUAAAGAUACUCUCACCGCGAUGAAUGUAGCCGACCAACGUAUAAAGCCGCACUCCCGACCUUUAGCCGGAUUCGACGGUGACUUCAUCAUGUCCUUAGGCACCAUCAAACUGCCCACAUUCGUUGGUGGUACGAUCGCUUGGGUGAAAUUCGUUGUCAUCGAUAAACCGGCGAUAUACAACGUAAUCUUGGGGACGCCGUGGCUUCAUCAAAUGCAGGAUGUCACAUCCACUUACCACCAGUGCGUCAAGUUUCCCACUCAUCAAGGAAUCUUCACUCUCAAAGGAAAUCAGCAAGUAGAGCGAACGUGUUUCCUGAUCGAACACAAGAACCGCGCCGAAAAGAAAUUAUAGCAACCAAAGAAAGAGGAGCCCGCGCCCAGCUCCAAAACAGUAAAAGCACCGGGCAAAUCCUAUGAGGAAUCGGAGCUAAGCCGAAUAGAACUUGUGAAUAUUGACGCGUCGGAUCCACUACGAUGUGUUAGUAUCGGAGCUGAAAUUAGUCCAGAAAUCAAAACGUCCCUUGUAGCCCUCCUCAAGGGGAAUUCGUCGAUCGCUUGGAGCGUUGAAGAUAUGCCAGGAAUCGAUCCCUCUAUAACGUCUCACGAGCUAGGCGUGGAUCCAACGUUCAAGCCUGUCAAGCAGAAAAGACGCAAACUGGGUCCGGAACGAGCCAAAGCAGUAAAUGACGAGGUCGAAAAGCUGCUAGGCACCGACUCCAUCAUCGAAAUCCGAUAUCCAGAAUGGUUGGCGAAUCCCGUCGUAGUAAAAAAGAAGAACGGCAAAUGGCGGGUGUGCGUCAACUUCACCGAUCUAAACAAAGUGUGUCCAAAGGAUAGCUACCCUUUGCCACACAUCGACCGACUAGUUGAAGCCACCGCAAGGAACGAGCUCCUAUCGUUCAUGGACGCCUUCUCUGGAUACAACCAAAUUCUCAUGCACAAAGACGAUCAGGAAAAGACGUCCUUCAUCACUGAUCGUGGGACGUAUUGCUAUAAGGUGAUGCCUUUUCGUCUGAAAAAUGCCGGAGCAACGUACCAUCGCCUCGUCAACAAAAUGUUCGCCGAACAGCUCGGUCGAACUGUCAAAGUCUACAUCGACGACAUGCUCGUAAAGUCUUUAAAAGCAGACGACCACGUUCAGAACCUUUAACAAUGCUUCGACGUGCUAAACAAAUACCAAAUGAAGUUGAACCCGGCCAAAUGUACGUUUGCGGUAACUUCCGGUGAGUUCCUGGGUUACGUCGUCACCAAGAGAGGGAUAGAAGCCAACCCGAAGCAAAUUCGCGCUAUACUGGAGUUACCCUCCCCCAGAAACGCCAAGGAAGUACAACGGCUGACCGGCCGGAUCGCGGCCCUCAACCGAUUUAUCUCGAGGUCGAUGGACAAAUGUUUACCGUUCUACAACCUCCUAAAGCGGAGAGACAAGUUUACCUGGGACGAUGUAAGUGAGAAGGCAUUUGCAGAGCUUAAGACGUAUUUGACGACGCCACUAGUACUCGCAAAACCUGAGAACGGCGAAACUUUAUUCUUAUACAUAGCUGUAUCCAGUUGGGCCGUCAGUGGGGUAUUAGUACGAGACGACCGCGGCGAACAGAGGCCAAUCUUCUACGUAAGUAAAUCCCUAAUAGAGGCCGAGGUCCACUAUCCUAAAAUGGAAAAGGCCGCGCUAGCAGUCGUUACGUCGGCGAGGAAGCUGCGUCCCUAUUUCCAGUCCCAUACCGUAGCAGUUCUCACGAACCAGCCCAUCAAAGCCGCAUUGCACAGUCCUAGCCUAUCUGGAAGAAUGACCAAGUGGGCCAUCGAGCUCAGUGAAUAUGACAUCAACUUCCGGGCUCGACCAGCCAUGAAAUCUCAAGUUCUCGCCGACUUCAUCGUCGAACUACCAUCACUAACAGCCGAUUCGAAUGACACCUCGCCAAACACCGGUCAGACGAAUGAAACUUGGACCCUCUAUUCUGACGGAUCGUCCUCUACACAUGGGUCAGGUGUCGGCAUCAGGCUCGUCUCUCCAACCGGGGAAAUGUUAGAACAAUCCUUCAGAUUACGUUUCACGGCCACAAACAAUGUUGCCGAGUACGAGGCACUCAUUGCUGGACUCCGACUCGCGAUUGGAAUGAACAUCCGACGGCUCCGAGCCAUGAUUGAUUCACAGCUCGUAGCAAGCCAAUACAGCGGUGAUUACAAAGCCAGAAAUGAUAGAAUGGACGCCUACCUCAAGGUCGUCCAACGCCUGUCUAAACAAUUCACGGAGUUUGAGUUAACCAAGAUACCGCGAGGAGAUAACGCUCCCGCAGAUGCGCUAGCAGCGCUAGCCUCGACGUCCGACCUGGACCUUCGCCGUGUGAUACCAGUCGAAAGCAUCAACCACCCCAGCAUCCAAGGAAUCGAUUCCGUCAAUUUUGUGUGAAGACGUGCCGCGCCAGAUCCGAUAAGCGACCCCGACGAUUGGCGCCUCAAAAUACGCGACUUCCUGUCAGAUGGGACGGUUCCGGUGGAUAAAUGGGAAGCACGGCAGUUACGCGCCAAAGCGUCAAGAUAUACGCUGUACCACGAACACUUACUUCGGUACAACGCCUCCGGGGCAGUACUCAGCUGCCUGCAUAAGGCGGACGCGGUAAAAGUCAUGAAAGAGACACACGAAGGAGCAGGUGGAAACCAUUCGGGAGGACGAUCUCUCAAACUCAAAAUCAGAAAGCUCGGCUACUACUGGCCGACGAUGAUCUCGGAUUGUAAAAACUACGUGCUCAAGUGCGAGCAAUGCCAACGGUAUGCCCCCGUCAUCCACCAGCCAGCCGAACUAAUGAAAGCUGGUGCCGCGCCAUAUCCUUUCAUGCGGUGGGCCAUGGACAUCGUCGGUCCACUUCCAGCUUCGUGGCAAAAACAAUUCAUCCUCGUCAUGACUGACUACUUCACCAAGUGGGUCGAAGCUGAAUCCUAUGCAACGAUCAAAGCCAAAGACGUACAGAAAUUUGUUUGGAAAUACAUCAUCUGUCGGUACAGCCUACCGUACGAAAUAAUCACGGACAACGACUCGCAGUUUAUUUCGCUGCAGUUCGAAGAUUUCUGCGCUAGCUGGAAAAUUCGUCUGAACAAGUCAACGCCGCGUUACCCCCAAGGCAACGGUCAGGCUGAAGCAACAAACAAGACAAUACUAGCCAGACUCAAGAAACGGCUCAAAGCCAAGAAAGGAGUCUGGACAGACGAGCUCGACGGCGUCAUGUGGUCUUAUCGAACGACCCCGCGCAGCGCUACCGAAUAUACGCCUUUCUCCUUAGCUUAUGGAGUAGAAGCAAUGGCCCCAGCCGAGGUAGGAUGUGCGAGCCUCCGUCGCUCCAUGAUGGUACAGGAUAACAACCUCAACGACGAGAUGAUGAGACACAGCCUCGACGAUCGAGAAGAAAACCGCAACACCGCACUAUGCCGAAUCCAGAAUUAUCAGCUCGCCGCUGCAAAGUACUACAACAACAAAGUCCAUAAUCGGCAUUUUAUCAAAGGCGACCUUGUCCUUAGAAAAGUGUUCAAAAACACGGCCGAACUCAACGCCGGGAAGCUCGGCGCAAAUUGGGAAGGUCAAUAUCAGAUAUCGAAGAUCGUCCGACCCGGAGACUACGAGCUCCUCACAAUGUCCGGCGUCGAAGUCCCCCGCACAUGGAAUUCGAUGCACCUGAAGCGAUACUAUUACUAAAAAAAAAAAAAAAAAAAAAAACUACGAGCGGCUUGAUCCCUCCGAUCAGAGGGUACGUAGGCAGCCUUGUUUACGAGGCACAGCUGCAAAUAUUAAUAAAAUAUAUCUUUCUAAAGACAAACGAAACGAAAAACAUUAGCACCCUGGCCCGGUGUCUAAUCGAACGAAAGCCGAGUUCCGUACUCGCACAAUUAAAACGGCUGAUUGCGUAAGCCGAGGUCAAACUCGCAAUCACGCCCGUUUUAAUCAUUCGAACAGGAUAAGCCGACUCCGGAGAUCGCACCUAAAAAUGUUCUGGGCCCGACCCAAACACGAUUAUCGAUCAAGUUAUUGAGGUCGUCAUCAAUAACUUGCGCAAUACGACCUCGAAGGUCGUACCACCGAGUGUCUUGGACCCGACCCAAACACGAUUAUCGACCAAGUUAUUAAGGUCGUCCUCAAUAACUUGCGUGGUACGUCCUCGAAGGUCGUAUCACCGAGUGUCUUGGGCCUGACCUAAAGGUACGAAGCACAUAAACACCAACCUCGACAGUAUACGCACAAGAAUAAAACGUUAAAAUAUUCAAUAAGAAGCAAACAGAAGUGGCGAAGAGUCUUACAAAUGGCCGACUACGCGGCAGAUAACUUUUAAAAAAAAAAAACAAAAACAACAACAUAAGUCUCAAGACGCGGCCUCAUCUUGAGGAGGAUCUUUGACCUGGAAACUUCCGUUGCCAGCAACCGGAUUCGUAACGACUUGAUCCACGGCAUCCGCAUCAACAGCAAUCCCUUCAUCAGCAUCAGCAACGGAGGGAGCAAAUUCUUCGACGACAAGAGGACCCUUGAAGAAAGUCCGAACAUCAGCCCAACCUUCUUCAAGGUCGGUAAUUUCGAACGCGUUCACCUCGUCCUUAAGAUCCUCCACAUCGGCCUCGAGUCUCUCGAUUACGUCCUUGGAGUUUAGGACGAUCUCCCCAGACUCAGCCAGCGUCUUCAGCAGAUUCACGCUCCCGAUAGCUUGAUUGUAAUCGAGAAAUUUGGGAUGUGCCGCGUCCCUAGUGAUGAAGUGCCUCUGGAUCCCGUCAAGACGUUGCUGGAACUGGUCAGCAGCCUCCUUGAGAGCCUUGGUUACGUGGAUGCGAGCAUAUUCGGUAUGCCGCUCCCGAAGCCUUGCCUCCUCGGCCUGCGACUGCUCAGCAUAAUGCUUGAAGUUGACUCGGGACUUUGACAACUCUUCGAGACAGCACUCUCGUUCUAAGAUAGAAUUAUCUCGUUCUUGCUUAAAUUUGGCGACCUCCUCGCGAAGAAGCUGCACCUCAGAGUUAGCACUCUCCAGACCCUUCGAUGCCUGAUCGGCUCUUUUCGUCUCGGCCGCCAAGGCUCUCUGGUGCUCCUUUGAAGCCAUGUUCUGUUCAGCAACAACACAGAGGCGACGCUCGUACAUGUACGCCAUCCGGUCAAUCGCGGUAACGGCCUACAGAAGUAAGGGCUCGGUCAGGAAGCAAAAUACUUAAUAAUAGAGUAUUAUGAAAAAUUCUUAACAUUACCACAAUGGUCUUCUUCGCAGCGUCAGUGAACGCCGUUCUCUCCCACAUAUCUUGGAGCUCGAAGAAAGGAGACGGACCGACGUGAAUCUUGCGGAAUAGCUCCGCAUAGGAUGUGGAAUCAGUCGAGAUAUGAACGUCGCGCCCAUUGUAAUCAUAUCGCCACCUGUAAUCGGGGGCCCAGGCCGUCCUUUGUUUCUUGGCCGGGUCCGAGCGCACCGUCUCAGACUCGUACGCAGUUCGCUUCCUGGUCGGCUCGACAUGAGAACCGUCGUACGGAGCGACCUCCCUGCCACCUAAAGGCAUCUCAUGAGAGGUCUCAGCAACAGGUAACUUAGACGACCGCGCGUCAGCCACCUCCUUCUCCCUUCUCUCCCUCUCAACGUCAAACCUCGCGUCCAAACGAUCGGUACCGCCAACACCAUGAACGCGUCGAUCAUGACGGUCACCUUCUUCUCUCCUGUCCAAACGACCUGAAGAUCGUCGUUCCCUCUCCUUAGCCUCGUAUUCCGCUAAGGAGAGACGCUUCCCCAAGGCCAUAGCCUCAUCCUCUUCUCGGGACGCCUUCGCCGGCGUCGUAGCAGAUCUCUUCUUAUAUCUUGAUGAGUAAUCACCCACCGCGUCAACAUUCAAUUUCCCUAUAAUCUUUAAGGAAACUGAUAUAUAAAAAAAAGAAACGAAGAAUAUAAGUAAAUAUAUGCACUCGUCGAAAAAGCGGAAUAAAGGAAAGGAUCAAAGCCGACCUGGAUUCUUGUUAGUCUUCCUUGUUUUCGAAGGACCUCCUCUUCGGUUCUUUCCCUUUGGUUUUGAAAAAGGGCAACGAACAUGAUCUUCUUCGUCGGGCCAAGUAUACGGGCACAAAGCUAGAAUCUUCUGAACGUCCAGUCGCGAAGCUUCUCAGGGUACGGAUCGAAAAUCUUGGGACAACAAACUGCAAAAGAAAAGAAACAAGAAAAACAAGUUAGAAAAAUCAUCAGACGAUAAGGGAUCGACCUCGGAGGGAUAAGCAAACUACCAGGUGAAACAGUCCACCCAUGGUAAUUCGUGACCGCCACGUCCUCGGCGGACUCGUUGUUAACCCUGACAAAGAAGUACCAAUAAAGCCAAUCGUUGGUCUUGCUCUUCGCACCGACGACCAACUUUGGGGUCAGCGAAGACUGGGUAUACACCAGGCCCGGCUUAUAUUUCCCAAAAUUCUUCUUCGUCGUCAACUCUUCGUACAGGGAACAAUGAGGCUCGAUGCCGCACCGCUCUGCCAGACGGAUCAGACCGUAGGCAUUUCGAAUUGCAGCAGGGGAUAGUUGCGAAAAAGCCAUCUGCCGCCGCGAAGCGUACUGUAGGAGGAAAGCAGGAAUCAGGAAAGUCAGCCCGCAGUCAGUGAUAUGCUUCUCGUAGACGCAGAGAUAACCCGGCGGGGCCGUCCAAGGUCGAUCUAAAGCACUUGGAACCAAUGUGUCAAGAUUAGCCGGGGCGUCACAGAAGCGCAGCGAAAGCUCGAUCGAUUCAUCCGUUGACGACGAUGGGCGAAGAUAAUCCGCGAUACCAGGUGCCGGACCCCUAGGUUGAGCAGGAACGACAUCUAGACGACCUGGAAUUACAGGCGCUGCGCCGCCAGACGGACUCGGUCUGGCCAAAGCUGUUCUUCGUCUAAUCAGCGGGACGUCAUCCUCGUUCGAAAACGCCGUGUUGCUGUCCUCAUCACGAAGAUACAUCGUCGCGACAGGCCUAGAAGCAGCGCUCGGUCCAGCAGCUCCUGCUCGGCAUAAGAGCUCACGACGUUGUAACUCCACAGCGUCUGCCGAAGCCCCUUUGACAGACGACGCCAACGUAGAAGAAGAUCUAGCUCUACGACCCCGACGACUAUUAGGCGACUCGUUCAAAAAACAAUCGACAGAUCGGACGGCAGAAUCCUCGGUGGUGCGCGAUUGACGAUGAUCGGAAAAGGAAUCCCGGGAACCGUAACUGGAAGACAUUAUCGGAAAAAGAAAACGACGAACUGAAGAAAAGAAGAGAGAGAACAGAGAAAAAUACCUUCUGUUGAUGCGGAGGAAGAAUGAAAAAAAAAGGAAGGAAGCGAGGUAUUUAUAGAGAGAGUCGGUCGAGCCAAAACGCGUCAUCAUCACACCUCGAAGAACGGCGUCAUCAUCACGACCUCUCCGCCUUCAACAUGCAAGCGACCCGAUAAUCGAGGCCUCGGGAGCAGCAGUAGACGAAUCGGAAGAGGGCGUUCAUCACACGCGCCUCGAAAACGUGCGCAAGAAGUCAAACCGGGGCGACGAAAUGAUUACAACCCUAGCAGUGCCAUUUGCUACGCACUAGGGUUGGGGGGCUACUGUUGAUGGUAGAUUAUGGGCCCGGGCCCAUAAUCCCAUCUUGGGCCUUCAACUCGACGAGACGGGCCGAAGAAUCAGAUUUUAAGGGUCCGGCCCAUUAAGAGUUUAGUUUCAGAAGGGCCCAAGCCCAGUAAGUAUUACACCGACCAAGAGGGGUAAAAGGGGGAUUUAACCCGUACAGGGUACCCUACUUCUGCACCCUAUAAAUAGUAAAAAGGAAUGAUUGUAAAGGUGAUCCCGAAAUAACCGCUUUCACAGAGAAUUUCGUACAACCGUUAGAGCACUUUGCGGCUCGGCUCGUAUACUCAGUUUUCUGCUCGUCUAUUUUUGUAAUCGUCGGCUCGUCAUUAAAUAAGAGAUUCUUCUUUCACCCUUAAGACUCCGAAUACGUACUUGUGUGAUUUUGAGGAUCAACAGUGAACUACUCGAUAUCUACAUUCACCCUAGAAAAUUAGUCGGAUGGUAAAGUGUAUAUAUAUAUAUAUAUAUAUAUAGAAUUUAAUAAAUGGUUGUCUGUUAAGUAAAAUAUGUUUUUAGAAAGGUUUACUAUAGAUUUUAUCGACAGAAUAAUCAAUUACUAACAUAACAAAAACUCUAUAAAAAAGAACUCAAUAAAAAAAAAUUGACGAUCAAAACAAGCUAAUAAUACGUCGAAAUUUCAUACUAGAAUUUAGUCAUUAUAUUUCGUUGGACCAAUGUUUAGAUCCGUGAGUCAUUAGAGUACUGUGAAUCCAAUAUCAAUAAGUAUGAAAGCAGUUCAUUAAACGUUGUUCAUGUGAUAUUUUCCAGUCACACAUGCAUGCCAUUCACCUACUAAUCGUAUUAUCAUCAUAAUGUCUGGCUGCGUGACCAUUCCAAAUUUCUAACAAAUGAGUUUUCUAAUAGUAUAAUACAAACAGAUUAUUGCUUUGACUAUAAAAUGUGCGGCAUUAUAAUUUAUAAUAGUGGUUAGAACUUUUUGAAACUUACUCAUUUAAUACUAUUACUUUGUUGAAAUUAGGUUUCUUGGAUAAUGAAUAUUUCACUAACCCAUUAACCGAUUCAGACGUAACUACUAGUUUGAACAAUGGCGAUAUAUAGUGAAGCGAUUCAAUAACUUAAAAGUACUCCUACACACCAACUUAGUUGUUAAUCUUGACGUACAUAUAUAAUAUUAAUGUAAUAAAAUCUAAAACCAAACAAAUUCAAUAAAAUCAGACCAUGUCACUAAAUAUAUGUAUAUUUUCUUCUGUCGACCAUAUUACUGCAUAAAGUUAUGUAUGCAUGACUUUAAACAAUAGGAAAAAUACAUGUUUCGUCGUCAUUGGAUUCUAGAAAUGAACCCUUGGCAAUAUAAUAGGGUGAGUAGUUGACUUUGGAAGUAUUCUUGACUUCCUUAACACGUGACUUUAUAAUCAUCAAUGACGUCAUGGAUUCAUAAUUGUCAUCAAUAUCACGAUUAUCUGUAUUUUAUUCGAAUAAAAAAGGAGAUCGGAAUCAAAGCUUCUAGAUAUCAUAAAAGAAGAAAGUUCAUUCACCUGACAACCAUUAAUGAAAAAAAUAAAUCAAUCACACACAUAUAUUUUAUUUUCUAGCAUUCACAAUAGGAGAUUUAUGUUUUUGUAGUUCAGAUAUAAAUACUGAUAAGCUCUAACUGACAUAAUAACAAUUUUUAUAUGUCCGUAAGACCGUAACUAUUGACUAUUGUAUGGAGGAUAUGUAGCAAAAGCUUGAAAUAUUGAAAUUCCCUUUUUAUCAUUGUAGCAAAAGCCUCAAAUAUUCUAUUGAAAAAGCCCUUUUGGAAUCAUAAUGUAAAACAUCUUAGAGAAAUAAAAUUAGGGAUGGUACAUCAGACCCAAUAAGAAAAAAAUGGGGCUGCUGCUCCAAUAAUUGACAGAGGAAAGCCCAAUAGGAAAUCCGAAAUCAUGAAGAAUUUUAAGGCCACAAAGCUACUCGUGUUAGUAAAUUAAUACGUAUUAAUUCAAUAUUUUGUAAAUUUGUAAUGUUUUUUUCCAUAAAUAUCUAAAACUGAAAAAAAAAGACUUGGAACUUUCACGCAUGAAAUGCAUGUGUCUUAAAUCAGAUACAAUAGUAAGCAGUAGAUUCAAGCACAAAAAUUAUAAUCUGAAACAAUAUGUGUAUAUAUUUAAUGAUCUGACAAAAACUUCCUUUUAUAAUGAUGGAAAGCGUAGAGUGUGUCACCAAAGCCGGUCCAAAGUAAUUAGUGGCCGCAAGCAGGAAACAAAAUUUUGGCCAAGUAUUAUCGAUUAAUCAAAAAAAUAAAAAAUUCUAUUGUAAGCGUCAAACUGGCGACUUCAACGCUUUAAGUGUCUCAUGUUUACCAGCAGAACUAUUGAACAUAUUGUAACAAAAGUAGCCGAUUAAUUAGAUGUAGAUAGAAGCGGUCGCAAGCCUAAGCUUGGCUUACUUUUUUUUUUUUUUUUAAUAAACCCUAUCGGCUGAUCCGGUCAGCUCUGGUAGAAACGCACUGAAGUGCUUAAGAGUGGACUUCUUCCGGAAAGACGACCAUACUAUCUGUUCCGAAUUUGAAAAUGUUUUCCGACUAAUGCCAGGGGAUAGCCAGAUCGCCUGUUACUGACUACUAGGUAAACUGCUUGGGCCAAAGACCCAAACCCAGACUUCUCCCACAAAUGUAAUUUUUGUUUCCAGUGUGGAUCGAACCUGAGUUAGUUCAUUCCAGUGUUCUAAAAUACGCUAGGCGAUAGUCGGGCGGUGGAUCCACCGUAUAGCGCCUAACUGUAUAUGCGGCUGUAUAUGCGGGGUAUAUACAGUGAAUAUAUUUUUAUAAAUAUAUAUAUAUAUAUAUAUAUAAUAUAAAUAUAUUGUAAAUAUAUAUAAUAUCAUAAAAAAAAUAAUUGUCAAAAAAAAUAAAAGGAGUUUCACGUUAAACUCCAACUCUCAAAAAAUAAAAACAUAAUGACAACCGUAUUUAGAUAAGCAGCACCGUAUAAGUGGUAGUAUUGAGCCGUAUAACAUCGUAUAAUGACCGUAUUGAGCCGUAUAACGUCGUAUAAUGGCCGUAUAGCGUCGUAUAAGUGGCCGUAUUGAACCCAACCGUAUUUGUUAAACGCAUAGCUUAAAAACAGUACAGUAGUCUGCUGUAUAGCGUAUAACUACCGUAUAUACGGCCGCCUAAGACGUAUUUUAGAACAUUAGUUCAUUCCAAAUUUUUCCCCAAUUCUCAACAACUAUUGGACCACAGCUGUGCGGACCGCUUGGCUUACUUGUAGUCAUGGUCGGUUAUGUGUGUCACUUAUGAAUGUUAUAAGGCAAGUGUAUAAGCAUUUUUAAGCAUUUUUAAAUAGUUAAUAUAUAGACUGCGAUUAUAAUAAUUGAGAUAAGUUUUGGUUACUGUUUUGGUGCAAUUUUAUUGAUUUUUGUUGGAUAUGAAGACAUUUAGAGUUUUAAUCAUCAUUAGGGAUAAAGUUGGCUGUUUUUAAUGAUAUUUAAGAUGUCAUGGGUUUAAUUUCAUGCUUUAAUUAUAUUUUAAUAUAUAGAUGUUAUGGGUUAAAUAUAAUUAAUGGUUAGUUCCUGCACUUUGAUUUUCCAUGUAGGGUUUGUUUUUCUUGAUUAUAAUUAUUAAAAAUCAGCAAAAAAAACAAUGAAAGAUGACAAUAACGUAGCUUAUAUAUAUUUUACACUUGCCUUAUACAUAGUUAAAUAAACACAGAUUAAAAGGUGUCACAAGUUUCUUAGAGCUAAGUAAGCUAGAACCCUAUAAAGAAGCAACAUAAUGGCAAGAGCCAAAACAUCCCACAUCAUAUUCCCGAUUCUCAAAUUCCUAAUCCCUUCAUAAUCCAUAACACUACAAUGCAACCCUGAUCCACAUUCAUAAACCUCACCCCAUGUGUAUUGAACCCCAACAAGAAGCUUAUAGCAAUAGUGGCUAAACGAAACAUACUUCAACCACGCGAUAAAACCCGGAAUAUGUUGAAUAUAGUACCCUCCGGCUAGUAAGAACACUAGCAUUAACACCGAAGACAAUGUCGCGGCUUUCUUUGCGUCCAUCAAGAUUGCCCCUAGAGCUAACCCUACGCCUUGAGCCACUAGAACAUUGUAGAGAACGAUCAUAAGGGUCAUGAUGAAUGUGGUUAAAGAUGGCUUAAGGCCUCCCAUCCAAUAUGUGAUUGUGACAAAGAUCGUUGGAAGAAUGAGUUCCAUUGGUAAAUCGCCGACUGUUCUUGCUAUGUAGUAAGAGGAGAGUCUGUAGAUUCCGGAGGAUCGCUCUUUUAUAAGCAUCGGUCGUUCUUGAGGGAAUGUAAAAAUGGCGUUGAAGAGAGGGAAGAAUCCCCAAAAUAUCGAGAAGAAGAACAAUAAACCCACCUGUUAUAGUGAACACAGAAUAUUAAUGAGGUAAUAUAUAUGAGUUUUGACUACGAUUUAUCUUUUUCUUAUACGUUAGAAUAUUGUAAUUUAGUUUUCCUAUAUCUUUUGUUUCGUUUCACUAUAAGUUAUAUCUUUGUUAAAUGGAAUUUAUUCUAAAGACAUGUAAUGGUAUAUAUAAUUUAUAUAUAACCAACAAAGUCCAUUUGAAAUGGAAGAAGAAUCUUUUUUUUUUGUGUGAUAAGGAGGACAAAUCAAUUAUUAUUUUUCAAUAAAAAAUACAAAAAGUCAUUUGAAAAAUAAAUUAAAAUGUUUUUAAAAUAUUCAUUAAAAAACCGUACACUUAAAACACUAGAAAAUAUAUUUUUGUGUUAUCAUGUUUGUGAGUGUGUGUGUAUAUAUAUAUAGUACUUUAUACUUUUAAAAGAAAUUUAGUAAUAUAUAUAUAUAUUAAUUGUAUUUUCUGUUUGAUGUCAAAUAUAUUGAUCAUGUUUAAUAUAAUCAAAAUUUUCAAUACCAUGGUUUUUACCUGAUCUUGUAAGUGAGCAACGCGAGAAUGCCACCAUAAGAGGCCAGAAAGUAAAGAAACUGACAUGACCAUAAAUAUUCUAAGUCCUGAAAAUGAUUCGUGACUUCUCUCUUUUAAACCUCGUUUCAGUAGAACUGAGAAUUGCAUCCACCAACUCGUUGGCCAUCGAUCUUCAUAAAUCCAAAAACAUGAUAUAUAAUUGAGAUCAACACAAAAUUGUGUCAUUUUUAAAUGUUAUAUAAUGACUUGAAAAGACUUACUGGUAUAGCUGUUGACAAAAAAAAAAAAAAAGACUUACUGGUUAAUAAUGACUUUGUUCUCGAUCUAGUGAUCGUUUGAUCUUGUGGAAAUGUUCUAGACACUUCUUCUUUCAAAGGUGGAUACAAAUUCUUUUUGUAAGACGAUAUUAACGAUUGUUUCACGGAGUUUUGUUCUUCAAGCCGAUCUAAUCUUCCAUUUAUUUCGACUUGAUCAUAUUGUUUUGUAUCCGAAGUAAUUCCUGCAAAAAUAUAUUCCAAACAUGCAUUAAAAAAAAAUCAAGAAUUGUAUACUAUAUAUAUAGAGAGUCAAAAGCAGCAUAUUAUAACCACAAUAUUAUUUAUCCCACUAUUAACAAACCUUUUGUUUCUCUUUUAACACUGAUUUAAAUUAAAAAGUGACAAAACUUUUGUUUCUCUUUUAAAACUGAUUUAAAUUAAAAAGUAUACAAAGAAUGGGAUAGAAUUGUCGUUGUCACAUAUCUCAUGAUGCACAAGCAAAUCAAAAGAAAGUGUGUAACUUUACACCCGAAGUUAGCUGUUUCAAUUUUUUUUUCCCUUUCAAACUAUAAAACAUAAAUGAAUUUCGAAUAGAUUUUGUACCUACCAUGAAUCGGGACAUGUAACGGUUUGUGCUAGUGGCGUAGCAGUGUUAAUUAUAACUCGGUGGCGUAGUAUGCGUGUAUGAAUUGUGGACGAUAACUAAAAAAGAUUUAGUACUUACCGUUAGCAAGAUCUAGCACAAAGUCAGCCGGGUUAACGAAACUGGAUCCGGGUUGAUACCCAAUUGAACCAAGAUACUCCAUGACCCGACCCGAAUUCCCACUAUAAAUAGGACAUCCUUCUGAUAAAACCAACACUUUAUCAAACAUCCGAUAAAGCCGACUCGACGGCUGAUGAAUCGUCGUAACAACUGUCCGGCCGCCGCGUGCCAGCGAUCUCAAGGUGGCGACUAUUCGCACCGCCGUGGUUGAAUCAAGCCCCGACGUUGGCUCAUCAAGAAGCAACAAACUUGGGUUCACAAGCAUUUCUUGUCCAAUACUUACCCGUUUUCUUUCCCCACCGGAAAUUCCUCGGAUCAACCCGCCUCCUAUUACACUGUUACAACACCGGGUCAACCCAAGAUCCGAAACCACUGUCUCCGCCUGCUCUAUCUUCUCUUUCCGGGUCAGCUCUUUAGGUAAACGGAGCAAAGCCGUGUACGUUAGCGUCUCCAUGACCGUUAAGUGUGGGUAGAGAACAUCGUCUUGUGUAACGAACCCCGUUUUCCGUUUAACGGAGCUUGUAAACGGUUCUCCGUUAUAGCUAACGGUUCCUGAUAGCUUCCCUUGUAAACGUCCGGCCAACGCCGUUACUAGCGUUGUUUUGCCACUCCCUGAUGGACCAAGCAUUGCUAGUAACUCCCCUGGUUUGACUAUACCACUUACACCGUUAAGGAUUAACCGGUUCGGUUUUGGUUCUUGUGAACCGAACCAAUAGCUUCCUUUCCCGGUUUGUGAUUUUAUACUGUACGACAAUUCCUCAAACUGCAUUACAUACACAAAUCCAACGAAAAAAAUUUAUAACACGCAAAAUAGGAAAAUUACAUAAUUUAUGAUAUAUAUAUUAAUUUCACGACCUUGAGGAUUAUAGGACGUAAAGAUUGACGUAGAACAGAAGACUGUCUUGAUUGGUGACUCGGACCGUCGUGGUCAUCGUCAAGGCAUGGGAUUACAUGACUUGGAGAGCUAAGCCGGUUAUCUUGAACCGGACUAGUUUCGUGUCGGUUUGCGCCUGGUGUUUUCGGAAAGCUAGAUUCUUGCUCAUUAGGAGGCAUCAUCUAGAGAGAAAAAGAGAGAGGGACGAAGAGAGAGAUUUGGUGUGUUGUGUUGAGAAGUUCACAUGUUAUGCGAUGUGUAUAUAAAGGAAAGAAGUGGGGACUCUUAUAACGAAGGGAAAAUUAACUAGGAGAGAGAGACUUUAUUCAUAAGUACUCAUAAUGCAAUAUAAUUAAUUUUCCACUUUUAAAGUAGAGAUAAUGUCAACUUAUAAUUAUUUAUACAGUUUCAUACACUGAUAAACUGAUAGGUGUUCAGUAUUCUUCAAUACAUUACAUAGGUCACUAAACUACUAUGGCCUAUCUAAUUUUAUUACUCCGCUGUAAAAGUAUGAAUAUGUUAUAUAACUAAUUUAAACGUUGUAUAGCUAACUAUUUUGUUUUGUUAAAAAAUGUGCUAUAUCAAUUUAUACUAUCCCCGUUGAUAUAAUGCAUGCCAAUUUGAGCUAAAAUUUGUAUUAAAUUACAAAACGAUAUGAUAAUGAAACGAAUGUUAUAUUAGAUGUGCUAUUUAUAUAUUAUUAUGAAAUACUGAUAUUCUUACAUAUUCGAAAAUUAAUUUGCAUUUUAAGACAUGCAAAAGUAAUAGAGGUAUUCCAGAUUCGAUCCACCCUAGAAACAAAAAACACAUUUGUAUGGGAGAAGUCUGAGUUCGACUUUGGCCCAAGCAAUUCACAUGGUAUUCGAGAUUAGGCUAACUGGAUACUCCGGACAUUAGUCGGAAAGCAACUCAAACUCGGAAUUAGGUAGUGUGGUAGUCCAACACCUAGAUGUUGGCGACGAGUCCACAUGGUAGUAUUUCGGUGUGUUCUCCAGAAGCUGACCGGAUGAGCCGAUUGAGUAUAUAUAUAUAAAAAGAAAAUAAUAGAAAAAUUAAAACAAAAAAAAAAGUAAUAGACAAAGUCUUCGUUUUCUUGAACACGUAGCAUGUUUAUGAUGUCAUAGCAUGGACAAAACAUAGUAUCUUUUUUUGAGAGUGACAAAAGCAAAGCGUUUUACGUUGUUUCUGGUCCAGGAUAAUUUUAAUUUGAACAUGAACUCAAAUGCACCAAUAAUUAUUAGUUGCAUUUCUACCUUUUAAUUUUUAAUUGACACUAAAUGUGAUUCGCUGAAUUAAAUGAGGAAACGUAGCUCGAAAAGAGAAGAAGAAAUUAACAUUAUUGUUAAAAAGGUGGUUGGAUUUGACACCAAAACAGAAAGCUAAGAACAUUACAGAACAAAGUUAUUAUGCUUCAUUGCGACACAUUUAUUCUAGAGAUUCUAUUCAAAGAGCCUAACCAAUACAGCUGUAUAUAUCAUGUAUACACCACAAUUUUUUCCCGCCUAUAUAUUGAUAGAAAGUUAAAAUUUACCAAAUACCCCAAAAGCUUUUUUCUAAUUAAUAUGAUAACGCAUUAUUAAAAGGAAAAGAUACAUUCAUAUCAGACCUAUUCUGAUUCAUACAACUAUAUAUAAAAGUUGGCUAAUUACAUAUAUACACAAUCAUAAUUUAACUAAAACAUACAUUGAUCUACCGCCAUUAAUCGUCAAAUUAUGUUUGUUCAUGUAUGAAACUGGGCAAGUUUUAUAGUUGGUGCAUGCAUGCACACUGACUUUUUUUUUUUCAAUAGGCACCAAUAUGAAUGAUUGGUUCAUUCUGUUUAAUAAAUCAAACAUAUAAGGAUGAGAUGGAAAGUGACAUACAAAUUGAAGUUAAAGGAUUUGGAAGUAUAAGAAUUCAAAAUGAUGAUAACUCCUUGUUCUUCUCAAGAUUAUGAAGCAUGUAUAUGGGAUAGCUCUAAGAACUUUAGAAAAUUAAAGAUGUUGGUUAAAUCAAGAAACAAGAAAAGUAUUGUGGCCCUUUCCUAAUUAGUAAUUAGUAUUAGCUUUACGAAAUAUGUAAAAUUGUAUUAAAAUAUUUUUAAACAAUAACCUACUAGUAGGAAACCAAUAGAUUUGAUGGCUUCAAAAAUUUCACCAUUAUUAUAAAAGAAAACAAGUGGCCCUAAAAAUAGAAAUUGGCAUUAUCCUCAUUCUUGAUUUUAACCUUUUACAUUCUUAACAAUUUUUGUUAUGUAUAUUCGAUUUGAGUGUAAAAGAGAGAGUUUAAUAAACUUCAAACUUUCUUUGAAAUCGAUCUUCAGCUCAACCUAAGUUAAGAAAAUUGGCUAAAAUAAAACAAAUUUGCAAAAUAAACUAUAAUCAGACGAGAAUAUAUAUAUACCUACGGAAAUAUUAGGAAUAUUAUAUAUCAUGUGAAAAGGACUGGAUAAUGUCUGAUAAUGAUGGGAUGCAAAAGAUUAUUACGACACGAACACAUAAAUAAAAAGUUUUGAAAAUUUCAUUCAAGGAACAAGAUUCUUGAAUAUAAGUUAUUGACAAAUUUACAUUUCUAUGAGAAAUUUGUUUUUUUCUAGAAUUAAUAUUUUUGUUGCAGAUUAAUAGGGAGGAUAAUUUGAAUUUACAAAAAACAAUGAAAUCUUUUUACCAUAUAGGUUAACUUUAUCCUUAACCCCUAUGCUUUUCCUAAACAAGAUUGGUCUAAAUUAUUCUUUUAAUGAGAAAAAAGAAAAGAACAAGCAAGUCUUAUCCUUUUACCCUAUUCUUUUCACAAAAUGUAAAAAAUAUUUACCAAGUCCUUGCUUUUGAUGGAGGUAGUAACUUUGAAUCUGAUUCAGUGAAGUAUUUAUAUAUUUUCUGAGAAAAAAAAAAAAUCGUGCCUGCAUGAGGUAAUAUUAUUCAUCCAUAUUGGAAUGAAAAGAUCAUAUGAAAAACUACAUAUAAUAUAUAAACACCAUCGACUGUCACUAAUCAUAAUCAAAGUUCGUAUAGAUAAUGCAUGAUCUCUUGGAAAUAUUAAUGGCUCCACUGAGCUUAUAUGUUCAAUUAAAUACUGAUUUUCUUUCUUGAGGGAUUUUCAGAACAUUUUUAUACGUUUUCUGAUAUUUUUUUCUUUCGCUAUACGUUUUCUGAUAGAAAAAUAAAAAUACGAAUUUUAUUUGUGUUGUGGGUGAUUAUUAUAGGUGCUAUUUUGGACGUGGCACUUGCUAGUUCGAUGCUAACGAUUUUGGGUAAGAUUGUGUCUUCUCUUUCUUAAAGGAAAAGAUAGUCUUCGUUGAAUCAUAAUGUUCUCCAAACCUUUGAUUGUUGUCUUUUUCCCUAAAAAAUUCAUCUAAAAAGAAAUCUUAAAUCAGAAAGUCUAUUUGUUUAGGUGUCCGACGAAUAACAAUAAAACAUUGCAAAAGAAGAAGAGGCGAUUAAGAUAUUAAUCGAAUUGUCAUAUAAUAAUUUUUUUCCACAAAAAUUGUAGAUUUUAUAGCUUUAUGCCGAACCAAAUCUUAAACACUAAUCAUUUACUCAAGGGACUUUGUAAUUCUAAGUCAGCUUUAAUGAUGUACGUUUCAGUUGCUUUAAGUUUUUUUUUCUCUCUUUAUUAUUAUCAUAUUGAGGAAAAAUAAAGAUGAGUACAUGACUUCAAAGAUAUUAAUAAGCAAUAUAAUACUAUAUGACUAUGUUAAAAAACAAUGCUAAAUGUGAGUUGAUUGAUCUAUUAAGAUCAUCUCCAAAGGGGACCUUAUAUUUGAGGUUUGCCAAACCUUAAAUUUGAGGUUUAGAGUUGUGUCUCUUCAAACGAAAAUCUUAAAUUUAACUUCAAAAGAAUUUUUAUUUUGCAUAAUAGUCCUUACUAUUGAUUAUAAUUAAAAAAAAUCAUAAAACUUUUAUAAAUAACAAUAAAACAUACAUUAGAAAUUUACAAGCAGUAUUAACUAAUAAGAUGUUAUAUUAUAUUAUAAAAUUACAGAAAGUAAUAAUAAAAACACACAAACGAAAUCAUAAAUUAAAACUAAAUUUAAAUUCUGUGCCAUUUAUUAGAUCUCACUCCUCAUCAACCGUUGGAUUCAACUUCUAUCUAAACUAUAACUUAUCCUAGAUAUAGAUUAAAAAAAAAUGUGAAUUUCAUCAACGUCAUUCAUUAUAUCUCCACUCAUCACCAACCAUUGGAUUGAAAUCCUAUCCAAAAUUUUAGAUAAGAAAAUCUACGAAAUUGGUUUGUGGCCAUUCCUUUGAACUAGGGUUUUCCAUUCAUUGUGUAUAAAUAAUAGACUUCUAUGGAAUGAUAAUAUCACAAUUCGACUAACUCUUCUUGUGACUAAAAAAUAUGGAAAAAAAAUAGAGGCUCAUCAUUCAAUCAAAAUGAAGAUGAGUUGCUAUGUUGUGUGUAUCUAGAAAUAUCACAAGAUCUAAUUGGUAGUAAUAACCAAUCUGUGGGAAAAUUUUGGGAAAAAAUAAGUAAAAGCUACCACGAAAAGAAAACUGGAGGGCUGAGAAAUUAGAAACAUAAGAUCUUUACAGAAUAGGAUGAAUAACAUUACAUAUGCUAUUAGGAAUCUGAAGAACUGCAUCACCCAAGUGGAGAAUAUGCAUCCAAGUGGUGCGUCCGAAUUUGAUAUCGUAAGUACAUUUGUUUUCUACUUAAUUUAUAAAUAAUUUUUUAAUUAACAAAUUCUAUUUUUCAAUAUUCUGUAGAUGAAAAAGGCCAAAAAACUCUACAUACAAGAUCCAAAACAAAAGAAUGGUUUUAAAUUUGACCACGUUUGGAAUUUGAUGAAGGAUAUAUGAGUAUUAGUAUUGUUGUAGUAAUUUAAUUUGUGUAAUAUUUAUGUGUUCAUGUGAAAACUACACUAAAUAUAGUGUUAUUUCAAUACCAAAAUGGUGUUAUGGUUGGAGAUGCCCUAUAUAUUUCCGUAAUGGUCUCAUAUAUGUAAUCAAUGCGUUUCGAAGAGCUAUAUCAGAAAUUAAAAUCUAUAUUUAUAAGACAUAAAAGUUAAGGACUAAAAUGAUAAAAUAAUAAACUAGUAAAAUUAUUUAUAAGAUAUAAAUAAAUGUAAGGACCAAAAUGCAAAUAAAAAGAUGAAACUUCAAAUUUGAGGUUUUGAAUAGUGAAACCUCAAAUAUAAGGUUUCACUAUUCAAAACCUCAAAAUAUGAGGUUUUGAGGUUACUUUUGAAAAAUAAAAAACCUCAUACUUGAAGAUUUGAGGUUGCCUUUGGAGAUGCUCUAAAUGAACAAAAAAUUUAUAUAGUUGAUGCUUAUACGAUAUUUGGAAGAUAACCAGAGAAAAAAAAAAACUAAAGACAGUUUAAUAAUCUCUUAAAAAAUCAUCUUAUGAAAGUCUUAUGCAUCUUCAACAUGAGCCAGGUAAGCUUGUAGCUGUGCCUACGAGAAUCCAUUUCAAACUGAAAGCAGCUACUUGGCAAGAAGGUCUGGAUUAGUUGAUUCAGUAAAGAAUGUUCCUUAUUAUUUAUUAAACUGUUAUGGAGAGUAUUAUGUACUUUGGAAUUGGAACAAAGCUAGAUUUUCAUAUCUUGUUAGUCGACUUAGCAUUCAUGAGCAAACAUAUUUAGAAAACAUUGUCAAGCAGCCAAGUAGUCAAAUGAGUGUGUCAAAUAGAUCAAGGGGACUAUGAUGACAAAUAUGAAUUACAUAAAUUGGGGAAAUUUUUGAGAGUAAGAUCAAUCAAAUGUCUACCUUCCACUGUUAGUAAUAUAAUUAGUUGGAUGAGUUCAUAUGUAGUUGUGCUUAGCAAAAUGCAUGGGGUGAUUGGAUAGCUUUGUUAAAGGAAACAUGGGUAGUAAAGUUAUUACUCUCAAUUCAUACAUAUUUUUUCAAAUCAACGAAGUCUUUUUUUUAAAAUCUUUUUUCUCUUUCUCUUAAUUUUUAUCUUUUAUUAAAUAUCUUUUCAUUCAGAAAAGCUAGUGGAAAUUAUUUUCCACCUAGUUACUCAUAUCUCUUAUUUUAAUUAUUGUCAUUCCUACUCUUUUAGAAAUGAAUCACAUCUAUGAGAAAUGAAUCACACCUAUAAUUAGUAACGGAUCUAGAAAAUAUUUUUUUUGUUUAAAAUAAAAUAAUUUUACCCGGAUCAUAAUAUAUCAAAUAAUAAAAUAUUAUAUAAUUACUCGGGUAAAUAAGAUUUUAUUAUUUGAUAUAUUAUGUCCCGGGUAAAAUUAUAUUAUAUAUCUAACAUUUUACAUUAACUUUUUCUAUAUCUUAUACUAAUUUAAUUUAUUUAAAAAUAUUAUAUAAGAAUACUUUAUAUUCAAUGUAGUAACUUUGGAAAACUAAAUUUAGUUAGAGAAUAUAAAAUAAAUAUGUAUAUUUGUAUACUUUUAAAUAUAUAUAUAACUUGAAAGAUGGAGAGAAAACCCAAGAUUUGGAGAGUACAAGUAUGAAAUCACGAAAAAAAAACUAAGGAAAGAGGGGUAAUAGGUGAUUCGAUCUUCCCUAUUAUAAAACGUUUGAAGGUUUUUCUAUGAAAAUUUAGUGAAAUAUAAAGUAUUAUAAUAACGAUAAUUUAUUCAAUUAUAAUGAUAAACUUAUGCUUAUGUUUAUAAACUUAUCUUCAUGCCGAUUAUAAUCUAGUCAUAUAUAAGUAUUAUAAAAAUGAAAAUAAAAGUGUAUAAACAUUAAGAAAUAUUGCAAUAAUCAUUAUAAUUUGUUUUGGUAAUUUGAAACUUUAGUGCAAUAAUUUGUUUUACAAUUAAAUAUGAAUAAUCUUAACUAGUUUUGAAAGAAUGUAUAAUGGAAUAAAUAAUAUAAUGAAUUAGAAAAGGAUCUAAAUAGUUUAGAGAGUCUGCAUGUGUCAAACCAAACUAUAAUGAGAACAUCAUAACGACGAGCUUCUUGAUUGCGAAUAAAAGUUUACCACGAAUCAUUUUAUUAAUGGUGCUCACUAACAUCGGCGCCGGUGUUGGAGCUUCGUCAUGACGUUUUUGGUUUCGAUUUAGCCAAAGAUGAUAAAUCGAAUUUCGGAAGCAAAUCUAAUAAGAAGCAAACUAGUUUCAUCGUUUUGAACGGGAGCAAUCAUGUAAACACGGAUUCAAAGUGUUAUCAUAACCAAAGGUCGAUAGCUCAACUCGAAAGAAACUUUGGAAAUUUUCAAGAGGUCACAUGAUUAAGUGGCAGAUGACACGGAUAAAAAUAUUGAAGACUGGCCCGAGUUAGGAAGAUAUAUAGGCUUCGAUCCGAAACUUUUUAAUUAAAAAAAAAAGUGUUAUGCAACCGAAUUUUCCGAUUACUAAUAUAACCGAAGAACAAAGAAAAACAACACGUAUAUUUUACAGAAUUUAUAAUACUAAAAUCAUUAAGCAGUAAAAUAUUAAACAAAAGAAGCAUAGCUUCUAUUUUUUUUUUUUUUGAUAAACCCUAUCGGCUAUCCGGUCGGUCUCGGUAGGAACGCACCGUGGUGUUAUAUAGUGGAUUGGUCCACCGCGUUAACGGUUAGGCUUUUACGGACUACCACUCUGCCUAUCCCGAUUUUGGAAUGCAUUCCAACUAAUUAUGUUAUUCAAACUUUUUCUUUUCAAGUAAUUGAAAGAGGUGUGGUCGUCGAUUCGGAAAACUAUUCCCUCAACUUUAUUUUAAAAAGUAUAAUAAACUUGACACUCAGUUAACAUAUAUAAAUUUGACACAUGAUUUUCCUGUGGCCAAGUAUAUAUUUAGUUUUUAAUAAAAUUCCAAGAAUAUUUGAUCUUUGCGUGUCGGAUCUUUGACGUUUAUUAAAUUAGUUGUCAAAGAGCAUAAAAUGAAAAAUUCGCACUAAGACAAAUAUUCAUCACGAAGGACCUGUAAAUCAAGAUGCCAACCCUUCUGCUUAUUUUCUUAUAUAUCAAUAUCAAAGUCAUUAAAUAAUAUUAUUUUCUUUUCUAAAAUCUUAAUAUAUAUUAAUUAAGUGAUGAACUAUUGAAUUGUUUAUUAACAAAAAGAAACUAUAGAAUUUCUGAAUUUAUCAAUUCAAAAAACAUUUUAUUAGCAUAUUUCGCUUAUUAACAACAUGUAAUAAACGGAUUUACAUAUGGAUGGUUACAACGCCAACAAUUCACUACUAUAAAUUGUGGUCCAUUUAAUUGGUAUAUUAUUGUUGAAAGCUACUCUUAUGUGAAAUAAUAGUUACGGGGAAAAAGAAGAUAAAUGAUGCUGAUUUUUUUUUCAAAAAGUAAUUUAUUUAAUGUGCAUUUUUUUUUUAAUUACUAAUUUGUGAAGUUUCAAAUUUUUUUAUGAGCUUAUAUUUCAAUGGACCAAACAAAAUGAGCACAUAAAGUUGUAACUAAUAGACUAAUAGUGUUGUCAAAACAAUAUAUAUGUUAUUACCUUUUUGCAUGUUCUAUAAAGGGCCAUGCAUUAUUAAGGUUAAAACUUUUGCAUGUUCCUCAAAGGAAAGACUCCAAAAGCUCGAGAUAGUACUAGAUAUAUCUGCAAAGCUCUUCAUAUUUAUUCAUCAACAUUUAAAAAUAAACAGACCGUACCCUAUAUGAGAAAAAAAAUCAAAUUCAGUUUUUACUCAACUAAAGGAAAUAACACAUUCACGAAGUAAUAAUGGAGAACAAUAAUUUGUUUGAUAGUAAACAAGAUUCAAAAAGCUCGAGAGUCUAUAGUACAUAUAACAACAAAAGUAUCAAUUGAAUGCUCAUAAUCAUAUGCAAAUGUUUUAGUAAAGUGAAGCAUCCGCUUACAAUGCUAUGGCCAUCAAUGCUAUCAAAGGCAUAUUAUCUUUUAGAUCCGCUUCGAUUAGGUCUGGAAUUCUAGAUGUUUAUAAUGAUCCAAAUGAAGGAAACAAAAAAGUAUAGCAUCCAUUGAAAAAACAAAGUAAGAUCACAAAUAGUAAUUUUAGAAAUCUAGAUAUCCAUUCUGUAUAUAUAUAUAUAUAUAUUUUUUUUUCUUUUUUUUUCAAUAUAUAUAUAUAUAUAUAUAUAUAUAUAUAUAUAUAUACAUGUUUUACUCUAUCAUGAAUUUAUAGUUUUAUGUGUAUUUUGUGUACUUUAAAAUACAUAGCAAGAGUUUUAAACUAGUAACAAUAUGCAUUGUAAAAUUAUAUUUACAAACUUAAUUUACAUUACUAAGAAAAGUAUAAAUUUUAAUUUUAGAGUUUUAAAUGAAGUUUUUUUUUUUUUGGUAAGAAACACAGUUUUUUUGUUCACUUUUUUAAGUCUUUUUUUUUUUUUCAUUUUUCGUGAAAAUUAGGUAAUAUCAUAUCUUAUUCACUUGUUAGUUUACAAAAGGUAUGUAUAUUUUAAUUUUAAAAUUUCAAACUUUUAACUUAAUUUUUUUAGUAUAUCAGAUAUCUAGCGGUGUGUAUAUUCAAACAAAAUUAUGCGAUAUUUUUUUAAUGAAGCGGACUGGAAAAUUAAUUAGUUAUCUAGUAGUUUUUUUUUUCUUUUUGUUAACUACUUAUCUAGUAGUUUGGAACAAAAUAAUUACUGAUAUUAAGUUUUUCACUUUGUCUUCAGUUCUAAACUUCUAAUGCUACCACUAAAAUGCUUAUUUACCUAGACACUGUUAUUUUGUUAAUAAAACUCCGAAUGCUUUAUUUUCUGUCGACGAAUAUGUAUAUUUACACACACUGACACACACAUAACAUUAGCAUAUACAAGUGCAGAUUUAUUGUUGACAAAAGAAAGUGUAGAUAGAUUCUAGAGCAUCUUCGGUCGGUACGAAUGUCGUCCCACCAUAAGUUUGGUUCACUUCUCCAAUUUGCAAUUAUUUGUCCUUUUCUCAGUUUACACGUAAACAUACACAGAACGAAUAAUGAUUGUUUUCAUACUUUGUUCUUCACGAUAUCGUAGUAAUUAGGGUCCAAGAAAUGAUGACUACAUAUCAUUAUUAUAUAUCGUUACAUAUUUUGUAACCAAAAGAGGCGACGCAUAAGAAGAGUACCACUCACAGAUAUGAAAUAAUUUUGUGUAAAUAGCAUGAUUUUACUUUUCUUUAUUAUUAUGGUGAAAUAAGAUGCACGAGAAAAAUUAUAACCACACCAUGUCACCAUAAAAAGUGUACGUUGUUAUAGUAAAAACCCUUUUUUCUGUUAAAGAAUUAUAGUAAAAACGCCCAUCGUAUCUAUGUUGACAAACAUAUUUGUUAAAUUAAUAAGCAAGUACCUUCUAGUUCUUUUCUAACAUUUAAUAGCUUUUUUUUUCCUUUUUUUUUGUACAACAGAUUUAGUAGCUUUUCUAGUUUUACAAUUUAAUAACUUUAUUUGUGAAAUUAACUCGUUCCUUCACGAAUGAUAAUGCAUUUGACAACUUUUUGUUUCAGUUUCCACUAUCUAGGGUUAAUUUACUUUAUCCAUAUUCCGUACGAGAUGAGUAAGAAGAAGAUAUUAAGAGGAGGCAGUGCACGUCAUGCUUAUUUUUCAAACGCUGCUGACACAAAUACAUACUAAAGCUUAAUACUUUUUAUUUUUAUAACCAAACUAGCUCCUUGGUCGAAACUCAAUAUUGGUUAUAUAAUUUGACCAACUGAUCUUAGUGGCAUAUAUUUAAAAUUAACGUAGCGGAAAUUUUUAAAAGACAAAGUAGUGAUACAUUUGAAAAUAUAGGAUAACUAAGAUAGUCUUCUGAGAAAAAAAAAAAAAAAAUAGUCUUCUGAGAAAAAAAAAUAAAAAAAAUAGUCUUCUGAGAAUUUUUGAACAUACUUAACGUAGAAACCCUAAAAGUCUUCACUAAAAUAGGAUCAUAAAAUCUAGAUAAUAUGCAAAUAAUGAGGUUUCAAAAGAUAUAAAAAAUUUUAGUUACUUUUAAAAUGAGGUUUCAAAAGUCUAUCACCGAUGGUCUCAACUCAACACACAUGACCAUGGAUUUUCUGAUAUGUUUGAUGAUGAUACCACAAAUAAUGUGAUGCUAAAAUAAUUUUACUCUUUUUGAGUGUGUUGUCUCAUGUUGUAUUUUUUUUAAUAAAUUCAAAAGUUCAGGAAAUCCUAAAUAUCUGAUUCUUUUUAUCGGUCAAGAACAAAUAAAACCACUUAUUUACCUCCUUAUUUCUUUGUUCUCCAAAAUCUUCAACAUUUUGUGCCCAAAUAAAACGUUUUUAAAAAUAAUUUUUUAUUUGAAAAUAUCAUAUUUUAUUUUGAUCAUAUGAGUUAGGUAAGAACGCGUAGAUGCGGGAAAGUUUAUGAAGUCGAAUAAAAUCAAAUCCUCGUACAGUACUAAUAUUCCAUACAGAUUAGAGAAUUUAUCGACUUUUUAGGUAGGCUUCUGUGUUUUUACCGUCAACAGCUAGAACCUAUAUAUGAUUGUCAAUAUAAAUAAAAAUAUUAACAUCAAAGUUACCAAUAGACAUAAUUCAUGCAGCGACAUGCCACAAGAAGAAAUCCCACUCUCAUUUUAGCCUUUAUGUUAGUUACUUAGAUAAACAUAUUGACAUCAAAGUUAUAAUGCAUUUUAAUACUCUAGUUCUUGAUAACCUAACCUAAUGAAAGAAAAAAGCAAAAACAAAACAUGAACCAAUUAUUGUCGCAUACAAAUGCAACUUUAAAGACAUACUCAUAUGUUAUUCCAUUCGACAACACAACAAACAUGAACCAAUUAUUAUAGUUUAUAAGAUUUCUUUUUGUCGCGAGGCAACUACUCUACCUUAGCUAUUUUAAGUUUUUAACUGAAGAGUCGAAUUCUAAAUUUCUAAUUUGACGGAGGUAGAAAAUUUUGUUAACAGGGUCAAAAUAAAUUAUUUAUAUUAAAUAAUAUAUAUAAUUGUUUAUGAUUUGUUGAAGAUGACUCAAAAGAAUUGACCCUCCUAAUUAAGCACCAUGUACCUCCGCCCCUGGGAUACCACAUUGCUCUGAAUGUAAUACGCUAGGUUCAAAGAAAUAUGUUAAUUGUUAAUGUAUGUAUGAAAUCAGAAAAGUAAUGAAUGGGAUCUAAAUAAUAGACAUAUGUUAAUUGUUAAGUUUUUGCUUAUCUAACUGUGUAGAUCGAUUCUCUAGAUCAUUUUAGAUCUUUACUCUUCUUCAAGACUUUCCUAAUUCUUCUCCAAGGCUCUGGAUCCUUCUAAAACAUUCUGAAAUAGUACAAUCAAAGAAUGCUUAGAAAUGUCUAAGUGUUGGUAGGUAACCUCUCAGGCUCAGCCCAUACUCCCUUGUAUAUUAAUGGACGGAUUGGGCUGUUACAAGGUACUCUUUUAAGAAACCUUGAAUCUUCUUUUCUUUUUCUCCAAAUCAUCGGUAGGAAUUGAAAAAAACCCGGUCAUUUGAAAUUAUUAUGAUGCGUGACAUAGCUGAUGUCUAGUGAUUUUGGUUGUUUUAAAGCCUAUUUUCUCUUAGUUUUCAUUGCUUUGCAUUCAUAUUUUGGCAUAUAGUGUUGCAUUUGCAUUUGCAUUUGGUUUUCUUAGGUACAUGAAUGGAGCUUGGAGUUUUGGGAAUAAAUAGAGCAAAAAGGAAGCUAAAAGAAGGCAACUUGAGUAAUGAAGAUCAAAGAGGGAUCAAGAGGUGAAAGGAGAUGUCAAGAUGUGGUGAAAAAAGAUGAUUGAAGAAGAGAAGAGGAAGCAAUAUACCACCUGGUCGAUUCCCUGGUCGAUUGACAUGGAUCAGAGCUACGGACAAGACACCAAUCGAUCAAGCAAUCGACCGAUUGCCUCAGGACAAACCAAUCGACCACCUGGUCGAUUCCCUGGUCGAUUGACAUAGACCAGAGCUACGGACAACAUUUCAAUCGAUUACUUGAUCGAUCGAUUGCUCUACCCAAUAGACCAAGUGGUCGAUUGAGUGGUCGAUUGGGUGCCUAAACCGGGUCAAAACCCGGUUUGUUCCGGGUUGACCCGGUUCGUUUUUCCUUUUCUAUAUAUACUUUUAACCUAGUUUUAGAUUGUCUUAUGCUUUGUUUAGAGAUCAAAAACUUCUCUUAAGGUUUCUAUCUAAGUUUUUGUAUGAAUCUUUGGUUCUUAAGCUUAAAUAUCAAGUACUUCUUUUAAA
rnacentral:lncRNA from 1 species